UCACAUCCUCUGCAUCUUCAAUCAUUCCUUCUUUGCAAUACGCAUCAAUCAAUAUACUGUAAGUAAAAACAUUUUGAGAAAUGUUCCUAAGAUCCAUCUCCUUGAGCAAUUGUUUGACAUCAUGCCAUCGAUUAAAGUCACACAACCCUUGAAUUAAAGAGCUGUAGGUCAUAACAUUUGGUGAUAUGCCUUUCCUUGUCAUUUGGUGGAGAAGACCCAAUGCUUGAUCGAUUAAUCUAUGUUUACACAAACAGUCAAUAAUUGUGGUGUAAGUUACAGUAUUAGGCCUGCAACCUUUCUUCUCCAUAAUUUUAAACAACUUAACAGCCACAGAAGGAUUCCCUCUCUUGCAGAUGCCGUCAAUGAUAAUUGUAUAGGUAACAACAUCGGGUUGAAUAAGUUGAAAUCUGAUGAGGUUCUGGAACAAAAGCUGAGCCUCUUGAAGCAUAUCUUGGGAANUAGAGUGUUAUAAGUAAACACGUCAGGGACAAAACCGUGCUUGAUGAUUCCAGCCAGUAAUGAAAAGGCAAAAUCGACACGAUCCAAGUGACAAAAACAGUUGAUAAUAGUAUUAAAGGUAAUUACAUUAACAGGGACGCUUUCUACACACAUCUUUCUAAAAACGGACACAGCUACAGAGUAGUCUUUCAUCUUAACAACAGCAGCUAAGAGUUGAUUGAAUUUAGGAACAGGGAGCAUUUUAUCAAACACCUGAAGAGCAUCAUCGAGUUUAUCGAAACCAACCUUUGAUUUCUCAUAAAGUAAUUGCUGAAGUCUCGCAUGAGAUGUAUUGGGAAAAUGAGGAACAUAGGGGUGUUUGGGGUUAGGUUUAGUGGAGAACAUACGAAAAUGAGCAUUGAAUUGAAACAAUGCGAGAGAACUAGUAGUUGCAGACUCAGCUGCAGAUCGUAGAAAUGGUAGCAUUGGUCUUAAGGAAGCCAGACUCCUCAUCGUUGCUCUCACUUCUUGCCGGUGCUCUCACUUCACUGGGUUGAGUUGCCCAGAACACAAAAUAUGACGGAAGAAUGGGAUCUACUCAAGUUACAAAUUACAAAUUAAUAGCUUAUAACCCGUGAUUGUUACUCCUUCUGUUCUUUUUUAUUAGUCGUUUUGACUUUUUACACGUAUUUUGAGAUAUAAUAAAAACGUAUUUUUACAUUUUUAUUUUUUAAAUUUAAGGAUACCUAUAAACCUGGAUAUAAACCAACCGAUCAACCUUUUGAUAUUCGUUAUUAAUAAUUAAUAAUAUAAUAUAAAACAUAUUAUAAGUUAAAAAGACGCGUAUACCCAAAUACCGAUCCAUCAUACUAACCUAAUUUUUAAUGUUUUGUUUUAAAAGAUAAUAAUAAAAUAUAGUAUAAUAUUUUAUUAAUUAUAAACGUUCAUGGGUCGAAUACUAACCGGCUCACCAAACUCGAGUGACCGGGCCGAACAAUUGACCAACUGAACUUUUCAUGUUUCGGCUUUAAUGGUAUGAUAAUAUAAUAGUAUAAUAUAGAUUUAUAAUAUUACUUUUAAAGUGAGACUAUUAAAGUAUUUUAAAAUAAUGUUAAAGUAGCCCUUGUUAAUUAUAGAAGCUCGGCUUUUUAGUUAGAAAAUCUAAAAAAGAUAAUGUGUUUUAGUUAAAAAGGUAAUUACUAUGUUGCUCGAUGUUAUUUUAAAAGAUUGGGUUUUUUUAUUUUGAAAAUAUAAAAAAGAUGAUACUUGAUGUUAUUUUGAAAGAUUGAGUUUUUUUAUUUAGAAAGUAUAAAAAAAUGAUAUAUUUUAGUUAAAAAAAUAACUGGUUAUAUAGAUAGGCCCGUAUUUUGGCCCAAGUACCGACCGACCAAACUUUUAAUGUUUGAGCUUUAAUAGUACUAGCUUAUAGCCCGUGCAAGGCACGGGAGCUUUUUAAUUAUAUAUAAACUUUUUAAAUAUAUUUUAAAUGGUGUGAAGAAAUUUAAUUUAUAAAUAAUAAAUUAAAAUUCGAAAUUAUAAUUUGUUUGUAAGUUAGAACUGUGGUAAAUACAUCAUCACAACCAUUAAUGGCUUCAAAUAAACUAUUGUAAUGAAGUCAUUCCUUUUCUCGUAUGUACCCUGCCAAAGUAUUAAAUUCUUUCUAUCAAAUUUUAAUAUAUUUUGAGUGGAAUACGUUAUUGGCAACUCUUAUUAGAUUAUAUUUAUAAAUGUAUUUUAUAUUAGAAUUAUUAUAGUGUGAUUUAAAUAGCCCGCAAGGGUUGGUUUAGCUGGUUAAAGAGAGGACAUGCAUCCUCUUGCGCACCCGAAGGGUAGCGGCUGCGGGUUCUUAGGUUAAAAAAAUAAAUAAGAAAAUAUAAUGUGAUUUAAAUAUUUUUCAAAAAAUUUAUAUGGUUCUAAAUUAAAAUUGAUAAACAUAAUUUGUUUUUGAAUUAAGAAAAAGAAUCAUAAACAUGCAAUAAGAAGGUAGAAUCUAUUUUGGAUUAAGAAAAAGUUUUUGUAUUUGCUAAUCACAUAAAUACGGCUUAUUAAUUUUAGAAUAUAUUAUAAAAAAAAUUGUGACGGUUCGAUUUAUAUGAUUCUACGAAUAAAACUGGUAGGAAAUAUUUAUUUGGUAUUAAAAAAAUCAAAUACACGUGAAACACAGAAUUUGUUUUGGAUUCAGAAAAGGAAUUAUAAACAUGCAAGGUGAUCUAUCAGUUGCCUUGUAGAACAGAAGUUAAUUUUCCAAUCUAACGGUGCUUAUUUGUUCAAUAUAAGAUCCAACGGAUGAUAAGCUUUUGUACCAGAGGACCAUGCGACCAAAUUAUCUCCCUUACGCUUAUUAUAUAUAAGUAUAUAAUAAUAGUAAGUAUAGAUAGGCCUGUAUUUUGGUCCAAGUACCGACCGACCAAACUUUUAAUGUUUCGGUUUUGAUAGUAUAGUAUAGAUAGAUAUCUCAUUGUAUAACUUUUACGUGUUAAAUUUAUAUAAAUAUAAAAAUUAAUAUAUAACUUUUUAUUUGAAAUUAUACCAUACCAUACCACACGUAAAAAAUAUUUUGGUGAAGUCCCGUGGAGUAAACGAAUGGAGUCAAGAACCAUCACUCACAAAUGGCAAGAUUGAGCAGAAAUCAAGAACGUUCACUUUCACAUAUUGUAAGGUUGAAGGCUUGGGAGACAAGAGAUCGGUUCAAACUUCUUCCUAAAAUCAUACUCCCUCCGUUCCAUAAUAAGAGUCGCUUUGAUUUUUUACACGUAAUUUGAGGUGUAAAAAAAUAUGUCUCUACAUAUUAUUUUUCAAAUUUUCUUUUUUUGAAUAAAAAUAUAGAUGUUAAACUUUUAUUCAGAAAAAGAAAUUUUGAAAAAAUAAUAUUUAGAGAUAUGUUUUUUAACACCUCAAAUUACGUGAAAAAAAGUCAAAGCGACUCUUAUUAUGGGACGGAGGGAGUAAUACUCAAAACAUUAAAUGCGUCGAAAAGUAACAUUCGGUAUAUGGUAUGUCGUGUGUUACCACAAAUCCAACGCAACAUGUGCAAUUCUGUUGUCUCUGGUCGACGCUCGAGGCUUUUGAGUUUUUCAAAAUGGCUGACACUCAAAUCAUAUAGUAAUGACGAUAUGAUUGCCACUCGAUAAAAUUUACCUUUCAACUACAAAAGUACAUUUUUUAAAUCAUCAUAUACAUGUAUCUCAAUUUUUUUGAUUUUACAAUUUAUCUCAUUUUUUCUUUUUAAUCAAUUUAUAACUUUUUUACUAACAUUAUACUUUCUCCGUUUUAGUAUAAUACUCCCCGUGACGCUUUUUAGUUGUCAUGUUUGAAUUUUGACAAGUCAAAUUGACCAAAAUUUGACUAAAUUUAUUAAUAUUUUAUUAAUUAAUAAAAUAAUAAAUGUCACCGAAAAUAACUUUCAAUCUACUUUGAUAUGUAAUUUUCCAGUAUUUUAAAAUAAUAUAAGAGGUACUUAUAAUUUUUGAUCAAAAACUAGUAAAUUUGAUCAAUAAAAUAAAAAUGGGACAACUAAAAAGAGACAGAAAGAGUAGUUUUAAGAACAGAGCAACAUCGGUCUUCUAAUUAAUAUUUUAAAAUUUUAGGUGCGUAAUUAAAUUUAGUUGGGUGGAAACUGAACCUGUGAAAGGUUACCUUAGCUAUUCUCGCUGCUCAUAACAUUUAAACUAUAUGUUGAUAUAUAGGGUAAGGCUCAAAUUGGAACCAAUACUAGUAUUAAAAUUAGAACUUAGGAACACACCCGGAACUUGGGAACACACAUGCUUUGAUUGAAAUUUAUACGUAUUAUAUAACUAAAUAAUAAUAAUAAUUGGGUUGAUAAAUUUGCAUGAGCAUUGUUGAAUUUAUAAUAUACAAAAUGCUUUUACUAUAGCAGUAACUGAGUGAACCAGGACACAUUGCUGUACCCAAGUUAGUCAUCAUCUCCAGCUCCGUCGAACACUUCUGCAUCUCCACCACCCAAAUCUUGAUCCCAAGUUAGUCAUCGUCUCCAGCUCCGUCGAACCCUUCUGCAUCUCCCCCACCCCAAUCUUGAACAUCUGCUGGCCCAUCAUCGACAUUAACAUCUAUAGCCAUGUCGAAACCAAUAUCAUCAUUAGGGACUUCCUGCAGUUCUGGCAAUGUUUGCCUCACUGAAAAAAUCAGCAUACGGCUUCGAAACCUGAUCAGAGAUAUAAAAUUUAUAAAAUUCUUAAUUAUAUACGCUCCAUUGUUGUAGAAACAAUAAUCUUGAGAUACCAUAUUUGUAUAUACGCCAUGCCAAUUGCCACAUCUUAAUAAAACUGUAACUAGAAAUUUCAUUCUCCAUUCUUGUCUUUAGCCAAAUAAGGAAAAAUUUAAAUGUUCACUUAAAUUUUCAAAAUUCAAAUCAGUUGAUGUAGAUGUAGUCGAAGAAGAUAUAGAAACUUUGUUUCUGAGUGAUGGUAAAGGAGAUGAGUCUAAAAAGAUUUAACCACCUUAUAAAGAGCAGUCCUCUUUUCUGCACUCGAUGAGAUUCCUCUUUUCUGCACUCUCGAUGAGAUUCUUCCAGUGCUCGUCUUUUCUCAAAGUUGAAGCAGAACCCACAACCUGAAUAAACAAAGAGGCAGCUGCUGUUAUAUAAGCAAAGCUAUAUAAGUGUACUGUAUACAGUUCUGAAAAAAAUUAAAAUAAGCGCUUCAAAUUUAUUACCCAAACAGAAGACCUUGCUCUGGUAAUUCCGACAUUCAUUCUCCGAGAAUCAGAAACAAAUCCGAUGCCUUUAUCUUUGCUUGCCCUGACACAUGAAAAUAUAGCAACAUCUUUUUCUCUUCCCUGCAUUCGGAACACGAUACAUUUAACAAAAUUUACAACUUUUAGAACGAGGAAUACAAGUAAUGCGCAAGAUGCAUCCGGUGAUUAUAAAUUCAAAUAAAAUCUCAAGACGAAUAUAGAGCCGUAUUAAUCUCAACCAAUGAAUAGUAAAUUUUUAUUUCGAAGAGAAUAAAUUUGUUAGCAAAUCAAAGAACCAUAAAGUGAAAAAUUGCCUAAACAUGAAGCGGAAAGAAAUUUUUUUACUUUUACCUGGAAUCCAUCCACAGUGUUGAUGUCUACAAACUUCUUUGAAUCUUCACCAAAGGCAUCCUUGAACUUAUCACGGAAGAGGCUUACUUGAGAUCUAUAGGGAGAUAUUAUAGCAAUUUGAGAGCUCGACUUGAGCUCUACAAAUCUAGCUAAUAACUUGUGAUACAUAAGCACAACAAACUCAGCCUCGUCAACAUUUUCCCAAGAGCGGGACUCUUUUCGCUCAUGUAAAUCAAAAAAACAGAAAGAACCAAAGCAGCUGUAUAUGUGCCAUGCACGUCUAGUUUCACUUUCAACAGCAGGACCUAGCAUAAAAGUAUCCUAACCUAAAUUUAGAUGUACUGAGUAUACACUCUCACACACUCAAGUAAAUAUCUAUAAUCUUCCACAGAUAUACUACAAUGUGUUCCACUAGAAUUUUCAAGGGAACUUAGAUAUAAGAUAUGUCUGCCAAGUUAAUGAAGAGCUGAUGUCCCCAAAAGGAGGUAAAAGAGACAAAAGUAAGGGAAGAACCAGUGGCGGACCAUGAACUGUAAUAAGCGGGCUAAGUGUACUUUUAAGAAAUCACGGAUGAGAAAAAAACAUUUCAAUACAUUAACAUUAACAUCAUUCAAAUUCAUUACAUAUAAUAUAAAAACAAUUAUUACCAUGACAUUCUUCUAGGUGCCAUAUUUUGAAAUCUCAUUAUAAUGUCUUUGACAUCAAUUGAAUUUUUGGGGGGUUAAUUAAUUUUUUACAAUUUAAGGUUCAAGGUUGAUUAUAUCUUCUCCGUGAUCUAUCAGAAGUUAGUUAAGCUUAUUGUGAUACUUAGUUGAAAAAUCAAAAAGAUUAUGUACCUGAGAACUCUCUCCUUCGUUACACCUACGGCAAGUAUUUCUUGCACAAAGCAAGGGGAGCAGGAUCCUGUUCUUGCACAUCAAGUAAAUCCAGUAAAACAGAUGCAGUAGAUGCAUCUGCUGCAAAGCCGCGACCAAGCAUUUCAUCCAUGAGUACACCUGCUUCAUAGUAAUUCUUAUUCUGUAAACAACCGCGGAUAAGCAUGUUGUAUGUGACAUCACUAGGCAAGCAAUCAUGAGCUUCCAUUUCCCUGAAUAGUUCAUUUGCUUCAUCCAAUAACCCUUCAUGACAAUAUGCUUGGAUCAUCACUGUGUAUGUCUUGACAUUAGGUCGCAAACCUUUCGCAGGAAGGUUGUCAAAAAGGCUUCUUGCAUUCUCGAGGUGUCCAUUUUUGCUUAGUCCAUCAAUCAGAAUAGUGUAAACCUGUAUAUCAGCAACUAACCCACUGGACUCUAGUAUUUGAAAAAACGAUAGUGCUUCAAAUACAUAACAAUUCUGGCAAAGACCAUGCAACAAGAUACGACAUGUCACAUUAUUUAACUCAACACCUUGGUUAAUCAUCUUUUCCAUAAAAAACUUACGUGCUUCAACAUGCCUGCCCACAUGAAAAAAACCUUGCAGUAUAGUACUGUAAGUCUCAAUAGUUGGGGUUAAACCUUCAGAGGGCAUUUGUUGAAAAAGAUCUAUGGCUAUAUCCACUUUAAACUUUUUACAAUAACCGUUGAUGAGGAUAUUAUAGCUAAAAGUAUUAGGCAAUAUUCCCUUUCUCUUCAUGCUUUCAAACACUGCUAAUGCUUUAUCAACCUCUCCUCGCAAGCAGUAUCCAUCCAUGAGUGAGCUGUAAGUGACUACAUUCUCCAUUCUUGUCUUCUAGCCAAAUAAGGAAAAAUUUAAAUGUUCACUUAAAUUUUUAAAAUUCAAAUCAGUUGAUGUAGAUGUAGUAGAAAAGGAUAUCGAAACUUUGUUCUGAGUGAUGGUAAAGGAGAUGCAAAGCAAAUUUAGUCUAAAAACAUUUAACCACCUUAUAAAGAGCAUUCCUCUUUUCUGCACUCUCGCUGAGAUUCCUCUUUUCUGCACUCUCGGUGAGAUUCUUCCAGUGCUCGUCUUUUCUCAAAGUUAGAGCAGAACCCACAACCUGAAUAAACAAAGAGGCAGCUGCUGUUAUAUAAGCAAAGCUAUAAGUGUACUGUACACAGUUCUGAAAAAAAAAAAAAAUAAGCGCUUCAAAUUUAUUUCCCAAACAGAAGACCUUGCUCUGGUAAUUCCGACAUUCAUUCUCCGAGAAUCAGCAGAAAAUCCAAUGCCUUUAUCUUUGCUUGCCCUGACACAAGAAAAUAUAGCAACAUCUUUUUCUCUUCCCUGCAUUAGGAACAGGAUACAUUUAACAAAAUUUACAACUUUUAGAACGAGGAAUACAAGUAAUGCGCAAGAUGCAUCCGGUGAUUAUAACUUCAAAUAAAAUCUCAAGACGAAUAUAGAGCCAUAUUAAUCUCAACCAAUGAAUAAUAAAUUUUUAUUUUAAAGAGAAUACAUUUGUUAGCAAAUCAAAUAACCAUAAAGUGAAAAAUUGCCUAAACAUGAAGCGGAAAGAAAUUUUUUUACUUUUACCUGGAAUCCAUCCACAGUGUUGAUGUCUACAAAUUUAUUUGAAUCUUCACCAAAGGUAUCCUUGAACUUAUCACGGAAGAGGCUUACUUGAGAUCUAUAGGGAGAUAUUAUAGCAAUUUGAGAGCUCGACUUGAGCUCUACAAAUCUAGCUAAUAACUUGUGAUACAUAAGCACAACAAACUCAGCCUCGUCAACAUUUUCCCAAGAGCCACUAUUUGAAGGCUGGGACUCUUUUCGCUCAUGUAAAUGAAAAAAACAGAAAGGACCAAAGCAGCUGUAUAUCUGCCAUGCACGUCUAGUUUCACUUUCAACAGCAGGACCAUCCUCCAAGGCCUACUUGUAGAAUUCUUUAGAAGGAAAGCCUCUUAUCUGCAAGCAGAUACACUUGUGUACAGUAAUAUUAUACAGAUGAUAUAAGAUAUCAACAGCCCUUUUUUAUAUAUUAAAAAUAAAAUAAUAUACACUUAUAGAAUUGGCAGUGCUUGGGGCAGCUAUAUGUUGCAGCUCUGAGACAACCGACAAGUCAAACAAAGAUAUAAAGAUACAAGUCUUCAUGGUAGUUUGGUCCUUAACAUCUGUACCGGAUACCCCACUUCUUGAAAUCUCUUAAACAAGCUCAUCCUGUACCUAUUCAAUAGUGUUAGGGAAAAAAUUAUGCAACAUAAUUACAUAAGAUGAAGAUGAUGAUUGAUAAACCACCAUGUUUAAAACUAGUUUAUACACUACUUUGAACAUAUAUGCAUUCCUUACUUAAAUUUCUCGGCAACAGGAGAAAUCACAGUGGCUGGAGGUUGAAGAGGAUCACCAACCUAAUUAGAUAAGAAAUGAUGUCUGAGAAAGUAAUCUCAAAACAGAAGUGGUAAAAUUUAUCAGCUAGCAAAUUGAUAUAACCAAAUUGGCAUAAUAUAAACCUUUUAUCUUCACUUCCUAGUUGCCAAAAGAUUAUGACAAAGUGUUUAGAACGGAUCGAGUGUUCGGCACGUAUUUUUAUAUGAGUUUUAAAAUGUGUGCCGAGCACUCCAUUCCAAACGAUAAGAAUUGAGGGGAUGGAGAGAGUAUAUUCUAACGAGAAUGAUGGUCUCUUUCACAUAAAUCCUAAAAUAUUGGUAACUAUUAAAAAAAUCUUAAAUUAAUAAUUAAAACACAAAUUAUCAAUUUAGUCAUUUUUUCUAUUUAUUUUUUUUGAGAAACUUAUGGAAAUAAUAUAUAUUCAUAUAUAUGACCUAGGAAGCAUGAGUGCGGGUGCGGGAGUGCGGGUGCGCAGUACGUGGAUACGGGAAUUCGUCAAAUUCCAAAAUAUGGGGAUACGGGUACGGGGGGAUACGGCAAAUAUUAAAAUAUUAAAAAUAUUAUAUAUAUAUAUCUAUGUUUGUGUAAAAUAACCCUUACCUUAUAAGGCAGGGUUCUGCAGCAGAACUUAAGUAUGAGUUAGGGUUCUGCAGCAGAACUUCACAUGCAAAAAAUGUCAAUAUCUAUGUAUUAGAUUUUAGAAUUAUUUUUGAACACACACAACGAUGAAAAAAUAUGAAAAAAACAUGUAUUUAGAUUUAGAUCCUAAAAAUCUAUUUAAAAUUUAGGGUUCCGCAGCAGAACCUUGGUGGUUCUAUGGUUCUAUUUUAAGGACUGGUUCUCUACACACACAUGAGCAAUUAUAUAUACUUACAAUCUAUAGACACACAUGAGCAGAUAUUGCAGAAAACACACUUACCAAUCGACAUACUUGAGCUGGAGAUGCUCUGCUCUCUCUCGUACAGGUACUCAAUUAGUCUAAUUAGGUUUUGAUCCCUCUUUUCUUUCUUUUGACCAACUAAUUUUAAGUUUUUUUUUAUAAAAAAAAAGUUGUUAAAAAUUACGAUUUGUGCCACUGCCGCACCCCAUCCCCGCACCCCCGCGUAUCCCCAUCGCUGCCUCCAUCGAUACGCCAUGUGGCGUAUCCCGCCGCACCCCCGCACCCCCAAGUAUCCCCUACGCAGUUCUUUACCCAGAUGAAGUAUCCCUGCUUUCUAGUAUAUGACUAUCAAAACGAGCCUCUAUUGAAAACAGUAAGUUAACCGCUUCGAUAAAAGUUGGAUGAAUUUAAUGUGACGUUUGAAUAUUAUUAGUGACCUUUUUGACAUAAAUAGUUGUAAAAGAAAAUGAUCUUCGGUCUUGUAGAUAAAAAUAUUUUAAAUAUUUGUUCGAAUAAAAAGAAAUUAUUAAAUAUUAUAUUAUUAUUUUAUAAUUUAAUUGCAUUUAGAUUUUUGGGAUUGUCCCAUGUUCCCGAGACGUCCUCAAACUUGUGCAACAAUUGUUUGGCCUUACUGGGCAACAUACGUUAUAAUCCAAAUUAUUAUAGUUUUCAAGCAUGGCCUCAAGUUCUCUCACCAGGAGUACCAUUUGUGUUUUCUGUUUGUACUUACCGGCUUAGAAUACGGAUAAUAUGUGUGUGAGAGAUAAAGCAAGUCCGGUGCGGAACUCAACUGCUGAUGUGGAAGAGAAAGACUGGGACCUGUAUUGUUUAGGUGGCAAGGAAAAAAAAAAUGAAUGACAGAGCACUUGGGUUCAGCAUUUCACAGCACUUGCUCUUAGUUCCCAAAGAUGAAAAGUGUUUCUCAGUUUCACUAUUAGCUUAUAACUCAAUGCUUUAAAGUUUAAGGCUAAUUAUAUCUUCUUCUUGAUCUAUCUUAUCCGAUAUGUUAGUCUCAUGCAAGUCCCUGUAACAACAUUGCAAAUAUAUUUAAGAACUUACUGGGAUCGCAGAUCCGGUAUGUCAGAUUCAGAAUUGCAAAAUCCUUUGAAAAGCAUACAAUAUCCACAAAGUUACGAGCUGAAUACCGCUGUAGGGAUGUAUACAAUUGUAUCCACUGUGUUGCCUUAAUCUUGCAUCUUACUCUAAAAACCAACAAAAAGUUCCACCCAGCUGACAUUAAAGACCUGGGCUGACUGGUCUGAUCAGCCGUUCAAGUUCUUUAUCUGAGAGCACUGGCCAGGUGAAUGGUUCUGCAAUGCACUGAGUAAGUCUGCAGACUCGGAAUCAGAUGACCUCAACUAAGGUCAUCAGAGGUCAGUAUCUAAGAGUAGUAAGAGAGGUGAUAUAGUGAAGAAGAUAAAUUAGAAGUCCAUGACCAGGGACGGAUUAUAGGAUGCACAAGACACUCGCUGCAAGCAAGGAACUCGCUCCACCUAGCCCCAUCGGCAAGGCUUCAUAAAGCCACGAAAAACAUCAUAUAUAUUUCCUGAGUUCGAAACCUUACUCUCUCCCAAAAUACUUGAUAAAAUAAUCCAUCAAAAUAUAGGUACACAUCCAAUAUACAUUAGCAUUGUGCUUCACUUAUGAAUAGUUUACAGUUUGUCGAGGCUGCCAAUCUCUCUAGUCUCUUUAAUUGAUUUGCAGUUCUUUCUUUUUUUGCUAAAUCUAUUCAACUCAGUGGCUUAGAAUUUUAAACGGACUACUAUCCUGCAGCAUUAGCCAAUUCAAGACUACUUAAUUCUUGAUAAAAGUGGUAACCGAAGUUACCUAUGGAAAGAAACCCAUACACAUACAAGCUCUUUUACUCAUUGCGCUGAUAAUUUCAGACUGCAGUUAAGCUAUAUUAAGCCUUUUAGUUAUUUCAUGUAAUAAAGACAUUAAGAUAAAUCAACAUUCUAUAGACAAAAAGACGAUGUAGUGCAGAGGAGCUCCAUUCUUAACUUUAAAUUCAACAAAAUUAUAUCAAAAUAACACCCAAUCAUUUGUGAUCAAUCAGAGAAGAACUGCAAAUUUAACAACAAUGCAUUUGAAAUGAGUGCUGCUAGGGUUGCAGACCCUUGAAAUUAAAAUGUUGGAAAAUUGAAGAUUAUGUACCUAAGCAAUCCUCACUUUGCUUGACCUAUGGCAGAUACUUCUUAUGCAAAGCAAGAAGAGCAGGAUCCUGUUCUUGUGAUUCAAGUAGGUCCGGUAACAAGGAGGCGGUAGAAUGUAGAUGCAGUAGCUGAGAAGCCCCAAGCACGCAUCUCAUAGGACACGGCUUCAGCAUACUUCUUAUUGUAAAAACAGACACAAUAAGUGUGUCAUAGGUAACAUCAGUCGACAAACAACCAUUAAAAGUCCACCAACAAUUCAUACGCCUCAUGGAGUAAUCCCUCUACACAUACUGCUUGUAAGAAAAUAACAUUGCAAUAUAGUACUGUAACUCUCAAUAGUUGCUUUGAAACCUUCAAAAAUGCUGGCAAAAUCGAAAAUAUUAUGUACCUGAGAACUCUCUCCUUCAUUACACCUACGGCAAGUACUUCUUGCACAAAGAAAGCAGAGCAGGAUCCUGUUCUUGCACAUCAAGUAAAUCCACAAAAACAGAUGCAGUAGAUGCAUCUGCUGCAAAGCCGCGACCAAGCAUUUCAUCCAAGAGUACACCUGCUUCAUAGUAAUUCUUAUUCUGUAAACAACCACGGAUAAGCAUGUUGUAUGUGACAUCAUUAGGCAAGCAUUCAUUAGCUUCCAUUUUCCUGAAUAGUUCAUUUGCUUCAUCCAAUAACCCUUCAUGACAAUAUGCUUGGAUCAUCAUUGUGUAUGUCUUGACGUCAGGCCGCAAACCGUUCAAAGGAAGGUUGUCAAAAAGGCUUCUUGCAUUCUCGAGAUGUCCAUUUUUGCUUAGUCCAUCAAUCAGAAUAGUGUAAAUCUGUAUAUCAGGAACUAACCCACUGGACUCCAGUAUUUGAAGAAAGGAUAGUGCUUCAAAUACAUAAGAAUUCUGGCAAAGACCAUGCAACAAGAUACGACAUGUCACAUUAUUAAACUCAACACCUUGGUUAAUCAUCUUUUCCUUAAAAAAUUUACGUGCUUCAACAUGCCUGCCCGCAUGAAAAAAACCUUGCAGUAUAGUACUGUAAGUCUCAAUAGUUGGCGUUAAACCUUCAGAGGGCAUUUCUUGAAAAAGAUCUAUGGCUCUGUCCACUUUCUUCUUUCUACAGUACCCGUUGAUGAGGAUAGUAUAGCUAAAAGUAUUAGGCAAUAUUCCCUUUCUCUUCAAGCUUUCGAACACUGCUAAUGCUUUAUUAACCUUUCCCUGCAAGCAGUAUCCAUCCAUUAGUGAAUUGUAAGUGACUAAAUUAGGAUAUACUCCUCUUUGAAUCAUCAACUCUAUCACAUCCUCCGCAUCUUCAAUCAUUCCUUCUUUGCAAUACGCAUCAACCAAUAUACUGUAAGUAAAAACAUCUCGAGAAAUGUUCCUAACAUCCAUCUCCUCGAGCAAUUGUUUGACAUCAUGCCAUCGAUUAUUGUCACACAGACCUUGAACUAAGGAGUUGUAGGUCAUAACAACGGGAGAUACACCUUUCCUUGUCAUUUGGUGGAGAAGACCCAAUGCUUGAUCAACUAAUCCAUGUUUACAUAAACAAUCAAUAAGUGUGGUGUAAGUUACGGUAUCAGGCUUGCAACCUUUCUUCUCCAUAAUUUUGAACAACUUAACAGCCACAGAAGGAUUCCCUCUCUUGCAGAUGCCGUCAAUGAUUAUGUUAUAGGUAACAACAUCGGGUUGAAUAAGUUGAAAUCUGAUGAGGUUCUGGAACAAAAGCUGAGCCUCUUGAAGCAUAUCUUGGGAAAUAAGGCCCCUGAUGAGAGUGUUAUAAGUAACCACAUCAGGGACAAAACCGUGCUUGAUGAUUCCAGCCANNNNNNNNNNNNNNNNNNNNNNNNNNNNNNNNNNNNNNNNNNNNNNNNNNNNNNNNNNNNNNNNNNNNNNNNNNNNNNNNNNNNNNNNNNNNNNNNNNNNNNNNNNNNNNNNNNNNNNNNNNNNNNNNNNNAGUAAAUGUUGAAGACGAGCGUGAGAUGGAUCAGAGGAAUAAGGGAAACGGGGUUUGGGUUUAAAGGGAAUAUUAGGGUUAGGGUUAGUGGAGAAGUGAGAAACUGCAAUAACAGAAUGUCUUAGGAAUCGAGAAUUUGAGAUGACAAAUUUCUUCAUCGUCGUCAUCAUCAUGAUAUCUAUACUUGUUGGACACUCAAAAAAUUAGCCGGCAGAGCAGAGCAGAUGAUAUCAAUUCUUUUCAAUAGUGAUCGAAACUGAAUCACAGUAUAAACGGCGAAAACUUAGAACUAAUCAACAAGAAACAAAACAAACAACACUUGGCAGUUUUUCGUAAAACAGAUGGAAGAAACCCUAACUUGGGCAACUUGAACGUGUAUAUCUCUUUUUAAUUUUAACCUAUUUAGUUCAAAACAAACAACAAGAUAGACAAUAUAGUUUUUCUUAUAAAUGAUGAAAUUUAAAUUAUGAUAUAAAUAUUUAUUAAAAAACACAUUAUCACAUAUGUAUAUUCGAAAAACAUUUACACAUAGAUAAUAAAAAUAUUUUAUUAUUUAUAUUACGUAAUAACAAUAUGUAUAAAAAUACUGUAAAAGUUAAAUUUUUAAGAGGAAAUAUAAUCAAGUAUAAUAUGAUAUAAUCAAUUCAUUAUCAUAGAACUGAACGUGCAAAAAAUGACAGCAUCCAAUAGUAUUAAACAAAUAAUAAAUAAGGUUAAAUAUUAACGGGAAAAUAGAUAUUUUUGUCACUCAACUUAUUGUGUAUUUAGAAAUUUACGACCCAAUUAUAAUUUUUUUUAUUUUACUCACUGAUGUUAGGUUCGGAUUAUUUUUUUUGCCACUAAAGUUAGGUUUACCUUUGAUUUAUUAACAUUAUAUUAAUUUUUUGUAGCAUUAUUAAAAUGUAGUGGUAAUCUGGAAUAUUUUGAUAAUUUGAUAUAUGUCUAUUAACUUGUUAUAUACCUAAUAUUGUUUAGGUGAUAAGAGUUUGACAAACAUUUUAUGGCUUCUAAAAAAUGUAGUUUAAAAUCCCCAUAACAUAUUGUUCACGCAGUAAGUAAUUUUUGGAUAAAUAUACUGCACAAAUGGCUUCAAAUAUAUGUUUUGGUAAUUGAAAGGAGCCGGCAUGAAGGAGAAAAGUAACAUUUCACAAAGACUUGCAAAUGCAUUUGCCUCUCACCUAAAUAAAAUAAGCUGGAUGCAUCUUUUAAACAUAGUUCAAAGGAAGCAUAUUUUUUCAUGACAAGCAUAAACAUUAUAAUCAUAAACAUUGUCUGCACAAGGCCAUAGUUUGUGUUUUGAUCGAAGAUAAGAAUCUUAUAGAGUCAAAUCAAACUUGUAAGUUUGCAUGCAAUUCUAUUCUAACAUUCUUACAUAAUAUCUGGCAAGUCUGUGUCAUUAAAAUUUACUGGAAAUGAAAGUGUUUGCAUAUCUUUACACAAAAUGUGUAGACGUAAAUUGUAAAGUUGUAAUCACAUAUCAUUAAAAUAUCCCAUCUAGUUCAGGAACAACCCGUACACAUUGGGGACAACACAUGUUAGUGUGUUGCUUGGUAGAUUUUGAGAUAAAUCGGUGUUAAACAUUUCAGAUUUAUUUGUAAAAAACUGCAUUCGUAAUGGCUAUUUACAUCCUCUCUCACAGGAAUUUCUACCUCGGAGAUUUAUUUGAUAGAAAGCUCUUUUGCAUAGGUCUCAUUUGCAGUGACAUAAUGCUUUGCAGUAGGAGCCAAUAAGGAGUCUGUCUUGCCAUUUGAUCAUCUAGACAACUUUUCUUUGAGGGCGUUCAAAGGUGCGUAAUCAACAUUAAAGUAUGAUGAUCCUUGUUGCAUCUGUGCUUGACAAUGUAUCAUUGUGGGUGAGUCUGCAAUAUUAGCAGUAAAUAAUUGGUUACAACUAUAUCAUUAGAAAAAAGCAUUUGAGUUGUUGGUGUUCAUAUUUUAACAUUUGUAACUAAAGCAUGGUUGUCAUGUCGGUCGACUAGUCGCGACUAGUCGACUAAGCGGUGAAUGGAUGUCGACUCAACUUGUCGACUAGCAGAAUGUUGAUAUUUCGGUCGACUAGUCGACUAGGCGAGCUGCUAAAUUUUCGGCUUUGGUUGUCUCUGAUUAUAUUUAUGCUCUGUUUUUCUGCAAUCUGCACAAUAAGUUCUGCAUAACUCUCUAUGUAUUAUCUGCACAUAUUUGUUGUAUAUCAGUUGUUAUAUAUCAGUUGUUACAUAUUUUACUUUGUUUUAUUGUUAUUUGUUAACUCUUUUUGCUUUUCCAUCAUUCCCCUUAAGUUUCUGAUUCUUAAUUCCUUAGAAUCUGAAAUAAAACAUUGUGGAAGGUGUUAGAACUUAAAAAUCUAAUUUACAUGAUAUGUGUGUGUGUGUCUAUAUAAUAUAUUAUUUUUUAAAUUUAUAAUAAUAUUUUUUUUUUGUCGACUAGUCUACGACUUGUCAACGACUAGUCGACUAGUCGAUUAGACGGAGGUCCAUCAACUCGCCUCGACUCAUCGACGUGACAACCAUGAAUUAAAGGUUAAUAUUUUACAAGACUUGUAGACAUCUAGGUAAGUUGUAUUAUUGAGCCUGUCACCUGAGAACUUUUUUGCCAGCAGUCUAACAAAAGUAGCCCUCUCUUCCACGUCCAUGAUUAAAGUCAUGGAUUGGAGUGUAUAUGUAGAAAUGUAUUUUCCUAUAUCUCAUUGAUGUAUAAUGUAUACAAUAUAUAGCAGACUACCAAUAGCUAUCAUAGGCGACAUUACAGGAGAUAUUAACAAGUACAGUAAACUGAAGCAAUUACUGUAGAAUCAAAACUGAUCCUAAACUAAAGCUAUUUUUGAAUUCAUAUAAUAUCAUAUCUGUACUUUAAGUGAUAUGCUGAUUUUGUGGGAUUGCUUUAACAGCCCCCCGCAAACUGGACGAUCUUUGAUGGAAAAGUUUGUGAGUGAGAAGAGAAUGUCGGUGUUUAUGAAGAGGCUUGGUAAGGUGGUCAGCUGGUUGAUCAACAGAUGGAAUGUAACACACACGAUGACUACCAGCAGCAACUUUUUCGCGAACAAAAUGGUAAUCUAAUUCAAUAUGUUUGGUCCGGGCAUGAAAAACUGGGUUAGAGGCCAUGUAUGUUGCACUUAAGUUAUCACAGUGAAGAAGGAUAGGAAACUGCACCUUAGUUCCAAGUUCGUGUAGUAAGAAAGCCAACCAAGUGGUUUCUACACUAGCAUGUGAAAGGGCUCUGUAUUCAGAUUCAGCACUUGAGCGAGCAAUUGUAGGUUGCUUUUUGGAGCACCAAGAGAUCAGAUUAGUGCCGAUAUAACAAAGAUAAUCAGAUGUUGAUCUGCGAGUUUCUGGACAGCCUGCCCAAUCUGCGUCAGAAUAAGCACUGAUAUGCAGUGGUUGACACUGGGGACGAAUGAACAGGCCUUGAUUAAGAGUACCCUUGAUGUAUCGAAGUAUGCGCUUCGCAGCUAGUAAAUGAGAAGUGCGCGGAUGACUCAUGAACUGGGAAAUUGAGUUAACUGCAUAGGCAAUAUCAGGACGAGUUAUCGUCAAGUAUUGAAGAGAACCAACAAUUUCCCUAAAGGCAGUGGGAUUGGCAAGUAUGUCGCCAUCAUCAGAACUGAGAGUAGUUUUUGCUGACAUGGGAGUACUUACUGGUUUAGAAAGCAGCAUAUCGUGCUUGACUAGAAGAUCAUGAGCAUACUUAAGCUGACCAAUAUGUAGUCCAUCAUUUUGAUAACUUACUUGUAAGCCAAGAAAAUAAUUCAAAGGACCCAAGUCUUUGAUGUCAAAUUCACGACCAAGUACAUGAAUGAAUCUUUCCAGAAGGUUAUUGUCGCUGCCCGUAAUCACUAUGUCGUCCACAUAUAGCAGAAAGUAGAUUGUAUGGUUGUUAUGACGGAAUAUGAAGAGUGAGGGAUCAGCUAAGCUUUGAACAAAACCAGCAGAUUUGAGGAAAGUUUUCAUACGGCGAAACCAAGCACGGGGGGGCCUGUUUUAGACCGUAUAGCGCCUUGUGGAGCUUGCAAACAUAAUUGGGUCUAGAUGGAUCAACAAAACCAGGGGUUGAGCCAUGUAAACUUCCUCCUUUAGUAAUCCAUGUAGGAAUGCAUUUUUGACAUCUAAUUGUCGAAGUGCCCAUCCCCGAGAAAGCGCAAGACUAAGGACAGUCCUUAUAGUGGCCGGUUUGAUAACUGGGCUGAAUGUUUCUUCGUAAUCGAUGCCUUGUUGUUGAUGGAAACCUUUGGCAACAAGCCGAGCUUUAUACCUUUCAAUUGUGCCAUCCGGAUUACGCUUAGUACGAAACACCCAUUGGCAGCCGAUUGUGUUGUGAGAUGGUGAUGGAGGCACAAGAGUCCAAGUCUGAUUUUUCAUCAGUGCAUUAACUUCCUCUGUCAUAGCAUUGCGCCAAACUUCAUGUUUAGAAGCCUCUGUAUAACAUGUUGGUUCAGAAUUUUCCACAGCGGUAUGAAGAGCCUGAGGAAGGGGAUGUUUUACAGCUGUAGCCUAACGUUUGUUCUGCGGAAGUGUGCCAUCUUUAGAACAAGUUAUCAUUGGGUGUUGAGCAGAUGGAAGAGGGAGCAUUUGAGCCUCUGUUGGGGCUGAUUCAGAUGUCGUCGUGGUUUCUGUUGUCACCGAUGUCGGAAUUGAGACAGUUGUAGCUUUAUUACGACGUUGAUAUGUGAGCACAGGUGGUGGAUCAUUUGAAGUUUGUGCAACUGAAUUAGUAGCUGGCAAUAAUGGUGAUUGAGACACUUCAUUAGUGCGGGGAGAAGACUCUGUGGAUGGAGUAAUGUGAUCUGGAUGUGAAAAUCCUUCUGAUGGCCUCAAGAAAGAGGCUGGGCUCGGUAAAAGAGCAAAUUCCAAUGGACCAGGUGCCUGUACCUGCAUAUUUUUGUAAGGGAAACAAGUUUCGUUAAAAAUGACAUGUCUGGACACAUAAAGACGACUAGUCUUGGGAUCAAGACAUCUAUAACCCUUAUGUUGUGGACUAUAUCCCAGGAAGACACAUUCAAUACUCCGACUGGAUAAUUUAUCAGAAACAUAUGGACCAAGAUAUGGAUAACAAGAACACCCAAAGACUCGUAGGGAAGAGUAUGAAGGAUGACUACCAUAAAGACAAUGAUGUGGAGUAUCCCAAUUUAAGACAGAGGUGGGAAGGAGAUUAAUAAGAUAUACGGAUGUUAAAACAGCUUCCCAAAGUUUGUGUGGAGCACUAGAAGUACGUAGGAGGUUACGGGCCAUGGUUGCUAUAUGUCGGUGUUUUCUCUCGGCUAACCCAUUUUGUUGAGGAGUGUGAGGACAUGAGAAACGUUGUUGAAUUCCCAGUGAGUUGCAAUAUCUAGUGAAUUCAUGAUUGACAUAUUCAUUCCCAUUGUCACUUUGUAGAAAUUUAAUGGUGAUGCCAAAGAGAUUUUGAAUUUUUGCAACCAAUGUUUUAAAGUGAGUAAGUACUUCAUUCUUCCUAUGCAUUGGAUAUAUCCAUGUAUAGCGAGAAAAUUCAUCUGUGAAAAGUACAUAAUAUUUAAAUCCAGAGGUUGAAGAAGUUGAUGAAUACCAUACAUCACUAUGGAUAACAAAAAAAAGGGGAAUCAGCAUAAGAUGUAUUAUUUUCAAAAGGCAAUUUGUGAGACUUGCUAAGAGCACAUUCAUGACAGAUUUCAUGAAAAGAAAUUUUAGAGCCAAUACUAGGACUUAAACGUGACAAGACAUCAGAUGAGGGGUGACCAAGACGAUUGUGCCAGAUGGAAGAGUGUAUAGUAGCAAGAGCUUGUGGAGUAGAAGAGGUGGAAGACAACUGAAGUUGAUAUAACCCGUCCUUACAAGGGCCCUGAAAUAAUAAACGACCAGUUUGUAAGCAAUAUAUCUGAUAAAAAUCAGGGGCAAAGAGAAAGAAGACUUGAUUAUCUUUAGUAAAACGAGCAACAGAUAACAAGUUUUUACGAAUAGAAGGAAUGUGGAAGAUAUUUUGCAAAGAAAAGUGAGAAGAUCCCAAAGAAAUUGGUAGGUUACCAGUAUGAGAAACGGGCAUUGAGUUCCCGUUACCCAUAUAAACAUUAUGAGGGCCACUGAAUUCUUGAGGAUUGUUGACAAGCAUGGAGGUCAUAUGAUGGGUGGCGCCAGUAUCUGGGUACCAAUUUGGGUCUGCAGCAAAAUGGGCUCCGGCGAAGGGUGCAACUGUCGUUGGGCCUAAGAACUUGUGAGGGCAUUGUUGUUGUCCGUGCUGGUUUGUGUGACAAUUGGAACACCACAUUGGAGCUGGGCCCAAUAUUCCAUUGGAUGGUUGAGGGCGAGGAGCCCAUGGAGACGAGUAUGGUCUAAGUGGAGAAUACGGCUGCUGGAACAGUGGUGUCUGUUGUUGCUAAAAGUUGCGGCCUGAAUUGUAGCUUCUUGAUCUGUUGAAGUUUCGACCAUUUGAAUUAUUUUUCUGAGGUUGAUUUUCACGGCGAGUAUUACUACCAUGAAACAAAGCCGUUUCUGUUCCUUGUUCCUGCUUAUGUGGUUUUUGGGCAUCAAAGGCUAAGAUGCGAGCACGUAACUCAGUAAAAUUGGGAAGAGAAGAGUGUUGUGAUAGAGCAGUGCGGAGCAUGAGGUAGUCUGGUCCAAGUCCAUGAAGUGUUGCAAGUACCAGAUCUUCAUCGGAGAUAGGCUUUUUAAUGGCUGCCAAUUGAUCAGAAAGUGACUUAGCAUGUCGAAGAUAAUCAUCGAUUGAUUGAGAACCUUUACUGAGCUCGAGUAGCUGAAGCUUGAGACUGGAUGCACUAGCAGCAGAACGUUGUGAGAAGUGAUUAGCUAAGCAUUCCCAGAUUUCUUUCGAGGUGUCAAAGCCAAUUGUGAGUUGCGAGACGCUUUCAGACAAAGAAGUAGUAAUAAGACUGACUAUUUGUUGAUCUAUGAUGAACCAAUCCUCAUAUUUUGGGUUGGGAAUUUCUUUUGCAGGUUCUGUUGGAGUCGCAGCAGUCAUGACGGUGUGAGAUGGUUCUGGUAUAGAGCCAUCAAUGUAUCCCCAGAAUUUGGCACCAUGAAGAUAGGGCUUGAUUUGUCUCAGCCAAAUUAGGUAAUUUGUUUCGAUGAGUUUGGUGAAUUGAGCUGUGUUUUGAGAAGGAAAAGAAGUAGGAGAAGAAAAUGCAGAAGCCAUGAUGAGCAAUGAUGCGAAGAGAAAGAAAAGGGAGGAGAUUUGAUUCUAAACCUAGGCUGAUACCAUGUAGAAAUGUAUUUUCCUAUAUCUCAUUGAUGUAUAAUGUGUACAAUAUAUAGCAGACUACCAAUAGCUAUCAUAGGCGACAUUACAGGCGACAUUACAUGAGAUAUUAACAAGUACAGUAAACUGAAGCAAUUACUGUAGAAUCAAAACUGAUCCUAAACUAAAGCUAUUUUUGAGUUCAUAUAAUAUCAUAUGUGUACUUUAAGUGAUAUGCUGAUUUUGUGGGAUUGCUUUAACAGUAUCAACUGAGAUGAGUUAAGUACUUUACACAAUGAUAUGUUUUGUUAGCAAGAAACAUGUAAACCACCGUAAUGAGAUUAUUAGUUGUUAAGAAAUUAUAAUUACCAGAAUGAGAAACCAACACAGUAAGAAAUUAGGAAUAAGCAUCAGCUUCAAGCAAAUUAUAUCUCAAUGUUUCUCAGUGUCACUAUGAGCUUGUGACUUGAUGCUUAAAGUUUAGGCUAAUUAUAUCUUCUUCUGAUAAAGCAGUUAUUUAAGCUUAUUGUGAUAUUUAUUUAUAGCUCCAUAUAGGAGUCUCCGUGCUCAAUCUCGAGGACUUGUUUGGGAACAGGAUGUUUGUUACGCUUGUACGACAUCACGAGUGAGGUCGUGCGCCUUGCUCUUAUGAACUUAUAUUGAUUAAAUGACUUAAUUUAAAUAUUAUGGCUUGUUAUUUUUUAAUAUAUAGGCAAUGCUUAUCGACUUUUUAAAAUUUAUUCUCCAGACCCAACACAUAAAAUUACACAUAUUGAGGAUGGACGGAUAAGAGCAUCCCGAAAAGAUUAUAUACGAUGUACCAAUUUAUAAUUUAAUAUUUAUGAUAUUUUCAAUUUUAUUCCAAACUACAUCCUGAUUAUUUCCUAACAAGUUAGGAUAUCUAAAUUCAUUCCUUAAAAGGUAGCAGUUCCAAAUUAUAAUUGAAAAGAUUUCGAUAUUUUCAAAUAUCACUCCAAACUACAUCCUAAUUAUUUCUUAACGAGUUAGAAUAUCUAAAUUCAUUCCUUAAAAAAUAGCACUUCCUCAUCUUAUGUUUAAGAAUAAAAUAUUCAUUUUCUUCUUCUUUUCAAUUUUUCCCUCCACAUUAUUUCUCUUGUAAUAGAGUUUGAUUUUAAAUAUAUACAAUAAUAAUAGGGAGUACAAGAAUUGUUGUAUGUAAUUUAGUACUCUCUCCGUCCUAACCAGUUAUAUACAUUUGGUUGGGACACGGAGACCAAGAAAAAGUGUAAAAAAUGAGUAAAGUUGAUAAAAAGUGAGUAUAGUGGUGGGACUCAUUUAUAUUUAAUAAUAGAUUUGAGAUGGUGGAGGAAAUUAGUUAGUGUAAUAGUGUUUAUAUUAUUAUAAAAUGGAGAUGGUGGAAGAAAGUAGUUAGUAUAAUGAUGUUUUAUAUUAUAAAUAUUUACUAUUUAUGGAAUGUAUACAAUGGGGGGACGUCCCAAAAUAGAAACUAUAUACAAAUGAAUGGGACGGAGGAAGUAUAAAUCCUAAUCUAUUGUAAGUUAAAUUUAUUAUGCUCAAGAAUAAAAUGUUUAUUUUCUUCUUUUUCACUUUCUUCCCUCCUUUUUUCAAAUUUUUUUCUUUCUAAUAGAGGUUGAUUUUAAACAUAUAAUAAUAGCAAAGAGUACAAGAAUUGUUCGAGUUGUAAUUUAAUAUAAUAUCCUAAUCUGCUUUAAUUUAAACAUCUUAUUAUAUGUUUAAGAACUUACUUGGGGGAUCGCCCUUAGAGAUCCGGGAUGUCAGAUUCAUAUGCUGGUUUUUCUUUUAGAACUUGAGUUAUUAGAUUGGAGUGUUUUAUUAUUUAUUUUAUUCGUAUAGCAAACUGAAGCUGAAUAUUUCAGCAUUGUCAACUAGAGCAUAGAAUUUCAAAAACUUAUGAAAAGCAUACCAGGGAAACUUGAGGUUACGAGCUGAAUACCGCUGGAAAACUUGAGGAAUGUACACAAAUAGGUUCCACUGUGUUGCCUUAAUCUUGCAUCUUAUUCUAUAAAAAACAACAAAAAAGUUCCACCCAGCUGACAUUAAAGACCUGGGCUGACUAGUCUGAUCAGCCGUUCAAGUUCUUUAUUUGCGAGCACUGGCCAGAUGAAGGUUUCUGUAAUGCACUGAGAAGUCUGCAGACAUCAGAAUCAGACGACCUCAACUAAGUAGAUUAUACAAUUUCAACUAAGUAGCUUAGUUUUUGAAAUGGACUACUAUCCUGCAGCAUUAGCCAAUUCAAGACUACUUAAUUCUUGAUAACACUGCUAACUGAAGUAACUAUGGAAUGAAAUCCAUACACAUAUAAGCUCUUUAUCUCAUUGCGUUGAUAAUUCAAAACUGCAGUUAAACUAUAUUAAGCCUUUUAGUUACUUCACGUAAUAAAAUUAAGAUAAAAACAUUCUAUAAACAAAAAGUCGAUGUAGUGCAGAGAAGCUCCAUUCUUAAAUUUAAAUUUAACAAAAUUAUGUCAAUAAACACCCAAUCAUUUGCAAUCAGUCAGACAAGAACAGCAAAAUUAACAAUGACAUUUGAAAUGAAUACUGCCAGGGUUGCAGACCCUAGAAAUAAAAAUGUUGGCAAAUGGAAAAUUAUUUACCUUAGCAAUCUCUCACUCUGUUAGACAAAUGGAAAAUACUUAUUAUGCAGAGCAAGAAAAGCAGGAUCCUGUUCUUGUGAUUUAAGUAGGACACUUAUUAUAUCUACUAAAAAAAAUUCCGCACAUGUCUGCAUGUGAGAAAAUAACAUUACAAUAUGUACUGUAACUCUCAAUAGUUGCUUUUAAACCUACAAAAAUGCUGGCAAAAUCGAGAAGAUUAUGUACCUCAGAACUCUCUCCUUCGUUACACCUACAGCAAGUACUUCUUGCACAAUGCAAGCAGAGUAGGAUCCUGUUCUUGCACAUCAAGUAAAUCCAGUAAACCAGAUGCAGUAGAUGCGUCUGCUGCAAAGCCGCGACCAAACAUUUCAUCUAGGAGUACACCUGCUUCAUAGUAAUUCUUAUUCUGUAAACAACCGCGGAUAAGCAUGUUGUAUGUGACAUCAUUAGGAAAGCAAUCAUUAGCUUCCAUUUCCCUGAAUAGUUCAUUUGCUUCAUCCAAUAACCCUUCAUGACAAUAUGCUUGGAUCAUCACUGUGUAUGUCUUGACAUUAGGUCGCAAACCUUUCGCAGGAAGGUUGUCAAAAAGGCUUCUUGCAUUCUCGAGAUGUCCAUUUUUGCUNNNNNNNNNNNNNNNNNNNNNNNNNNNNNNNNNNNNNNNNNNNNNNNNNNNNNNNNNNNNNNNNNNNNNNNNNNNNNNNNNNNNNNNNNNNNNNNNNNNNNNNNNNNNNNNNNNNNNNNNNNNNNNNNNNNNNNNNNNNNNNNNNNNNNNNNNNNNNNNNNNNNNNNNNNNNNNNNNNNNNNNNNNNNNNNNNNNNNNNNNNNNNNNNNNNNNNNNNNNNNNNNNNNNNNNNNNNNNNNNNNNNNNNNNNNNNNNNNNNNNNNNNNNNNNNNNNNNNNNNNNNNNNNNNNNNNNNNNNNNNNNNNNNNNNNNNNNNNNNNNNNNNNNNNNNNNNNNNNNNNNNNNNNNNNNNNNNNNNNNNNNNNNNNNNNNNNNNNNNNNNNNNNNNNNNNNNNNNNNNNNNNNNNNNNNNNNNNNNNNNNNNNNNNNNNNNNNNNNNNNNNNNNNNNNNNNNNNNNNNNNNNNNNNNNNNNNNNNNNNNNNNNNNNNNNNNNNNNNNNNNNNNNNNNNNNNNNNNNNNNNNNNNNNNNNNNNNNNNNNNNNNNNNNNNNNNNNNNNNNNNNNNNNNNNNNNNNNNNNNNNNNNNNNNNNNNNNNNNNNNNNNNNNNNNACACCUACGGCGAGUACUUCUUGCACAAAGCAAGCAGAGCAGGAUUCUGUUCUUGCACAUCAAGUAAAUCCAGUAAACCAGAUGCAGUAGAUGCGUCUGCUGCAAAGCCGCGACCAAACAUUUCAUCUAGGAGUACACCUGCUUCAUAGUAAUUCUUAUUCUGUAAACAACCGCGGAUAAGCAUGUUGUAUGUGACAUCAUUAGGAAAGCAAUCAUUAGCUUCCAUUUCCCUGAAUAGUUCAUUUGCUUCAUCCAAUAACCCUUCAUGACAAUAUGCUUGGAUCAUCACUGUGUAUGUCUUGACAUUAGGUCGCAAACCUUUCGCAGGAAGGUUGUCAAAAAGGCUUCUUGCAUUCUCGAGAUGUCCAUUUUUGCUUAGUCCAUUAAUCAGAAUAGUGUAAACAUGUACAUUAGGAACUAACCCACGGGAUUCCAGUAUUUGAAAAAAGGAUAGUGCUUCAAAUACAUAACAAUUCUGGCAAAGACCAUGCAACAAGAUACUGCAUGUCACUUUAUUUAACUCAACACCUUGGUUAAUCAUCUUUUCCUUAAAAAAUUCACGUGCUUCAACAUGUCUACCCGCAUGAAAAAAACCUUGCAGUAUAGUACUGUAAGUCUCAAUAGUUGGGGCUAAACCUUCAGAGGGCAUAUGUUGAAAAAGAGCUAUUGCUCUGUCCACUUUCUUCUUUCUACAGUACCCGUUGAUCAGAAUAUUAUAGCUAAGAGUAUUAGGCAGUAUUCCCUUUCUAGUCAUGCUUUCGAACACUACUAAUGCUUUAUCAACCUUUCCCCGCAAGCAGUAUCCAUCCAUUAGUGAGCUGUAAGUGACUACAUCAGGAUAAUGGCCUCUUUGAAUCAUCAACUCUAUCACAUCCUCUGCAUCUUCAAUCAUUCCUUCCUUGCAAUACGCAUCAACCAAUAUAUUGUAAGUAAAAACAUCUCGAGAAAUGUUCCUAACAUCCAUCUCCUUGAGCAAUUGUUUGACAUCAUGCCAUCGAUUAAUGUCACACAGACCUUGAACUAAGGAGUUGUAGGUUAUGACAUCUGGGGAUAUGCCUUUCCUUGUCAUUUGGUGGAGAAGACCCAAUGCUUGAUCAACUAAUCUAUGUUUACACAAACAAUCAAUAAGUGUGGUGUAAGUUACGGUAUCAGGCUUGCAACCUUUCUUCUCCAUAUUUUUGAACAACUUAACAGCCACCGAAGGAUUCCCUCUCUUGCAGAUGCCGUCGAUGAUUGUGUUAUAGGUUACAACAUUGGGUUGAAUAAGUUGAAAUCUGAUGAGGUUCUGGAACAAAAGCUGAGCCUCUUGAAGCAUAUCUUGGGAAAUAAGGCCCCUGAUGAGAGUGUUAUAAGUCACCACACUUGGCACAAAACCGUGCUUGAUGAUUCCAGCCAAUAGUGAAAAGGCAAAAUCGACACGAUUCAAGUGACAGAAACAGUUAAUGGCAGUAGUGAAGGUAUAUAUAUUAAGGGGGAUGCUUCGAACACGCAUAUCCCUAAAGAGAGACACAGCUACAGAGUACUCUUUCAUUUUAACGAGGGCGGCUAGCAGUUGAUUAAAUUUAAGAACAGGAAGCAUAGGCUUCAUAAGGAGCAUUUUAUCAAACACUUGGAGAGCAUCAUCGAGUUUAUCGAAACCAACCUUUGAUUUCUCAUAAAGUAAUUGCUGAAGUCUCGCAUGAGAUGUAUUGGAAAAAUGAGGAACAUAGGGGUGUUUGGGGUUAGGUUUAGUGGAGAACAUAAGAAAAUGAGCAUCGAAUUGAAACAAUGCGAGAGAACAAGUAGUAGUUGCAGACUCAGCUGCAGAUCGUAGAAAUGGUAGCAUUGGUCUCAAGGAAGCGAGACUCCUCAUCGCUGCUUAUAUAAUCAGUUACUGUAUGCUUCUUCUUGCCGGUGCUCUCACUUCACUGGAUUCAGUUGGCCUGAAUAAAAAAAAGGGAAUAAUGGGAUCUACUUUGUGUUGCAAAUUUGUAAUUAUAUCUAUAUAAUUUUUAAGAGGUAAAGUUUUAUAUUUAUAUAAAUAUAAAAAUUAAUAUAUAAUUUUCAUUUUAAUCAAUUUAUUAUUUUUUAGUUUUUUCCUUAUAUCAUACGCUCUCCGUUUUAAUAUAACUAGCUUAUAACCCGUGCAUUCCGUGCAAUGCACGAGCGGUUAUAAUAUUUUUUAUUGUAUCAUAUAUGUAGUUUAAAUUUAACUAAUUUUAUUGUAAAAAUAAAACUAUGAUAGACUAAUGUGAUUAAAUAAAUUUUUAUUUAACUGCUGAAUAAAUUCUUAAUAGUUAAGUUCGUCAAAUGACUAAUUAAAAAUUAGGUUGAACAUAUAUUUUGAUGAGAAUGUUACAUAUAUUUGUUUACAUGUUAUAAUUUAAGGAGAUCUAUAAACCCAUAUAUAAAUCAACCAAUCAACCUUAUAAUAUUUCGUUAGUAAUAAUUAAUAAUAUAGUAUAUAACAUAUUAUAAGUUAAAGAGACACGUAAACCCAAAUAUCGAUCUAUCAUACUGACCUAAAUUUUAAUAUUUGAAUUUUGAUUUGAUUGAUAAUAAAAAAAAUAUAUUAUAACACAUUAUAAAUUAAUGAGGUCCGUGGGUUGAAUACCAACCGUCUUGCCAAACUCGAUUGAUCGACGUGCCAACUAACCAAUUGAAAUUCUCAUUUUUCGGCUUUUGGCUUUAACAGUAUAAUAAUAUAUGGUUUAGUAUAGAUUUAUAAUAUCACUUUUAAAGUGAGACCGUUAGAGUAUUUAAAAAAAUGUUAAUUAAUUUUGGUUUAAUUAUAUAUAAUAAUAUUAUGUUUUUAUACAUAUGUCGCCCGUGUUAAUUGUAGAAAAUCGAUUUUUUUAGUUUAGGAAUCUGAAAAAAAUAAUGUGUUUUAGUUAAAAAGGUAAUUAUUAUGUUGCUCGAUGUUAUUUCAAAAAAUUGAUUUUUUAGUUGGAAAAUAUAAAAAAGAUAAUAUAUUUUAUUUAGAAAGAAUAAUUUGUUAUAUAGAUAGGCCCUGUUUCGGUCCAAGUGAAUAACUGGUUAUAUGCAUAGGCCCAUAUUUUGGCCGAAGUACCGAUCGACCAAACUUUUAAUGUUUCGGCUUUAAUAGUAUAGUAUGGAUAUUUUCUCCGGCCCUUUUUAGUUGUCACAUUUGAUUUUGACCAGUUAAAUUGACUAAAAUUUGACUAAAAUUUAUUGAUAUUUUAUUAAUUAAUAAAAAAAAAUUAUGUCACCGAAAAUAACUUUUAAUCUACUUUAAUAUGUAAAUUUCAGUUUUAAAAUAAUAUAAGCGUGAAUUAAAAUUUUUAUCAAUAAUUAAGCUAUUUGAUCAAUAAAAAUAAAAAUGUAACAACUAAAAAGAUAUGGAGAGAAUAGUUUUAAGAAUAGAGCAAAGUCGGUCUUCUAAUUUAUAUUUUAAAAUUUUAAGGUGCGUAAUUAAAUUUAGCAGAGUGGAAAAAUGAACUUGUGAACGGCUACUACCUUGGUUGUUGCUCAUAACAUUUAAACUAUGAGCUUACUGUCAAAAAAUCCAUUAAUCUUUUCAUUAUUUUGUUGAUUAACAAACAACGUUUUUUUACUAACAAGUUAACCAUCAACCUUUUCAAAAUUAAGUAAAUUUUAACCAUGGUUAAUUUAAAAUCUCACAUGAUGUUUGCCACAUCACUACUCCACCUACUUGCCACAUGUAAAUUAUAAAAAAUAACAAUAACAUCAAUAAUUCAUUAUCAAAAUCAGAAUAUCAAUAGAAAAUCUAAAAUCUCUAUUGCCCCUCUCGUUCUUAUUCAUUUAUAACAUCCCAAGCCCAUAACUUGAUGCAUACCGGACCCAACAACCCACCACAGGUCAGCCCAAAAGUGCUAGCAAUUUGGUAUACAUUAGUUAUUUGCUUGUGUUUAUAAAGGCCCAAAUACUCUUUUAUCUAACCGGAUGUUACAAACACCCCCUCUUAUAUGCUCGACGUCCUCGUCGAGCGCACAAUCAAACUCGAAACCCGGGCAGUGCCUUGGCACUUCCGGUCGGGUAUCGCUUUGAUACCAUUUAUAACAUCCCAAGCCCAUAACUUGAUGCAUACCGGACCCAACAACCCACCACAGGUCGGCCCAAAAGUGCUAGCAAUUUGGUAUACAUUAGUUAUUUGCCACAAAGGCCUACAGUUGAAACCCUACCCAACGAUCAUCUUGCUGCACUCAUUUCAAUCGUUGUUCUUCGAUUAAUACGGUAAGUUCAUCUUCGAUUCUUCCUUUCACCUGAUUUAUAUACUCAUUUGUCAUUAGGAUUUCUGAAUUCGAUUAGUGUUCUUAUGAUUUGGGUUAAUUUGGGUUUGUAUUAUAUGGUUGUAGAUAUCAAGUAUGGAGGAGGAUUGCAAGUGUUUAAGGUUCAAUUGGAGGUAAUAUACUGUCAUUAUUCAAGUAUACCUAGAUAAAUGUAAUAUGCUAGAUUUGGUGAUCGACUUCGAAGAUGAAGGUAAGAAGUCCGGCGUUGUGCUUAAAUACAAAUACGGGUGUUUUCAUAUGUGUACAAGAUGGACCUUGUCAAAUUGUUGAAUGAUAAAGACUUAAUGGAGAUGUUUACUAGGGUAAAUGGGGGAGAAGUUUAUAGAUAUAUAGGUAGGUACAAUGGUGAAGCCUAAUCCAUUAUAUGAGUUGUUUUUACAGUUUAAGCAAGAAAAUAAGGAGGGGGAUAAUGAGGGGGAUUAGGGGAUGGAUAAGAAGGGUGCUGAUGAGGUAGAUAUUAUGGAGGAGGGGGAUGAUAUUGAUGGAGAUAAAUACAAUGAAAGAAGUUAUAAUACUGAAGACAGUGAUUAUAAUGAAGAAAAGGAGCCUGAUGAAGAUAUUGAGUCUAAUGAAGAGAGUUUUGUAUAUAAGAAUAAUGAGGUCGCGGAGGAUAAUGGUGAAGAUAUUCAUAUUAAUGAGGCUGUGGAUGAUUCUAUUGAGGAUAUCUUUUUAUCUGAAUGUAAAAUUCUAUCAUAAUGACAAGUUUUUGGUUCAAAACUGAAGGAAUUUGUCGAUUUUACGUUCGAAUGAUUGAAAAUUUUUAUGUCUUCAUGAUUCAAAAAAAUUAUGAAUGUUGUCUUAUUAGUUUUAUUUUAUGAAUUUGUAGAUUGCAAUAGAAUUUGUUAUACUGUAAUUAUGCUCGUACUCAAUUACUUUUGAUGAAAAAAAUUGAAUGGAUUUUUUUUUUAAUAAUAUCAGGUUGUUUGUUGGUUAUUAUGACAGGCUAACUAAUAAAAUUAAUCUUCGGUGCCACGUGUACUAUCUUGGUUUAUCACAUCAGUUGUCAUUAACCAUGAUUAGUCCAUUAACCGCUUUUUUGCAUAAUUUUGAAAAAAUUAUUGGUUGAACUUGUUAGUAAAAAAACAUUUUUGGUUGAUCAGCAAAAUAGAGAAAAGGUUAAUGAAUUUUUGGCAAUAAGCUCUUUAAACUAUAUGUUGAUAAAUUGGAAUCAAUCUUAAAAUUAGAAUUUAGGAAAACAGGCAUCCAUUAGAUGAACUUAGGAACACACCUGCUUUGAUUGAAAUUUAUACAUAUUAUAUAACUGAAAAAAAUAGUAAAAAUUGGGUUGAUAAAUUUGCAUGAGCAUUGUUGAUUUCAAUAUAUACAAAAUGUUUUUACUAUAGCAGUAACAGAGUGAACUAGGACACAUUGUUGUACCCAAGUUAGUCAUCGUCUCCAGCUCCGCCGAACCCUUCUGCAUCUCCACCACCCCAAUCUUGAUCCCAAGUUAGUCAUCGUCUCCAGCUCCAUCGAACCCUUCUGCAUCUCCGCCACCCCAAUCUUGAACAUCUGCUGGUCCAUCAUCGACAUUAACAUCUAUAGCCAUGUCGAAACCAAUAUCAUCAUUAGGGACUUCCUGCAGUUCUGGCACGGUCUUCUUAAUCUCCAUAGAUGCAAUGUUUGCGUCACUGAAAAAAUCAGCAUACGGCUUCGAAACCUGAACAGAGAUAUAAAAUUUAAAAAAUUCUUAAUUAUAUACGCUCCAUUGUUGUAGCAACAAUAAUCUUGAGAUAACAUAUUUGUAUAUACGCCAUGCCAAUUGCCACAUCUUAAUAAAACUGUAACUAGAAAUUUCAUUCUCCAUUCUUGUCUUUAGCCAAAUAAGGAAAAAUUUAAAUGUUCACAUAAAUUUUCAAAAUUCAAAUCAGUUGAUGUAGAUGUAGUCGAAGAAGAUAUAGAAACUUUGUUUCUGAGUGAUGGUAAAGGAGAUGCAAAGCAAAUUUAGUCUAAAAAGAUUUAACCACCUUGUAAAGAGCAUUCCUCUUUUCUGCACUCUCGAUGAGAUUCUUCCAGUGCUCGUCUUUUCUCAAAGUUGAAGCAGAACCCACCACCUGAAUAAACAAAGAGGCAGCUUCUGUUAUAUAAGCAAAGCUAUGAUUGUACUGUACACAGUUCUGAAAAAAAUCAAAAAAAGCGCUUCAAAUUUAUUACCCAAACAGAAGACCUUGCUCUGGUAAUUCCGACAUUCAUUCUCCGAGAAUCAGCAACAAAUCCGAUGCCUUUAUCUUUGCUUGCCCUGACACAAGAAAAUAUAGCAACAUCUUUUUCUCUUCCCUGCAUUAGGAACAGGAUACAUUUAACAAAAUUUACAACUUUUAGAACGAGGAAUACAAGUAAUGCGCAAGAUGCAUCCGGUGAUUAUAACUUCAAAUAAAAUCUCAAGACGAAUAUAGAGCCAUAUUAAUCUCAAACAAUGAAUAGUAAAUUUUUAUUUCAAAGAGAUAAAUUUGUUAGCAAAUCAAAUAACCAUAAAGUGAAAAAUUGCCUAAACAUGAAAGCAGAAAGAAAUUUUUUUACUUUUACCUGGAAUCCAUCCACAGUGUUGAUGUCUACAAAUUUCUUUGAAUCUUCACCAAAGGUAUCCUUGAACUUAUCACGGAAGAGGCUUACUUGAGAUCUAUAGGGAGAUAUUAUAGCAAUUUGAGAGCUCGACUUGAGCUCUACAAAUCUAGCUAAUAACUUGUGAUACAUAAGCACAACAAACUCAGCCUCGUCAACAUUUUCCCAAGAGCCACUAUUUGAAGGCUGGGACUCUUUUCCCUCAUGUAAAUCAAAAAAACAGAAAGGACCGAAGCAGCUGUAUAUGUGCCAUGCACGUCUAGUUUCGCUUUCAACAGCAGGACCAUCCUCCAAGGCCUCCUUGUAGAAUUCUUUAGAAGGAAAGCUUCUUAUCUGCAAGCAGAUAGACUUGUGUACAGUAAUAUUAUACAGAUGAUAUAAGAUAUCAGCAGCCCUUUGUUAUAUAAUAAUAUAAUAUACACUUAUAGAAUUGGCAUUAUAUACAGUACUUGGGGCAGCUAUAUGUUGCAACUCUGAGAAAACCGACAAGUCAAACAAAAAUAUAAAGAUACAAGUCUUCAUGGAAGUUAGGGCAAAGGCAUUAUACCUCUGGAUGCAUGCGAUACUGGGUCUUUAACAUCUGUACGGGAUACCCCGCUUCUUGAAAUCUCUUAAACAAGCUCAUCCCGUACCUAUUACAUAGGGUUAGGGAAAAAAUUAUGCAACAUAAUUACAUAAGAUGAAGAUGAUGAUUGAUAAACCGCCAUGUUUAAAACCAGUUUAUACACUACUCUGAACAUAUAUGCAUUCCUUACUUAAAUUUCUCGGCAACAGGAGAAAUCACAGUGGCUGGAAGUUGAAGAGGAUCACCAACCUAAAUAGAUUAGAAAUGAUGUCUGAGAAAGUAAUCACAAACCAGAAGUGGUAAAAUUUAUCAGCUAGCAAAUUGAUAUAACCAAAUUGGCAUAAUAUAAACCUUUUAUCUUCACUUCCUAGUUGCCAAAAGAUUAUGACAAAGUGUUUAUAUAUACUGUUUUAUGUUUUAUGAUAUCUCAUAAUAUACAGCACCGCAAAAUCUUUUCCAGAGCCUCCCAUCAAUCAUCACAUGGAGUAUGCAAUGUGUUCAAUAUUUUCUUUGAAUUUAAAGUAAUGCUCGAAAUGAAAUUUUGCAAAUAGGGAUUUGUUCUUACUAUAUUCCAUCCUGUUUUAAUUGUCCCUUUUGAAAGCAAAAUUUGUCCUAAAUUAGUUGCCCCUUCUCUUCAUUCAAUGUGCAUUUAUCAACAAUCUUCCAAAAUUACUCAUACUUAUUUGUUAUUUUCAGUUGUAGCCUCCUAAUACUAUCAUAAGUUGAUGUUAUAAAUGUGGGUAGAUAUGGGAAAAAAGUACUACUUUUAAAACUUCUUAAUAUGUGUGAAAUCUUCAAAAGGGACAUUUAAUUUGGGAUGCAGUAAACAUUACGUUUGUGAAGCCAAUAAACAAGCAUUGCAUAUAUUCAGUGUUCUAAAAGUCAAUGAUCAAUCGCUAGACGGUAGCUCACCGUCUCGAUUAAGCAUAUAUCAGGUCAAAAAUCGUUUUUCAUAAAAUCGGUCAAAAAUCGUCCUGUUGAUUAUAAUUAGUAAAAUUCAUGAGAAAACAUUUAAAAUUAAAAUAAUAAUUAAAAAGGUAGAAACUUGGACAAAAAAGUAAGAGAAGUAUUACUUUCGUAUAUAUUAUUCAUAAUUUAGAUGGUUAAAUUAUUUAUUCUAAUGUAUUACUCCCUCCGUCCCCCUGAGUAGUAUACAUCGGGGGACGGGGACGCGGCACGGACUUUAAUGCUCCUGUAAAGUGUAGUUGUGUAAUUUAUUUUUAAAAUUUUCUUUUUCUGAAUUAAAGUUUAGAUGUUAUAUUUUUAUUCAAAAAAAGAAAAUCUCAAAAAUAAGUUACGGAACUAUGUUUUAUAAGAGCAUUGAAAUGCGUGUCGAGCAGUUAAAAAGAAACGUAUACAAUUAAAUGGGACAGAGGGAGUAAUAUAUAUAUAUAAAGAUUAUCUCUAACUACGAUAACAAAAUAAUUAUAAGUAUAUUAAUCAUAUAAAAACUAAUAUAACUUCACUGAUUAAGUCCCAUUUCCACUUUUUACCAUGCUACAUAUAUCAAUUAACUAGCAAAUACUAUAAAAUAGUUGGAGAGAAUAUUCCAUAUUACUAGCAUGUUUUAUGUACCAGGAAUACUUGCUUGCAUCCAUUAGCCAGUGGAACAAGAGUUGCUGCUUCUAUCUAUUCAUGACAAAAAUUCAAAAUCAGAUGAAGAUCUAAAAUAGAUUAAAGCAGGUUCCUAAUAGUGAAUCUCUGAGCAUUUCUGAAAACAGACCUAGCAUAAAAAUAUCCUAACCUAAAUUUAGAUGUACUGAGUACACAUUCUCACACACUCAAGUAAAUAUCUAUAAUCUUCCACAGAUAUACUAAAAUGUGUUCCACUAGAAUGUUCAUGGGAACUUAUAUAUAAGAUCUGUCUGCCAAGUUAAUGAAGACCUGAUGUCCCCAAAAGGAGGUAAAAAGAGACAAAUUAAGGGAAUAACCAGUGGCGCCCAUGAAUUGUAUUAAGGGGGCUAAGUUUUACUUCUAAAAAAUCACGGAUCAGAAAAAAACAUUCCAAUACAUUAACAUUAACAUCAUUCGAAUUCAUUACAUAUACUAUAAAAACAAUUCUUACAAUGACAUUCUUCUAGGUGCCAUAUUUUGAAAUCUCAUUAUAAUGUCUUUGACAUCAAUUGAAUUUUGGGGGGGGCUAAAUUAAUUUUUACAAUUUUCUGUAUGCAUAUAAAAAAAAUCCUUUUUUUUAAGUUNCAAUAAUUCCAGUAUGAAUAUUUACACCAUGUGAAAGCGGUAACCUGUUAGCUACUUUGUUGUAACUAGCAAUUUUUGCUGAUAUGAACGACUCAAGUUGAUACUUGAAGGACCAGGGAAAAUAAUGCUACUUACUGGUAUAAUAUAAAAUUACAUGUUAUACUUACAAUGCUACUUACUGGUAUAAUAUAAAAUUACAUGUUAUAAAGUAAAUAUCAGUAUUAGUAACUUAAAUGUUUCUCAACAGAAUAAAACACAAUUUGUUAUUACAGCAUUCGACUGGGUACUAACGACUUUGAAUAUAUAACUGCUAAGAAAUUUUAAUCCAUAUAUUGAGCAAACGUACCGCUUGGGCAGCUUCAUCAAUUAUAACAACAUCAAAAGUGCGAUUCAGUUUACUGAAAAGAGAUGAACCACUGAAACUGAGUGUAGAGAAUACCUGCAACAAGUUCAGGAAUCAGCAAAGAUAUCAAAGUUCAAUUUUAAACAGAAGACUAGAAUAACAUACAAUUGCUGCUUCAUCUAAAAUUGAAUUACGAAUGGCAUUUUUAUCCCUUCCAGCACUUCCAUGUUUCUGUUUUUCACCAGUCUGGAAAUCCACGCCAGCAAGUUUUUGUUCCACCUAAAAAUUAGGACAUAAGGAGCCUGUCUAAACGAAGGUACACAAAUUUUCAGAAAGUUUACCAAUCUGUUUGUCUUGCCAGGUACUUACAAGAUGAUCCAUAGAUACGGCAGCAACAGAGUGAUGGACGUUGAGACCAAUUCGUACAAUUUUAGGGGUGUAUAAACGAUCAUUUUCAUCAUGAAUACCUAAGAACAGCCAAAAAUGACGUAUAUUAAUUGGACACACAAACAAUUCUAUCACAAGGAAAAAGAUGCUGCUUGUAGAAAUCUUCAGAACUGAUACUUGUAAAAGCUGGGAAGAGGCAAGCGCGGGAAACAACAAAAAGUUUGCAAAAAACAAGAGGCAUAAAGUGUCGUGUAUAUCUUCCAUCAAGUAAGGUAACAUGACUAUCAAGCACAAACUCUAAAAUAUGAACCGAGAAAAGCUUGCAUACUUUGCAAAAGACGUCACCUUGGUUGGCAAACAUAUAUGCCAAAAGCCAAUCGUGGUGACAACCAUUAAAGCGGAAUAGAAAUAUAGAAACCUAGGUAGUAAUUCAGGGCCGGUUUUGAGGGAGUGCAACAAGUGCAACAGCACAGGGCCCAUGAAAAUUUAGGGCCCCCAAUUUAUAACUGCUUCUUUCUAUCUUUUGGUAUACUCAUGAUAAAUAUAAUAUAAAAUUAAUAUCUCUUUAAUUUUUAUCAUUAUUUUAUUUAAACACUAAUCAAUUCUCAACUCCCAAGACCCAGCCAUGCACGUCUCUUCUUAUUCCUUCUCUCUCUCCCCACAAACUAGUACCCUGUACAAGCAGUAAAUCCCACACGGUCACACACAUAUUCAAGUCUAACUACUCAAAAAACAAACAAUUUUUCGGUUGUAGUAGUAUUUUGUUUAUGAUAUCUUGUUAUUUUAAAUAUAUUAAAAUUUUAUUUUGUCAUUUGGAAGGGCCUCAUUCUUAAAGUCAGCACAGGGCCUCAAAAAAAUCCCAGACGGCCCUGGGUAGUAGGCACUCUUUAAUCUUUAUCAUCUCAAGAAUAGAUAAGAUUCCAGGAACUAUAUAUACAUAUCAUGUAAUGAAACCUGCAUAUGCUUAAAAUUAUAAUGUAAGCUGACACAGAUAAAAGUACCAAUACAAUAUGACGAUAAACAGUAUAUGCAUCGUCAAAUCAUCAAACACAAGUUGUACAAAAUCACCAAUAAGUGGCGCCAUCUAACUACCGAAUCAUGUCAACUGAUUUGCAUGCUUCCCCAUUAAUUUAAUAACACAGCAGCAAAGUGGCAGAUUUUGAUCAAGAAGAAGAGGGGGAGAGUUCACAUAACUGAAAUAAAUGUAUGAGAAUCUAGAAGUUUCUAGGAGUCCAACCAUUAAUCGGCAAGCAAAAAUAGAGAUUGGUAGCUUGAGAAGAUGAAUGAUACCUUUCAGUACACGCAAAACAAUCUCGUCCAAUGCAGAGUUUGACGGGGCACAGACUAGAACACGCACGCGAUAUUUGCGACUAGAAUUAACCACCUCUGGUUUCUGUACAUUAAACUAAGCUUAGAAAAUUGUACCAAGAUAUACAUCACUACAGCACGGAACAAUGUGAUAACAUACCAAAUCAUUGCCAGUGGUCGGGAAAAAACCAUCGUCACCAUUUUUAGGCAUAAUCGCAUCCCUAGGAUUAGUACCACCUAACCAAGGUGAGGCCUUCGUCCAGUGAUUGUAUCUAUAUAGUAUCGAAAAUUCAACAGUUAAAUUCAUAAAAGGUUAAAAGUUCAAUAUGAUAAUUCUACAUUUUAAAUAAGACAAUACUUAACUAAAUAGAACACAGUUACACAGGUUUAUUCAAAGAUUCCGGCACCGGAGUUAUACUGAUCAAUUUGUUUCAGGUCAUAUAAUCUGUUGUAAAUACAACAUAGACGACCCAGGGGCCAGGGUUACUCUGGGAGUACCCUGGGAUGACAAGGAUAUAUUGAUUAUAUGUAUUACAGAACCAAAAACAUGAAAUAGUUGGUUCAAGGUGGUAAAUUAAGGAAGGCCAAAGAUCUAAUUUUAUACUUUGAUAUUGCAUAAUGUAGAGGCCCUAAAUGUCAAUUUUAUUAACCUUAAAUAACAAAGUUCCUCUUAAUCCACACAGUUAGGUCUUUCUACUAAAACAUAGCCCAUCUCUAAUAUUUUUCUCUUUGUUUUAUUUUUGGAAAAGAAAAUUCCUCCCUCUGCCACUCGUUAUAUAGAGUAUAGACUAUUCUUUUGUAAGGAUUUACUAAAAAUCACUUAUAAAUAGUACUGUAACGUUUUCCUUUUCGCUUUCUACUCAAGAAAAGCAGAUGAAUUGCUUCUCGAGAUAGGGGGUCGUUGCAAUUUUUUUAAUAAGGUACACAAAAUUGUCAGGGACAGGGGAGUGAGGAAUUGAACCAAUGAUCUUGGUCAUGGGAGACAGUUGAGUUGCCAGUUACCACUACACUGAGCCACCUACACAUGUUUAGUUUUAGUACGAAUCUUUACUUGACAGUAUAUUAUCUGCUUUAACUUUAUCAUUUCGGUGUUCAAAUUUCUGAUGCAUUUCUCUCUUCCUGGAGUCUGUAAAUAUUUUUUAAUGUACAAGGAGAGGGAGGUGAGGGAUGAAACUUAAACUCAAAAACUAGUCCAGAGUAAAGUUAAUAGUAUUAUUGCAGAUAAAUUGUUAAAGGUCCUAUGCACUAUAUAUAGGUAUUGAGGAGUAUGUCGUGUACUUGUACACAAGCAUGGAAGCAUGCAACAUCUAAUAAUCUGCUGCCUGAGAACUUCUAUUAGACAAUAAUGUAGUUUUGAUCAGGGGCAGAUCUAAUAAGGGGCACGUGUAACAUCUAAAAGAAAUUGAUGUUUUUUCACCAUUAGAAACUUUGAAAAAAUAGAGAAGUGCCCCCACAAAAAUUUAAAAAUAAAAUAAAAUAUGAGGGUGCUUUCCUAGAUUUACUCGUUGCUCCCCUAAGAUUGUUUUCUGCAUCUGCCCCUAAUUUUGAUGAAGCCUCCCCUGAAAUUUCACGCCUCAAACAUACAGAUAGAACUUCAGAAUUCAUCAAUAAUGAUGGUGAGAAUUAACUCAAUUUAAGAUUAUUCAUCUGCUGAUUCUUCCUAAAGAAUUUUACCAGCUUAUGUCACUUGUUCCACUCUAGUAACUCCAGCUCAGUGAUUUCAUGGCAAAGGCUUCACAUAUAAUUCGCAUCCAACCCUUAGAGAUAAUGUGACAAGGAGCCAGAUAAGUUUAACUUUCAUAAUUUUUUUAACAUCUUGCCAUGGAUGGUUUCGAUUGUACUUAUGCAUUACUCUUCUUCACUUAUGGCUAUAUAUAUAAAUAUAUAUAUAUAUAUAUAUAUAUAUAUGUAUAUAUGUAUUACCUAUAGAAUGUUGAAGCCCUUGUUCAUCAUACCUUUUACCCAUUUAUUUGUUCAUCCGUUAACAAUCCUCUCUUGACUCCGUAUGCAUUAGAUUACUCGGUUAAUAGAAAUGUUUCACAAUAUCAGCCUUCAUAAAAACCUACUGCAGCUUCAUACCACAGGCUUGGUUUAUUAGAUUAUUAUUUAAUAAACAAAGAUCUGUGCACUAAAUAAUGCUGUUGGAAAAAUCCUUUCUCAUAUUCCCCAAUAAGGUUACAUCCUUUAAACAAACCACUUUCUUCCCUGACCAAAAUCCAACAUCACACUCUUGAAAAUUCGGACCAUAUCCUCACUACUUUGGUGACUUGAUUACAAGAGCUUAGAUAUGAGAUUGAAUAGCCAUUCAAGAUCCACAUAAGAUAAAGGAUAAAUGAAGCAAUAUAUGCGGGCACGUACUUUUCCUGAAAUGGUAGUUCAGGCCCACGCUUUAUUUCUGUUAAUCUACCCCUACAUUAAAAAAAUUAAAUAAGUCAACAAUAUAUUAUUUCCAUAAAUAGAGACUCUAAAUCAGUAUGGCAGAUGAACAAUGGAUUAUAGAAGUUUGAUCUAAAUACUUACUUGGAGUGUAUUCUAACUGGAAUUGCGUGCAAAAUGACACUAAGAAUCCCCAGGAUAGUUUGUGUUUUUCCUGUUCCUGGUGGGCCCUAUAAGUUGCUCACUGUUAGGCAUAACAAGCAAAAAUAGAAGUCCCAAAGUCUUUAGGCAUAAUUGUAUGCAACCAAUAUUAUGAUGAUAACAGACAAUCGAAUUUGUUAGCAGCAGCGGUAUCAAACAUUUAAUGUGUGUUCCGGUGGGGAGGGGGGGGCAGCCAGAAUAACAAUGAAUAUGAAUCUUACAUGAUUUUUGCCAAUUAUUGAAAGCACAGUCUUGAACAAAACCACUAAUCUACAAACCAAUGGACCAACUGAAAUUAUUUUAAAAGCUUAUAAUAUUCUGCAACAGUAAAACCAUCUCGAGAGACUAUGUGUCUCAACUGGAUUUCAUGUUGUAAAUCAGGGUAUUGGUUGCUCAAAGAAUCUCAGGAGUGCAUGAUAAUACGUCACAUUGUUCGUUUUUUCUGGUUAAAAUAGUUCAUUUACUACUUUAAAUUUUGUCCAAAGUUAAGAUUGCUAUAGUAUGCAUUUCUAAGAUUCCAGUUAAUUUUUGAAAACCGUUUUUCAAAUAUAAAUAUAAAAAAUCUAGAGCUUAACAAUCAACAAUAAAUGAAACAUUAUAUCAUGUGUAAUCGUUACCAGGACUCUCCAAUUUUGCCUUUCUACUCGUGUCCACCAGACAUAAGGGGAUAAGACUGUAAGUUGAAUCUAUCUUAUUGGAACCGAAAAUUUCACCUCACAGCAUUCAAUUUCAAAAUAAUAAAACUCUACUUAAAACUUGUUUAUAGAAAGAAUGAUCCACGGUAACACGGUUUAGUCGUUUUAAUGUAAUUCUUUAAAUUUUAUACUAUAUUUUGACAUACAUGAUUAAGUGGAUAAUUGGAUAUGAUUUAUGUGUAGUAGCCACUAUCUUCAUGAAUGUAAAACAUAUUAGUCUAUAUAGGGUUUCACUUGUUUAAGCUUACAUGUUCAGUCCCCGCACCCAUGUCCAAUUUCGGAUCCAUAUCCGGAAAUCCUAAUGUUUUAUAACUAGUUGACUCUUAGAUCUACACCCGUGUUCGACACCCAUACGGCCUCUCUGAGGGGUUGUUGUGUAACAAGUGCAUAAUAUCCGCUAGACGUAUAUACCCCCAGUCUGAGUAACACAGUGUCACAUAGGUUACUCAAUAUAUAAGGCCAAUAAAUAAGGCAAUAGAUCAAACACGAGGGACAACAAAAAGAGAAACAAGCUACAUCCUUCUAACUUUGUUACAUGCUCAAACUGCAUAAUAUUUCAGGUGUUAGCCAUUGGUAUUCUUAUUGUGUUGCAAUCAUGUAUGUUAUAUUAGCCUUUAGAUAUAUCCGGGGAUACGAAAGUCUAACAGUAAAUAUGUCAGCCUACACAUUCAGAGAGUAUAAGGUUGUUCCCAUCCUUGUUCCAUGAUUGCAAGGUCUCUCGUGAUUGACAUUUAUAGUUCCAAACGAUGAGUUUCUUAAGGCAGAUAUUAUGGCUGCACUUUUAAAGUGUGCAAGGUGGCUGAUAUAAUCUCAGUUUAAAAAAACGGAAGUAUACUGCAAAAUAUUCUCUCCUCAACAAACAGUCCAUUCACUAUAUAAGUAUUGGCAUGUAACUGGGAUUCAGACUGCAUAGCAUUUCAAGUGCUGCAACUGGCACACUAUUGUCAAUCAACCAUGUAUACUUUUUAGUCCCUAAAUAGAGUCAAGUGCUGUAUACAAAAGUAUUAUUAACUAGUAACCAAAUUUUGACAUAAACAUCUCAGUGAUUUAAUCAUUACCGGUGCUUUCAGAUGAAUACAAAGCAUAGCAUUACUUUUAACUUCUUAAAACACCACAAAAAUAUAUGAAAAAGAUCUAGCAAUACUGAUUCCUUCAAGUGAAAGAGCAUUUUCCAUUAUUUUAGAGAUAACAUAGAUGUCGAACGACAAUAUACUAUAAACAAGGAAUGCAGUACUAUAUAGAUGAAGGAGAGUUGAAAUGCAACUACAGUUAAAUAAAGAAUUAAUGACACAUAAGAAGCCAAACCUGUAUCAAGACAAAUGGUUUGCGUGACAGACCAGCCUGAAUCAAGCAAUUAUGUAUUAGCACACACAUAAGUAUUUUUCAUUCAUCUGUGCGUGUGUAUAUCAAUAAAUGAUGUAUAAGCAAAGUAGUUGUCUGUUAACUGAGGAAUGAACAAGACUAAAAGGACGGGAAGGAGACUCUGACUAGGUUAAAGAACUCACAUCUAUGGCUUCUAGUUGGGAUGCAUUGUGAUUGCUUUUUAUGUAAUCCUUCAGGGAACUAGAAAUAUCCCAGGCCCGAUCUUCAGAAGAUUGUUGGCUUUCAGCUGCCUUCAAUAUUAAAUCUUUGAAUGGAAGAGAGCCAACUGAACGGAGAGCGACAUAUUCUCGGACAAUUGUAGACAAACUGCAGAUCUGAACAGUUAAAUUUAGUAAUUACAUAUUGGCAAUUUAUACAAAGUAACUUGUGUGUUCACCAGAGAAAUUGUCAAGGUGAGAACAUCAACUUGUAUGUCCGUACAAAAAAAAAACCACAACAUGAAUCUAAAAAUUGAUUAUCAAUUACUGUAUGAGAAGUCAGAAAACAUGUGAUCAACUAGACAGAAAAAACAAUGUGGAGUAACAACAAAAUAAAUACAUAGAUAAUACAGAAAAUUACUUUCUUAAUGACCCAAGUUUUCUGUGAUUCUUUCACAAGAGGGCGCAUACGCGACAGCCUUGGGCAAGAUUUGACCUCAUCAGCAUUUGAUCCUUUAACCUCUCCACCUAACUCCAUUCUAAGUCCAAUCUUUCCUCCAUUGCUACCUGAUUGCUUAUACUCGACCAACCCAAACGCGUAUAUAGUUGAGAGGUCUUCACUUUCUUCAAGCUGCAAAAGUCACUCGUCCAGGGAUGUAGUCUAUAGAUUAAUAGAAUAUUAACUAUAGCUAUUUGGCAUAUAUAUGACUUAAAAAAUUUAAAGCGGUAACCAUUUAGCAUGUAUAGUAGCAGAGCUGGCCACAAAAACUUUUAAACAUACCAACUUAUUUACACUGUUAAUAGUAUCACUUUUUAAGAACAUACAGAUUCUGACUAUAAAUAAUAUCACUUUUAAGAACAUACAGAAUCUGAAAAACACCUGAUACCUUCUUCCUAGAGAGGAGCAAUAGAUCAUUUUGUUGAAUUGAAUCCCAAUUCUCCCCAAAAACCACUGGUAGGUGAAACCCGUCAGCCUCAUUGCAUUCAACAAUUAUGCCAGUCUUCCAUUCUAUGUCUACCAAAAAGAAGAAUAUAGAUAUCAGAUAAAGCGUCAUGCAGUCAUAUCGUACACCGAUAUCCAUGUCAAAACAUUAAUUUACGCCAACUUCCUUUUCCACAUAACAGCAUCUUAUAUAUCAGCUACAUAACUAAAUCUUCUAAUUCAAUCUGAAAUCUGUGAGUAGUGCACUCAUAUAUUAGGCUGUUAAAAUAAUAUAAGGAGUCACAUUCUGGUGCCAGCAUGAUAAUGUUAACAACCAAGCAAAUUCAGUAUUCGUAUAUGAAGUAUACAGCAUUCCAAAUCAGAGGUUACAGUCAUGCUAUCAAGAUAGUAAAAAAAUAUAUAUAUAUAAUCAUGGAAGUAAUCGCCCCCAAUUCACAAAAUACAGGGACUUUAAUCAAUUGCUGUACAGUGUACGCCAUUAAAUACAUAACAUUUUCAAAGACCCUCCCAGUGUAUAUUUCAAACAUCUGUGAAGGUGUGUGUAUGAUCAUCAGCAUAAGGCCUCACACCAAACCACGACUUGGAAAAAGGCCAAACAUGAACAACUUGCUUUACUAACCAAGUGCACAGGAACUCAUAAAAACCACAUUAUUCUCUACGAAAAACAUAAAAAAAGGUACCUUCUUCCUGGUCCUUUUGCUGAACAAUCUGAGCCUUAACUUCUUCAAACAAGAGAGGUUCGAAUAUAGAAAUAUACUCAUUAACAUCUUUAUAAGUAUGCUUCACUUCUUUCAAACCCAGAUCACCAGCUUUUUUAUUGUUUUUCUGGUCCUAAAAAAUAAAAAAUACCAAAAAAACACAAUACUGAACAUGGGUAUCAACAAAUACAUAUAAAGAUUGAAUCUUCAUGUAUAUAUUCUUGAAAAAAAAUCAAGAAAAUAAAAAACUGAACAUGGGUAUGAAUGAAUACAUGUAAAGAUAAAAUCUUAAUGGAAAUAUACUUACAGAUUCUCGAAGGAGACGAAGAUAAUCCCAGCUUAGAACUAUUUUGUAAAAACGAAGUGUGCAAGCUUCUUCCUCAACCUUGAUUUUGUCUACAGCCAUUGAUGAUGCUUUUUGUCAGGCUGUAGACAAUCCGGGGAAGACAGGGUUUUUGGGGUUUAGGGUUUAUGUUUUUUCUUUUAGUUCUUGUCCAAACAUGAACACCAAACUAAAGAAAAUUGAAAACUUUUGGGUAUGUUUUUGCCUUUGUACCUAACAAUUGAUUCGGAGCAAAGAUGAAAAACAAUUUUUUCCUAAAAUAGUCAAAUUUAAUUCAUAUAUCUUAGAUAUCAUUAUUUAUUAGUUAAAUUUGGAGUUUCCAUUUUUUAAAUAACAAAAGUGAAAGCUUCAAGGAAGUGAAAAUUGAGAGAGGAGAUUGAACUCGACGUAUUAUCCGAUUUGAUUCAAAUAUUAAUAAAUUUGAUUUAAGUCAUGUGUGAGAUGGUAGGAGUGUUGUUUAAAAUCAUGUGUUCUUAUAAAAAUGUUUUUAGAAAAAUAUUAUCAUGAACACUAGUUAUCUUUUUGAUAAUUUUUAAUAUUUAUAAUUUUUGUAUUAUAAUAUUGAAAAAUAAUAUCCAGUGAGAUUUGAUAGUUAAAUCUAUUAAAAUUCUCAUUGAGAUUUGAUAGUUAAAUCUGUUAAAAUUCUCAUAAAAUGCUGCAAGACAAUUUUUUUUUAAAAAUGUUAGAUACAUACUUUUAUUAGAAGUGUUAAAAACAGUUGUUCAAAAAAAAUACUUUUACAAUUAUCAAUAAUUUUAUUAUUAUUGACAAAAAAUUCUGAAGACAUGCAAAAAGACCUUUUGAAACUCUAUAUAUAACUCACUGGAGGCGGAAGAAUUUCCGUCCUAGUUGAAUCGAAAACUCCAACCGACACCUUCGCAUUUUAAAACUCUAUAUGUAACUCACUAGAGGUGGAAAUUUCAGAAUUCCCGUCCUAGUUGAAUGCAAAAGGGGAAUUUGGCAAGAAUCCUCAUUUUUACUAUCUUUAUUAUCUUUAUUGCGGAAUUACUACAUACCUUGAAUCAUUGCAAAAAUGCGAUUUCUUUGGUGAAGUAAGAGAAAAAAACAGAAGAGUAAACCAAAUACACAUUCACUGAUUUCUUCCAUUUCAUUCUCUCGAUUCAUCCCCGCCACUUACACACAAUGCGCGCGCCAAUCACACAAAUCUUAAUUCAAAACCUUAGAUUUCAUCCUUAAAUUAUGUGGGGAAGACAUUCUACGCAUCUCUCACCUUUCGUCGUCUCGAGAUCCGUGCUGCAACCUCAUCGCUCCAUGUUCCUGAUGUUUCCUCCUCUCGUUUCACCACGCCGCUUCUCUUUUCUCUCACGAUCAUUUCCUCAACCACCUCCGACCUUUCUCCCAAUUUUAAUCGGUUGAUUUUAGUUGAUUUUGUAAUGUUUUUUAGUUGAUUUUACGGUUACCUCUGUGUUUUUAAUAUCGGCCCCACAUAGGUACUCAUUUUCGCCAUUUGCAAUCACUUGCAACUUAUUUUGCUACUAAAAGCAAUUUUGAACAUAUUUUGUCAAAGUUGAAUUUGUGGUUGCAUAUAUGGUCGCUUGUUGUAUAUGCAACCUUCGUAUUCUUACAAAUAUUUUUUUGAAACAUAUUAAUUUUAUAAUCUAUUUUAAAUGUGACAGUAUUUUUGCAGAUAUUCUUUUAGAGUUGGGAAUUUAUGGAAAAAGCGCUAUUGCAAAUAGAUAGUAAAAAGAAUUUUAUCACACACACACACAUAUACAAUAUUUCUAAUAUUGGUAUGUGUUAAUUUGUUUUUGAUUAAUUUUGAAUCAUAUAUUUAUAUAUUUUUCAUCGGUAAAGAAAAAAAAUAUUAUUUGAUAUUGGUUUCUUAUUCGUCUUAGAGCAGAAUAUGUAAUAGUUAAAAACAGUUAAAUGAUUAUCGUUAUUUGUCUUGUAGUAGAGUGGAAGGGAUAUGUUGGUUUAUUUUUCACUUAUUGCAGAAAAAGAUAAAAAAGACUAAUAUAAAAUUGAUCAAAAUUAUCUAAUUAAAAUAAAACAAAUUAAAUUACAUUGUGUAAUAAUAUAUUAUCACAUUUUGACCUUUCCAAAAUAAAAAAAUAUCAUUUAAAUUUAAAUUGCGGAUGCAGAGUUCUCUUUAUUUUUCUUCUUAAUUUUCGCUAAUAUAACAUGUCAAGAAAUUUCAUACCAAAAUCAAAAGUAGAAAAUUUAUUAUUAUUAUUUUUUUGCCACAUUAUUUUAAUUAUUUUCUUAUAGUCAAAACUCAAAACAGUCAUACUCAACUGGUUCCUCACACUACAGCCCAGGAAACGCACCCCUUUCUUCUUAAACCCUAAAAAUAGUUCAGAUUUGGGGUUUACACCAUCCAUCUCACACACCCAAAUCUCCUUUGAACCCGUUUCAUCUAUCAUUUCUCGACCCCAAAUCACUUAAAAAAUUCAAUCUUUUUGCCAAUCCUAAUGUCUUGAAUGAAUCUUUAUUACCCAUGCUCAAGACCCUGAAAAAUUGGGUGUAGUUUAUUAGAAAUAAUGCUAUUAUUGAAUCCAAGAAAACACCACUUGGAUCUUUUUACAAUGUUUGUCUUGCCUAGAGGUCAAAGGGUCUCUGAAGUUGCUGCUAUUGCUGGUUUUCAUAGUCAUGUUCCAGUUGAAUCUAACCCAUCUCACCACUUGGAGACUGUUUGGUUUGUUAAGGUUUUGUGUACUCUUUGUAUUCGUACCUCGCCGUCUCUCCAGAUUUUUAAAAGUCAGUAUUUUGAGAAGAAUUUGAAUCCUUUUCUUGCAUUUGAAGUUAUAAAACAUGUGAAUUUCAGCUUUAGUAACCCGGAACUAGCUUUUGGGUUCUUUCAGUUUACGAGGACUAAUUUGAGGGUUGUUCAUUCUUUUGAUACUUAUUAUAUGUUACUGAGAUCGUUUCCUGAAAUGGGGUUUCAUGAUUUGGCUAAAGAUGUUCUUGAUUGUAUGAGGCUUGACGGCUAUUUGCUUGAUAAUGCGUUGUUUGAGUUUCUUGUAAUGUCGUUCGCCAAUGCAGGCAAGUUUGAAGUUGCUAGAGAAUUGUUUAUUGCUCAAGAGUUGUUAUUUGUGCGAUCUGGUAGUGACAGAGUAGGCAAAAUAAGUGCUUAUGUAUAUAAUAACUUUUUAAGUUUGUUGGUGAAGAAAAACCAGGUUAACGAGGCUAUAGGAUUUUUCCGGGACCAUGUUUUGAGAUCAAAGUGUUGUUUCCCUGAUACUUGCACAUUUAACAUUGUACUCCGUGGUAUGUGCAAAGUUGGGGAACCUGAUAAGGCAUUUGUGAUGUUGAACGAUAUGGACAACCAUGGCUGUUUGCCGGAUGUUGUUUCAUUUAACACUCUUAUAAACGGAUUUUGUCGAAUUGGUAAUGUAGCUAGAGCUUAUGAGUUAUUGAGAAAAAUCCAGUCAGAAGGUCGGUUUCCACCGGAUGUUGUUUCUUAUACAUCAGUAAUAUCAGGUUAUUGCAGGCUAGGUGAAAUGUAUAAUGCUUCAAGUAUAUUUGAUGAAAUGAUUAAUAGAGGAGUAAAGCCAAAUUUAGUUACCUUUAAUGCAGUUAUUGACGGGUUUGCUAAGACUGGAGACAUGAGUUCAGCACUGAAUAUUUAUGAGAAGAUGCUUCAUCUCGGUUGUCCUCCUGAUGUUGUUACAUUCACUUCUCUCAUGGAUGGCCAUUGUCGGAUAGGGCAGGUAGACCAUGGUUUGAAUCUUUGGAAUGAAAUUUAUACAAGGAAGCUGCUUCCAAAUGUGUAUACAUUUUCUGUUAUUAUAAAUGCUCUAUGCAAGCAAAAUCGAUUAGAUGAGGCUCACAACUUCUUAAAGCAGUUAAAUUCUAGAGGUGAUAUUGCACCACAACCAUUUCUUUAUAACCCUGUUAUUGAUGGGUUUUGUAAGUGUGGAAAUGUCGACAAGGCAAAUGUGAUUCUUAGAGAAAUGGAGGAGAAAAAAUGUAAACCUGAUAAACUGACUUUCACCAUUCUUAUACUUGGACAUUGCAUGAAGGGUAGAAUGUUUGAGGCCAUUAACAUGUUUAAUAAGAUGUUGGCAGUUGGGUGUUCACCAGAUAAAAUUACUAUCAAAUCACUGGUUUCAUGCCUCCAAAAGGCUGGGAUGCCCAAAGAAGCCCAUAAGAUAAGGCUAGCCGUGGCAGGGUACUUAGAUUCAUGUCUGUCAUCCUCUAGCAGGAGUAUUCCAGACUUGAAUAUCAGUGCGGCCAUUAAGUAAUAUAAUAGCGGCCUUUCCUAUAAUGCAUGUGGCUUAAUGGGCCAAAGCUGCAUCCCUCCAUGGUAUGUAUUUCGCCAUCAUACUUUGUAUAGCUCAUCUCUAUAUGUAGUUCUUACUUCCAUUGGCAUAUUAUAUCUGAUACCACUGAUAUAAAGAUUGAACAGAAACUUGCCGAAUAAUCCUACACAUAAUUUCACAAAAUAAUACUGUCUUGUUCAACUUAUAAUUUUACAGGUCUCCGAUGAAUUGUUUCUUUGAAUAAAUUGCUUUGAAUUGCAACCUGCAACUGAUUUUCCUUUGGACAUGGUAGCAUUAUAUUUCAAUUUGGAGGUUUAUAUUUUGUACUGGCCAACUCCAUGUAGAUGGGCUUUAGUGAACGAUAUACUUUUUUGUUUUGACGGGGAACCUUUAAAAGUAAACCUCGGGGGCGGGCCGUCCCCUACUAGACCCAACACCAGGCAAGUCAAGUGCUUGAUCGAUCGAAGUAGUGAGUUAUCACUAUUAUCUAAAAGCAUCAUAAGUUCAUGACUACUUUUCCUAUAUAUAUUAUUGGACUCUAUCAAUAUUUUUCCUGAUCAACUAAAAACCUAAAUAAUAUAACUAUGAUUUUUAAUAUGCUCCGCUAUACUAAAUUGUAUAAACUAUUUACUUACUUUCUUAACCAUAGCAUGGCCAUUCAGGUCUUUUUAGUUUGUUAAAGGUCGAGUAAUUUACCUUGCACAAAUAAAAUUAUUGGUCCAUGUAGUACGUGCUUGGCUUACAAAACAUCCUGCGUAUUUUUAGUGCAUCUUAUAUGGAGUAUUAAAGUUCUGGAGACCAGAACUUCUAAAAUUUUGUGUUGGUAUUCACUACACUGCAGUCAUAUUUCUAGUGCAUCUAACCUGGAGAUGGUAUUCUAUACAACAUAGAUUUUCUCUACCAGACAUGUUUGAUGAAAUGAUAAGUCUGUGGUUGUGAUUUGCCAGGACGUCAUGAUGCUGGUUUGUUGUGUUCAUGCAUAAGACAGAGAGGGUGCAGGGAGGGGUUUCGAAAUAUUCUUGCAACUUGCAAUUAGGAAAGCAGAGAUGCACUAUGGAGACACUAAUUAUAUUUUUUGGAAAAGAAAGCUGUAAUGCAUCAUAAUGGAUGCAGUUAAUAAAAACAGGUUAUAGAGGAUAGUUGCAUAGCUACAUUGUUACACUAUUUGGACUCGCCUAAUGACGAGGAAAUGGUAACUUCAGUUAUUACAAACUGUUUCAUGUUUAAUGUUUACUUGAAUCUUGAAAGUUUUUUAGCAAAGAAACCAGACCAGACAUACCCUUAGCCUUAAGUCACCACUCAGGAGUGGAAUAUUUUGUUUCUAUUUUUUAUUUUAAGUGGGGUGGGGUGGGGGAAGAUGUACACUUAUCUCACCCUUAGUAGUGAAGAAGCAAUUUCUGUUAGACCCUGGCUUUUUGGGAAAUUUUAAGAGUAAAAGAUGUUAGACAUUAUGAAAAAUCUUUGCAAUAUUGAAGACAUAUGAAUGUUUACAGGAGUUGCAAAAAGACAUUAGAAGGCAAAAGACAGAGUGAACUGUAGGAAAAAAGGCAUGCAGUAGAAUAGCAUUUAAGGCGUGACAAUAAAAUGAGGUAUGCAAUAGCUACUGUUCUCCCCUCCACUCUGGUAUGUCCCUCUUACAAGUUACAAAAAUGUCUUAAAGAUUUGUAAAAAAAGAAGUCCUAAAGAAUAUAUUUUCAUUAUGGUGCUAUGGUAACUGUAUUUGUACAAUGCUAAUUGUUGGUCUACAACACUGUAUCAAAUAAGUUUAGGUUUUGUGAUAUUAUUUACCAGGAAUUGCUAAUUUCUGCAUAAAUGUCUAAUUAUAAAUUUGUAAUCGGUAGUCGUUUAGGUUUUGAAUUGUUUAAUAAACUUGGUUCUUAAGGCAUAUAUUGUGGAGUACUGGAGUGUGUUUUGACUUGUUUAAUAAACUUAGUUCCUAAGGCAUAUUAAUAUCAUUAUUGAGGUCACAGUAUGCCAUGUGAUGCUUACCUGCUACAAAGCUUGCAAGUUAGUAUUGUUCUGGUUCUAAAAUAUAAAUAAGUUGGAAUAAAGUUCGCUGUAGUCCUAGUAAAUUUCCUGCAGAGUUGGAAAUUCUAGCCACACGUCAUUUCUUUUUCACUGAUUACUUUAUUAAUUUAUGUUUCCAUGUGCAAAGAAGCCUUUGAUACUAUUUGCUGAAAGACUGAUACAUGGUAAUGCGCUAUGCGAGAACUUCAGUGAGAUAUCAAAACAUGUAAGCUAUUUGGAUCUUUAUGCUGGCGGGGAACUAGAUCUAACUGUAAGUAAUUCAAUUAUAUUUGUUCUUACCUUUAUUUUGUGUUGCUUUCAAAUUUCAAUAUUAACACUCAGUCACUAGUUCAACGCUUAUUUUGUCUUAUUAUGUGGUAGUAUGAAUAUCACCUAGAUAUACUUUCGUGGCAAAGAAUUCGUACAAGAAAGUACUUUAGUUAGAUAUACAGGGUAAUUUCUGAUCGGAACAACAUUAUGUAUAUAUAAAUCUAUUUACUACUGAAUCAUUGUUGGUGAUAUGUUUGGUCAACUCAAAACAUAUUACAUCCGAUUUAAUUCUUAGUGGUUGCAGUUGUAGUAUCUAUCUGCAUUCUUAUUUCUUUUUCCAAUCUUGUGGAACUUGAAUAGCAUAACUUCCUUCUUUUUUUUUUUCCCUUUAAUGAUGGAAGCAAUUUGUAUUGUGGAUCUAUUGUCUUGCUAUUAAAUCCCUCAUAUACCCUAACUAUUUAAUUUCUCCAAAAACGUAGUUAAAUAAAUUGUCGAAAAGUGAAAUGAAAAUAUUUAAGUCUUUUUACUAGUUCCGUAUGCUCCCAAUCCCAUUACUUGCCAGGACAUACUAAACAACUUCUCGUGAAUAUCAAAUGCUCGUAGCAGUUUUAUGCUUUCCAUUUUCUGCAUUUAGAGACUUCAUAUGUACUCCCUCUGUUUCAGUUUACAUGUUUCAAUUUACAUGCCCACUAAACAAUGUCUCAAAUUAGUUCUCCACUUCAACUAUCAAUGUAGUGUAGUUCACUAUUUGUAUUUUCAAGAUCAACUUUAUAUACCAUAUAUCCUAAUUUAUAUUUCCAAGAUCAACUAUAUUCUAUAUACUAUGUUUGGUCAAUGCAGUAGAUAUAAUUAUAAAUGAAGGUUUUCUGUUUAAUCUUUAAAAUAUGCGUGAUUUUUGUAACACUGUAAUUUGAAACGGAGGGAGUACAUUGUAGUAACCCUUUUUAACCAAUAAUAAAACAAUACAAGACACCGGCUUGAUCCUUUUAAGUUUUAACACAUACUGAUAUGGAUCUUUAUUGAUGAGGUUUGCAGAUUGCAACAUCUCUUGAUUUCUUGUUCUAGACAGCAAAAAUAUACAGGGAAGAGAUGAUCUAGAGAAUGACUGUCAAGAAAUGAGAUGGAUCAGGGAGCCUCUACAAUUUUGCCCUAGGAGAAAUGUGAGCAAGUAGGGGAUUUUUCAUGACAACAGUGAAUUCUUCUUUCUCUGAUAGAUCAACAGGAACACCAUCAGGAGCCUUCCAUCUGAAAUACCAAAUCAGAUUAGCCACAAAAUACUCAAGAUGAAGCAUUGCCAAGUUCAAGGCAGGGCAUAUCCUUCUCCCAGCACCGAAAGGCAUCAUCUUGAUCCCCCUGCUCCCUGUUAUAUCGAAAGCUUCUAAAUCUCCCUUUUUAUUCAAGAACCUUUCCGGUUUAAAUUCCAACGGAUCAUCCCACACCUUAGGAUCCCUCCCCAUCUCGGCCACCAUAUAAUUAAUUCUUGCAUCUGUAGGCACUACAUAACCGUCCAACUCAAUUUCCUGAGUCACGGAAUGUGCCAAUACGAAAUGUGCAGGCGGAUGAGCUCUCAAACUCUCCAACACAACUGCCUUCAAAUAUGGCAUCUGCUGCAAAUCCUCUUCCUCCACCACCACCAUUUUCCCUUCUCCCCCCAACCCCGGACAGUUACCCUUAACACUCAUAAUCUCAUCAUAAACUUUCCCCUGAAUCUCCGGAUGCUUCACCAAGUUGGCCAUAAUCCAUUGCAAAGCCGUUGUAGUCGUAUCUGUCCCCCCAGUCAAAAACUCACUACACAAACUAACAAUUUCCGGAAAACUCAAUUUCCUAUCCCCUUCCUCCGGAAGCUUCAAUUUCAGCAACGUAUCAACAUACGCUGUGACUACCUCAUCCUGAUCAAGUCCCGGCUGGAGCUUCUCCAAUCGGCACUUGAUCAACGGAAUCAACACACUCUCUUGAUUCUUUCGAAGUCUUUUCAACUCUAACCAUCUCCUGUAAAACAAAGUCUUUCCUAACACGGGCCACAUAUCAAGCACCCUAACCCUCUCUAAAUUCGAGAAAAUCCCUCUCUGCACCCUCUCAACCUCCUUAAUCUCCUUCUCCUCCAACUUAUCCCCAAAACACAUCAACACAAGCAACCCGAACAUCGCAAACUGAAACUCAUCUACAACCUUAACACCCACAUUGUCAGUACUCUUGUAAAGGCGUUGCACCAGUACACCCAACACCCACUCCCUCGCAUGUGAGAACGCCUUCACCCUCGAAGGAUGCAAAAUCUCAGAAUUCAAAUUCCUCCGAAACAAGCGCCACGUGGGGCCAUACCCAGCAGUAUUAAUAUUAUGCUGAUUACAGCUUAAAAACCUUUUUGUGGGGGGUGGUCGAGGCCGGUCGGAGAAAAUGGCGCCGUUUUCAACAAGAGAACUGUGAGCCAGGGAGUGGGAACUAAUAAAGAUGACAGUGCGGGAACCAAAUUUGAGAGUGAUAAUAGGGCCGUACUUGUGUCCGAGUUUGGCUAGGAUUGGUCCGACGUCGGAGACUGAGUGUCUUAGCCAGAGGAGGUUACCGAGGAUAGGAAUAGAAACAGGACCUGGAGGGAGGUUGAGCCGACAAGUGGUGACGAGACGGAGGAGGGGUUUGAGUAGUAGAGCGAGGGAGACUGUGAAGGCAAUGAUUAACCAAGCUUCCAUGGUGAUUUUCAUUUAACAUUAUGAACAAACUGUGCAUGUGUAUAUAUAGAUCGCCAGCCGGGAGUAUUAUGCUCUUGGAUGACUUGAUUCGAUGAUCAAGAGCUUUCUUCAAAUGUCUUUAUUCAUUUUAUGUAAGAAUUUUAUGUAAUUGUGCUUGUCUGAAAAAUACCAAGUUGCCGGGAGUCUGAAAAGAUGGUGAAUUGUGCUUGUCCGAAAGUACUUGUCAUGUUUGAAAUCCGUGUAAUUCACUUGUUCCUUUCGGAUUGUAUACGUUUACGACAGGAUUUCGAGGUUUUUUUUAGAUCUAAUUCAUGCUCGUCACGUAUUUUGAGUCUUUUGUAAAAUAUAAUUUUAAAAUUAUUUUUCUUCAGAAUAAAAAUUAAAGUUUUAAAUUUUAGUUCAGUAACCAAGUUUUUCAAAAAUAAUUUAUAAAAAUAUAUUUUGUAAAAAUUUUAAAAUACGUGCAAAGUAAUGCAAACGACUGAAUGAUCAACUUUUCUAUGUUAUAUAUAUACACUAGCUUAUGAUCCGUGAUUUAUAUUAUUUAUUAUUUAUAUUUUAAAUUUAAUUGAAAUAUAAACUCAUCACACUUACUGAAUUUAUAAAUAUUUUGACUUAGUUAAUAAUAAAAAGAUUUAUUAGAUUAUGUUAUAUAUUGUGGAGACUUCUAAACUAAACCAACUGGCUAAUAAAAUUAUUAAUAUUUUAUUUAAUAGUACAAGUUGUAUCAAAUUCGCAAAGAAUAGUGAACCACCAAAUACCAAUGUCAUAGAAGAAGUGGAUUUUGUUUAAGGAUGUUUUAGUUUAAUACGAUUUAUUAUAAUAGAGUUAAGUUCUAUGGAGUACAUAAAAACAUUGGAGUAUUGGAGUACAAAUCAUAAUUUUUUAGUUUGAUCAUAUAUAAUAUCUUUGAUUAUCCAAAUUUUGAUAUAAUCUAUCAUUUAUAAGUUGUCUUGCACAUAAUUGUCAAUUAAUCAUUAAUAUCUCUCAACUUUAACAAGUAUUAAGAUUAUUGUUCUGCUUAUUAGUUAUAUUGCAGAACAUAGAGUCCUAUGAUUUAUAAAAGUAAUUAUUCUAUCAUUUGAUCACGAUGUUUAUGUUGCAGAACAUAAUGUGCAGGUUGUCAAAUAUUUACAAAUAUUAUUGGACAAAAAAAAUUGAAAUUUAGAUGACUAGAUUACAUUUUAUCAAACUUUGUACUCCAAUACUCCAAUUUUUUUUGUACUCCAUAGAACUUAACUCUAUUAUAACAUACUAAGGAUGUUUUAGUUCAAUACGAUUUAUUAUAAUAUACUAUAUGAUGUCCUAAACUCACAUUUAGGUAAUGUGUCAGAAAAAAAUCCACUCCAACACUAUUCUGGUGUUAUCCUAAAUCACUAGCACAACCUUAAUUCUACUAGCCAUUACCUAUUUAUAAGUAACCGCUAGCCAUUACCUAUUUAAUAUUUAUGAAUAAAAUAAUCAUCACUCUCCUUUUUUUUUUUUGUCUAUUCUCACCUUUUCCCCUUCUCUCUCUCAAAUUUAUUAUUAAAAUAAUCUUAGGAGAACAAAUAUAGGGAUUACUAUUGGAGUUGACACUAAAAAUAGAUUGCCUAAAUCACUAAGACAUACUAGUAUUCAUUAUUUUAUACUCCCUCCGUCCCCCUUAAUUGUUUACAUUGGAGGGGGACACGGAGACCAAGACAAUGUAUGAAAAAUGAGUAAAGUUAGAUGAAAAGUGGGUAAAGUGGUGGGACCUACCAAUAUUUAAUACUCCCUCCGUCCCUCCCAUUUCUUAUCGAAUGGGUUGGGCACGGAGGUUAAGAAAUAUGAAUAAAGUAGUUCAAAAUAGAAAGAAAAAUGGGUGAAUUGGUGGGACCCACUAAUUUUUAAUGUAUAAAAGGGAGAUAGUGGAGUAAAAGUAGUGUGAAAAGGAAAUAAAAGUGGAGAAGUGGUGGAACCCAUUGACCAUAUUUGGUAAGUUUUGAAAUGUAAAGAAUUAGAUGGGACACCCCAAAAAGGAAAGUGUAAAGAAAUGGAAGGGACAGAGGGAGUAAUCAAUUUGAGAUAGUGGAGGGAAGUAGUGGGUGUAAUAGUAGUUUUUAUUGUUAAAUAUGAGAUAGUAGGGGAAGAUAGUGGGUGUAAUGAUGAGAAAAACUUACUAUUUAUAGUAACGUAAAGAAAUGAGAGGAACAUUCCAAAAUAGUAACUGUAAAGAAAUGAGAGGGACAGAGGGAGUAUUAUUUAUAAGUAAUAGGAUAGGUAACUUAUUGGACUUGCUCUAGGAGGAGUGUAUUCGAUUGAGAUUUUAAUGAAUUAUUUUUUUUAGAGUAAGUAUCAAUUCAAUAAUGAAAAGCGGCAUCUACAAAAAUGUCGCGUCGAACAAACCAUAAAACGGAAACAAUAGCUGAUUAACCCAUUCUUGUUGGAGAUACAAUCACGCCAUUUGUUGAAGAUGAUAUAUUUACAUGUACCCGCUUCACCAUAUCCAGUUGGAACUAAUCCGGUUUGACACUCUCACAAAGGAGNGGAGAGAAAUACCAAAACUCUCACAAAGGAGAGAAAUACCAAAACUCUCACUAAGGAGAGACUACAACGAAACUGAAAUUGCAAAUUAAAUUAAAAUUACAAAAUAAAAGCAAACUUUAGAUCCAGAAAACAAACCACAAAAAUAAGAGAAACCGGAUCCCUCUAAACCGUAUAGCCAUCCAUUUGAUCGGAGAAGACAAAAAUCCGGAUACUCCGAUGGUUUUGAUCUAAAGAUUUUUAUUGAAAAAUGAAAAGAAAACAAGAGAUUGGGGCUUUCCACCGGAGAAAACUAAUGGUAGCCCCGGAGAAUGGAGAUUAUAGUGGAGAAAGAAGCAAGGGAGGCGGCUCCGGAGAGAAUUUUAGGUUUAGGUUUGAAACGUGAAAGUUUUUAAUGAAUUGUUUUUUAUUUAUGGAUUUUAAUGAAUUGUAUGUGAUUUUGAUUUUGUGCGGAUUCUUGAUAAAAGGUGGUAGAGUUGAUAUGGAUUCUUUAGAAUUUAAGAACAAUGCUACAAUAUCUCAUGGAUUUUGAUGAGAUUUCAAAAAACUUAAAAUAUCGAGAAAUGUCACAAAAUCUAUCAUUUUAUGAAAUUCAAAACAAUCCAUCAGCAUUUGAAUACCAUCAGAUUUUAUUGUAUUUUAAACAAUCCCAAUUGAAUAUCAUUUGAUUUUAAAGCAUAAUUUAAGAUCUUGAAUAUCACCGUAUUUUGUAGUAUAAUUUAAAAUCUCAGUGGAAUAUUUCUAAAUUUUAAUGGAUUUGUACUAGAUUAUCAUUAUGAUGGGGGUUGUGCAAGUAAGUCUUUUUGGCCUGUGUUGUCUAACUUUGUAAGUGUUCAUGGUUUUAAGAAGUGAUUUUGGUUAGAGAAUUUAGAUGCAGAUUGUUUAUUCCAUGUGCAGAGAAGCCAUCUAUAUAUAUAUUAUUGUCCAUAUGCAGAUUCUGGUUAGGGAAUUUAGAUGCAGGUUGUUUAACCUCAUAUUUGUUUUUGUAAAUCACCAGUUGGAAUGGAGUUAUUUAGCUAAAGUAGGGAAAUCACAAUUGUAAGUUUAGGCAACAUAAAAGACAUUCUCUUUUUAUGUUGGUACUUGAGAAUUACGUGAAAAAAGUCAAAGUGACAUGUAUUUUGGGACGAAGGGAGUAGUACAUUUGAAUUGGCCACAGACCUUGUCCUUAUUGUUCACAGAAAUCCUCUUUCAAAACUAACUUCUUCUGGUUAUAUAUGGUUUUCCUCUCUACUCCAGGAAGCCAAAAUUUAGGGAUUCUUGGGGUAUCAUUAGUGCAUUCUCCUAGAUAAUAAAUUAUAUGCAUUUAGAGACUGUCAAGAAAUGAGAUGGAUCAGUAACUUUAUGGCCAAUUUUAUUCAAUAAUUUGAUGGCUUGAUCCAGAAACCUGCUCCAUAACCAGCUAUUCAACCUCGCCAUCUAUACCAUCUUGAUCUUGAUAAUUUAACUAUAUAUAUGAUUCAUGCAGCCAUAGUAUAAAAUUCAUCUGCUACUCCCAUUGUUCAAAACAGAUUGCAGAUACUACUUGGCUAUCACUAGUUUGCAUCAGAGUUUUUAGCAUCUUAUCUCUACAAACUAUAAUUUCAGUGAUAGCCAAAAAAAGGAAAAGAUGAAAUCACGUAUAAAAUAGCAAAAUUUACGUAAAAGAAAACGUGAAAAAGAUCAAACAAGAUUAGUAAUGAUAAAAAUUGCAUGUAAGAAUUGAAAGACUCCAAACAUAGAAAUUCAUCAAGUAUAAAAGCACAACAGGCAGCCUCUACAUUUUAGCCCUCGGCGAAAUGUGAGCAAGUAGGGGAUUUUUCAUGACAACAGUGAACUCUGCUUUCUCUGAUAGAUCAACAGGAACACCAUCAGGAGCCUUCCAUUCGAAAUGCCAAAUCAGAUUAGCCACAAAGUACUCGAGAUGAAGCAAUGCCAAGUUCAGGCCAGGGCAUAUCCUUCUCCCAGCACCGAAAGGCAUCAUCUUGAUCCCCCUGCUCCCUGUUAUAUCGAAAGCAUCUAAAUCUCCCUUUUUAUUCAAGAACCUCUCCGGUUUGAAUUCCAAAGGAUCAUCCCACACCUUUGGAUCCCUCCCCAUCUCAGCCACCAUAUAAUUAAUCCUCGCAUCUGUAGGCACCACAUAGCCGUCCAGCUUAACUUCCUCCGUCACAGAAUGUGUCAACACGAAAUGUGCAGGCGGAUGAGCUCUCAAACUCUCCAACACAACGGCCUUCAAAUACGGCAUCUGCUGCAAAUCCUCUUCCUCCACCACCACCAUUUUCCCUUCUCCCCCCAACCCCGGACAAUUCCCCUUGACACCCACAAUCUCAUCAUAAACCUUCCCCUGAAUCUCCGGAUACUUGACCAAAUUAGCCAUAAUCCAUUGCAAAGCCGUGGUCGUCGUAUCCGUCCCCGCAUUCAAAAACUCACCACACAAACCUACAAUCUCCCCAAAACUCAACUUCCUAUCCCCUUCCUCCGGAAGCUUCAACUUCAACAACGUAUCCACAUACGACACAACCCCCUCGUCCUGAUCAAAUCCCGACUGGAGCUUCUCCAGUCGGGACUUGAUCAACGGAAUCAACACACCCUCUUGAUUCCGUCUAAGCUGUUUCAAUUCCAACCAUCUCCGAUAAAACAAAACCUUCCCCAACACGGGCCAGAUAUCGAGCACCCUAAACCUCCCUAAACUCAACAAAAGCCCUCUCUGCACCCUCUCAAUCUCCUUAAUCUCCUUCUCCUCCAACUUAUCCCCAAAACACAUCAACACAAGCAACCCGAACAUCGCGAACUGAAACUCACCCACAACCUUAACACCCCCUUUGUCGGAACUUUUAUCAAACCGCCGCACCAGCAAAUUCAACACCCAAUCUCGGGCAUGAGAAAACGCCUUGACCCUCGAAGGAUGCAAAAUCUCAGAACUCAAAUUCCUCCGAAACAAGCGCCACGUGGCGCCAUACCCAGCAGAAGUAAUGGUAUGCUGAUCAGAGCUUAGAAACUUAGUAAUCGGCGGCGCUUUAGGGCGGUCGGAGAAAACGGCGCCGUUUUCAACGAGAGAAGUGUGGGCCAGGGAAUGAGAGUUGAUGAAAAUGGCGGUGCGGGACCCAAUUGUGAGACGGAUGAUGGGGCCGUACUUGAGUUUGAGUUGGGCUAGGAUUUGUUCGAUGUCGGAGAGAGAGUGUCUGAGCCAGAGGAGGUUACCGAGGAUAGGGUAAGAAGUGGGGCCCGGAGGGAGGUGGGGCCCAGAAGCAGUGAGGAGAGAGAGGAGGGGUUUGAGGAGGAGAGCGAGAGAGAGUGUGAUGGCGAUGAUGAACCAAGCUUCCAUGGUGAUUUGGAUUUAAGAUAGAUAUUUUUCUCUAAUGAAUUUUUAUUAUAUGUCGAAAUAAACUCUGUGUUUAUAUAUACACUUUUUGAUCUUUGACCUAAUAAUUCAAAGGUCAACAUCAUUCUAGAAUUUUAAAUACAAAGAUGGCCAUAUAAAAUAGUUUUGUGAAGAACAAUAUGCAGAUUGCGCCAUAUAAACACGUGUUUAUUACAAUAAAAAUUUACAGAUACGAAAAGAUAAUUUACGAUCCGACAAAAUCCUAGUAUAUUAAUUAAUUACAAUUCCAAUUUAACGAUUCACUACGAUUAUAACUAAAUGCCCAUACGGAAGUCGUCAUUGCGUUCGUGUGAUAUCUUUUUCGCAAAACAAAAUGUAGGAUGACACGUGCAUGACUCGUGAAAAUUAACAAAUUCAUUGAUUCAGGGAGGAAAGAGCUUUUACGUAACCUUAUUUCAUCCCCAGCAUCCUCUUGACUUUCUUCGCCUCCAAGGCUUGGGAGGAAGAGUUCAUUUUUGUUUUCUUUAUGCUAACUAUUCUGGAACAAUAUACUUCUCGUUUGGUAAUGAAUAAUAUUGAUAUUGAGGGAUUUAUAUGUAAGUUGACAAGAAUACCCACAAAUCAAGCAAGCACAUACUUAUUUUUAUGUCUUGAAAUCAACCACUAAAAAACGGCAAGAUGGAGAUAACUAAUUUUAAACGAUGUUGGGGAGGGGAACAUUCAUAAGAUAUAGACAGGGCACCAAAAGUUUCAGUUACUAGUGUAAACUAGCAGUUGAGUUUUAUCUGUCAUAGAUGUAUGGCUGAGUCGAGAAACAGAAAAAACGUAAACAAAAUGAGAAUAGGACUAGAGAAGAUACGGUUCUAAAUUAAUCGCUCUGGAUGACUCCGAUGGCCUGAAUAUGUUUCUAGAUUAAUGCUCAAGAUGGAAGACGUAUUCUGUAAGGCGCUGCAAUUUGCUGGGAUCUAGUUUCUGUUCGGUUACGAUUGCCUGUUUCUUCACAGUAAACAUUGUAGAAGCAGGGUCAACGCUCCAGCCCUGUUGCAACACAUCUGCAUAUACAGUUACAAAAACCAGUUACAACUCAGUAAUACAAACCGACUUGAGCAAGGUAGGUACUCCAAACAAAUAAUAGUAAAACUUAACACUAGCAGAGAAAGAAAGCAAAAAAUAAAACCACUCCCUUUCCAAAGAGGGGCAAACUCUUUGAAUAUCUUAAAACAAUCAGUUUUUUAGCUUCAGAUGUGUUGCUUGCAUAAUAUUUUUUGAAAAAUAACCAACAGAGCAACAGUUAUCAACACGAAUCUCCUUACAAACAAAUACAGUGCCCCAAAAUAACCGCAACAUACAUCAAAUAGUUAUUUGAUAUAUUUUGUAUAGUAUAUAUUACUGCAGUGAUUAGUACCUUCAAAGAUCGUAAAGACCAGCCUAUAUAACCCCACAGAUGAAUUAGAACCUUUCUGUAUUGCUAUUUUACAAAUAUCAAGGAUGACAAUGCUUACAUUUAGUGGCAUCCUCCUCAUUCAUUCCAAGGAAGAGUGCCGUCUCUUGAAUGCUUAUGGUUGAAUAAGCAGAACGCAGGAGUUGAAACAUCCUUUUGGUGUAAACUUCUGCACAGAAGAAGAGGAUGUUAUUAUGUCAUAGAAGAUAAGAUUAGCACUGCAAUAAACAAAAUGCAUGCAUCACAAUAUUACUACAACUAAAACCAACAAUAUUAGAUUUAUUAUUUGAACUCGGUGCCCAUUAUAAAUGUAUAUAAAUAAAUAUUGUUUAUACUGUCAGAAGUAAAUGCAUUUUCUUGUCAGCUUUUGCAGCAAUGAGCUCUUGUUUCUUUUUCCACCAGAGGAGUUAAAAAGUUUAAGGACUUAAUUACACAAUCUAAAUGGCAUGCAUACUAUCUCUGGUACCGACGCCUUAAAGACCGUAUGCGCUAUAUACAACCUUACAACGUUCAGUUUAACCAAAACCCAUAAACCAAUGAACAUCUCAAACUUUGCCCUCUCAAACAAACCCAACUUGUUGACAUUAGAAUCAGAAAACACAGACCUGAUAAGAACUGCUAAACAAAAAAUAUUCUUUAAACAGUCUUGGCAUCCAGAAGCGUAGCCAAUUUAUAUGUGCAUAUUAUAAGUACUACUGUAUAAUAUUAAACAAUUCUUUUUUGCAUAUGACUUGCAUAUUAAUAAAUUACUGACCAGUGACUGAACUUUUUCAGCUACACCCCUGGUUGCAUUUAAUCAGCUUUAAUAAGUAUAAUAAUCUUCAAACAGGUUCAGAUACUCUACUAAUUAAACUUCUGCUAGCAAAUUAGUGCCAUGAAACUUCUGCGUCACCUUUUGGCUCACUAGUUGCACAUCAUAAGUACUCUAUUUUGGCAACAUUCUGAUUAUUUGACACCGUAUUAUACCAAAAUAGUAAAACAUAUUAUGUGAUCAAUUCUCCUAAAACCUUGAUGCGUUGGGAGUUGGGACUUAAGAUGAGGGCUUACCAGGAUCAUAUUAUAUUCUAACAUUCCCCCACUUGAAAGCCCAUUUUCUGAUACCAUGUUAAGUGACCAAUUCUUCUAAAAGCUCGGGGUGCUGAGAUGAGGGCUUUUUCAGGAUCAUAUUAUAUUCUAGUAAAACCCCAUCUAAUUUUCAUAUACUAAUCAUGUUUAUCUCUAGAACUGUAAUACACUUAGGAUCUUUAAAUUACUUUGCCAUAAUUUCAAAGUAAUAAAACCCAAUAUCUCUGUAAUUAAAAGACUUGAUAAAAAUAAUGAAAACAAGUUAAUCAAUCACCUCCACAGACAGCAUAACAAAUCAAAGUAUGACAUGCAGUUACCAGUAAUACAACAGUGCAAUAUUAACUUGCCUGAGAAAGAAUCAACAAGAGAUUGUGCUUCAGGACUCCCAUUAAACUCCCGAAUAGCCUCGUAAACACCAGCAUAAUCCCUAGUCCACAAUCGCUGACCAAUUUUCCAUGCAGCAGUCACUUCAGGCCUAUUCUCUUUAACCACUCUAGGGACAUUCUUCCACACAAAUCUAGCACUAUUACUGCAACACAAACAUCACAAAGACCUUAAGAAAACAAAUCAAAAGAUUCAAAACCAAUAAACCAGUAAACACAGUGGAAAAAAUACACGUAACCAAAUAUCUAUAAUUACAUACACAUUACAAAGACCACUUAAAAUCACAAAUCAGUAUCAAUAAGACUCAUCAAAACCAUUAAAACCAAAUCUAACCAAAAAAAACACAUCAUCAAAUAUUCACAAAUUAAAUUUCGAAAGUCGCAAUCUUAACUUACAUACAAAUUACAACAUUAACUAAACCUCUAAAAAAUCAAUCAAAACAUACACAUCGGCAAAAUUUUCAUAACUUAUACUCUAAAGCGCGUGCACAAACACAUUGGGAACACUACUUAAAAACACUAAUCAGCACCAAGUAAACCUCCAUAAGAACCUAAAUUAUAAAAUCUAAUAAAAACAUCAACUAAUCACAAUUUUCACUUUAGUAAACACACACACACAUUACAAGCACCAAUUUAAAACACUAGAGGACAUCAAUUAUACCCUAACCCNNNNNNNNNNNNNNNNNNNNNNNNNNNNNNNNNNNNNNNNNNNNNNNNNNNNNNNNNNNNNNNNNNNNNNNNNNNNNNNNNNNNNNNNNNNNNNNNNNNNNNNNNNNNNNNNNNNNNNNNNNNNNNNNNNNNNNNNNNNNNNNNNNNNNNNNNNNNNNNNNNNNNNNNNNNNNNNNNNNNNNNNNNNNNNNNNNNNNNNNNNNNNNNNNNNNNNNNNNNNNNNNNNNNNNNNNNNNNNNNNNNNNNNNNNNNNNNNNNNNNNNNNNNNNNNNNNNNNNNNNNNNNNNNNNNNNNNNNNNNNNNNNNNNNNNNNNNNNNNNNNNNNNNNNNNNNNNNNNNNNNNNNNNNNNNNNNNNNNNNNNNNNNNNNNNNNNNNNNNNNNNNNNNNNNNNNNNNNNNNNNNNNNNNNNNNNNNNNNNNNNNNNNNNNNNNNNNNNNNNNNNNNNNNNNNNNNNNNNNNNNNNNNNNNNNNNNNNNNNNNNNNNNNNNNNNNNNNNNNNNNNNNNNNNNNNNNNNNNNNNNNNNNNNNNNNNNNNNNNNNNNNNNNNNNNNNNNNNNNNNNNNNNNNNNNNNNNNNNNNNNNNNNNNNNNNNNNNNNNNNNNNNNNNNNNNNNNNNNNNNNNNNNNNNNNNNNNNNNNNNNNNNNNNNNNNNNNNNNNNNNNNNNNNNNNNNNNNNNNNNNNNNNNNNNNNNNNNNNNNNNNNNNNNNNNNNNNNNNNNNNNNNNNNNNNNNNNNNNNNNNNNNNNNNNNNNNNNNNNNNNNAAAAAAAAAAUUAACUACAAACAAAAUUAACAAACAUAUCAUCACAUUAUUAUAAUGUACAUCUUAUUACACCCAUACAUUACAAACACCACUUUAAAAACACUAAAAUUAUCAAUUAAACCUCGAAAAACCCCGAAAGAAUAACUAAAAAACAAAACAACAAACACAUCAUCGCACAAUUACAACCUUCAUCUUAAUCCACACACACACACAUUACAAAACACCAGUUAAAAACACCAAUUAAGCCUCUCAAAGACCCUAAAAAUAAUCCAAAAUCCAAAAUCACAUACAUAUCGUCCACGUAGAUAUGACCGAGGAGAUGAAUUGCGUAGGGCCAGUCUUCGUUGUUCACAACACCUUCAGUAGAGCCCUAAAUAGCACGAAAAUCACGAAUUAGGGUUUUUAUACAUACAGAUUCUGUGUGUAUAGGUAAGUAAGCACCUGAAGCAUGAGAUCGUCGCACAUUUCGGCGAUCUUUUCGUAAGAUUUGGAGGAUAUAGCUUCCGUUAACGCCGUGUAAUCCAUUCUUCUUGCUCAAAUAUUCUGUGUAUAUUGUUGCACUUCACUGUAACACUUCAUAAGAGAGAUGUAAGAUGAAAUUGGGCCGGGUUGAUCGGGUCGGGUCGGGUCGCAUUGGUUUAUUUAUCAAAGCUAAGUUUUGUUUUGAAUAAAUAGUUUUAAAGAUAUUUAAAUUAAAUAUCUGUGUUGUUCAUGUAUAAUUUUCUUUUCCUUUUGGUGUAUAUACAAUUAUAGAAUAGGAUUUUGCUGCAAAAAAACAAAAGUAUAUUGAAUAUGAUUUUUGUUCGAUAAUGAAAUUUGGAGUUUAACUUGUGUUUUUGAAGUUUGAAGAGAAGAUGCGAACCCAAAAUAUGAAAGAUACUUAUGAUAAUUAUUUUUCUUAAAUAUAAAUUAUAAAUUUAUAUUCACAAAAGAAAUUGAACAAUAUUAAGCCAAAAGCAUAUUUUUUUAUAUUAAAAUAAGUGUAAUAAUUGAGAUGAAAUAUAAAAAGGGACAGAACAAUUCUGUAUAUCUCUUGUAAUUAUGUUGAUCCUUUUUUUUUUUAUGAUAAAGUUCUCUGGCUAGUGCCUCUUCUAUUUCAUUUAAGGUACAUAACUUUUUAUAUUUGAAACCGACUAAUGCAUGUUCAAACCUUAUAAUAAUACAGUAGGAAUUGGUAGUAUAAAUUAAGCCUAACUUCUUUUUCUACAAGAUAUCAAGCCUUACUUGAAAGUCCUUAUGUGUUAAUCACAUAGUGAUUAGUGAGUCCUGAGUAAUAUAUAAUCAAAACUUCAUUACUGGAUUUAAUUAUAUAAAUUAAGAUAUUAGAGUAACAUACCAUUAGAGAAUGAUAUAUAGCUCACAUAUAUGAAUAUAAAUAAACCCCGCAAAUGCAAAAUCAUAAACCCAUUGUUGGACUCCUAAUAAUAUUAAUGUAAAAAAACAAGCAACUUUAACAGAGGGUAAAGAUUCAUAAUAAAACCACAUCAAAAAUAAAAACCUUAAGCCACUUCCUCCUUUUUUUCUGCAGCCGGACUGCCAUUAUCAGUGUCGGCCUUAAUAGCUUGUUCGCCUCUCCCAUUGUUUUCAUCAACGUCUAGCACAUCAUCCAUCAUGUCAUCCUCUCCGGCGUUGAUAUCUUCGACAUCAUCAUCUUCAUUGUUGCUUCCCCCAGAAAUUUUUCUUCUCUUGGGUCCAUGCUCAAGCCUGUGGGUCUCCAACUCUUGGUCCAUAGUUUCUUGCAAAUUCAAUGCAUCAUUGUUUCCCUUCCGGGUGUUUCUUGCAUUUUGCCACCUCUCCAGCUCCUUCUCAACAUUGGCAACAGAUCGCUCAGCAAGCUGUUUCUGAUAUUGGGAUAACUCCUCCCUCCUAGCAGCCUUCCAUUCUUGAAAUAUCUGGAUAAAGGGAUUGGAAGAAAAGAAAAUUGAACACUCCAGUUGUAUAGGGGCUAUAUACAAUGAAGCAUAUUUAUGUUUCACAUUGAUGCUAAGAAGGCAAUCAUUGCAAAAUGGAACCUGAACCAAAGUUUCGGCAAGCAACAUCGUGAAAAUUAUUUAGUAAAACAUAAAAAUGGCAACAAACGUUGUGCAAGACGUAUACGACCAGACAAUCUAAUAAUCAAUUUUGGAACACUACCACGUGCAGGGUGAUAGUAAAGUUUCUGCCAGACUGGCUGCUAGUAUAAAAUUGGAUGCAAAUGCAAUGAGUCCAGGUUUUGGCCAACAUUCUUUUUUAUUGAGACACAUGUCUCAACAGAUGCAAGGCAUUGCCUUGAAGGCAACACAGAGGCCAAAAUUGGCAUAUGAUGCAUAACUGUUGACCUGUAAAACAUGAUUUUUUUAAGAUCAGGAAUCAACACUAAUGCAAGCCAUCCAUAUGUCUUAAUAAAUGCAACUACAACAACAAAGAGGCAAACAUCAUAUGAUGCAUAAUCGUUGACCCCUAAACACGAACAAGUUACUACAAUGCCAUUUCUGGCACUGUAACAGAUUAUGAGAAAAUAUAACUGUUUUUAAUUUGAGGGUGUGCAAACUUUAUGCACAUUCUGAAACAAUACUUCGAAGGUUGUCGUGGCAACUGCUUUGCAUUGAUUAAUGUUUGUCUACAAAUGCACUACAGACAGGGAACAAAACUUAGCAAAAAAGGCCCAAAGCGCUAAAAUUAAAGACAUAGUCAUGGAAAUCGAUAAGACAAGCUAGACAACAUGUUCCCUGUUAAGAGCAACAGCAGUAGCAGAUACAGUAUGCAGAAGUAGUUACAGUAAUGUUGGAGUCUAUAUGAGUAUUAGUAAGAGAACUUUAGUCAUUUACCAUCUUGGGAGUUGGUUACAAUGUUAGGGUCUAUAAAUACUUGUUUACAUCUGUAGUUCUGUACUUCCAGUUCACGGAUUGAAAUAUGAAUAUGGAAAAUUUUCUACCACUCCCUCUUUCUAGUUCUCUAAAUUUCUUUCUACAUUGCUAUCUUCUCCUGCAAUUUUCUAUCUCAACUUUGUCUAUUCUCUACAUUUCUGUUCUUAUCUCUCUAUUUCUGCCUCUGCUCUCCUAGAUCUCUCUGUUAUUGUGUUGUUCUAUCCUAGCUCUGCUUCAAUUAACUGAAAAGUGCAAAAACAUAUAUAGAACUCACUCAAGUAUCAUCAAACCCUUAGAGCAUCUCCAAUAGUCUCUUAUCUCACUCCUAAAUAUAAUAUAAAAUAUUGACUCUUAUUGACUUGAUGUGGGUUCAACUCCAACAACACUUCUUAUAUUCACUCCUUAUUUUGUGUUAUAUUAUUAAAAGUAAGUCAUGUGCAUAAAAGUACAAAAGAAAGUAGAUGGAGAGAAAAUGUUUGCUUACAAAUUUAUUAUUAAAUAUUGGUCAAGAGUGACUAGUAGCUCUUAAAAUUGAGGAGAGAGAAGAGGAAUUUAGGGAAUUUAAGAGUCACUAGGAGCCUAUUGGAGCAAGCAAAAUUACAAUCCUCUUCCAAUUUUAAUUUAAGAGCCACUAUAAAGAUGCUAUUGGAGAUGCUCUUACAUUCCCACUAUUGGCACCUUCUAUUUUUUGCUUUCACAUCUUAUCUUAUUUGACUUCUUGUUGCUUUAUACUUUGAAACAUGUAAUUAAUCUGAAAGAGCAUCAUAUAUUAAUUGCAUCUCUUUUAUGGAAUUUAUGUGUUAUGAUCUCAUUGAAAGUGAGAGUGAAUAUCCUCACACUCUUCUAUUCUAUUACUGCGCAUAUGCUAUUUAUAUCGUCUUUACUUGCAUAUGACAUACUUAGGUACACAUAAGUAAUUCGGAGAUGAUACUUGUUAAAUUCAUUUUAAAGGAUAAAUAGAGUCUUCCACUUUCAGUCCUGUACAAGUUUACAUCGUAUCUACUCUCAAUUGACAUUAUGAGUUUGAAUUUUAUAUAAGGAAUUUAUGUGGAAGUGCAUAAGCUAUCUAUGGUCUCAUGUUUUAUUAUUUAACAAUCAAAACUGAUUAAUGGUGCUUACCAAUUUUAAGCAAACACAAAGAUGGUGCUAAAAUUCUCUACCAACAAAACUUUAAGCAACACAAAGAUACCUUUUCCUUCCGCUGUUCCACCGAAGUUACAUCUUCAUCCAAUGGUUUGGCAAACGAGUAAUGAAUAGGAGGCUCUGCCUUGGUCCUGAAAGCAUACAGACCAAAUAAAGACGACAGGGUGUCAACCAACACAAUAUACAAAACUACUGGUCAGUAAUAGAGGAUAAACACAUUGGAACACAAGAUAUUGAAUCAUUUAGUUUCUUCACACUCUGCACAUGGACGAAACUUAUCUUUGGCUCAAUAAAAUUGUGAAAUGGAUACUUUUGGACCAAAAUUAAAAAUAACCUGAGAUGAAAAAAGAAAUGAGUGCAUAAGCAAUAAGUAGAUGGGCAAAACAAUGCCAUAAAGUGCAGAAAAGCUGGAAGAUACCAAAACUUCAUUGGGCAUACUGAUAAUUUCAAUUAAAUACCUUAAAAACUUCCCAAGCUUGCUGUGGUGCUCACUCCACCGAAUAAAUAACACCUCCAAUUCCUUCUCUUCAGCCUUGGCUGCAACUCGUGCUCUAAGAGUCUAAUAGACAACGUGCAAUAAUAUCAGAAUCUAUAACUCACUCAAAUACUGGAUUUAUUGCGGGUGGAGAAUAAGGACAAAGUUGAAAAACUUUAGAACAUUCAAGAUAAGUAACUAACCAAAUCUCUCCUCCGCUUUUCUGCAAUUUGCUCGCGCUCCUGCUGCCUCAACAUUUCACUUUCUUCACGUGCUUUUUCUUCAGCCUACAUGAGAUUUGACUCAUUUUUAACAGUUAUAUAUAAACUGAUGAAAAAUAAACAAAAUAAAUUGUCACUCAUCCAAGUGUCUAAUGAUAGUCCAAAGGACACACUGCAAUCCUGAACAACGAAGAUUCUAGGCAAUCAUCUUUUUCAACUUUAUAAUCAUGUUUUGAGUGAUAAUAUGAUAAUAUGAUUAGGUCGAUAAAGGAUGAAAGGAUGUGGCCUCACUCUUCUAAAAUUGUUCCCCAUAUUUAAGUUCUAAAUUCAGUCAAAUCAACCAAAACUGAAACAAAUAUCAUAUACAUCUACUGAAAUUUAUAACAUCAUGUGCCCAACAUUCAGUACAAGUGUCUACAUCUUUAUCUAUAGAUGCAUAACAAGGGAACAUGCUUAUCUUACAAAUUCUUGUGCCAGUAAUAAUAUGUUAAAAAUGGAAACGAGGAACGGUGGGGACAUAAUAAAAAAAUUAUUUUAUUGUGUAUUUCAGGUAGCGUGACUGCAUGAGAGAACAAAGGUAUAAUAACAAAUAUAAAAUUAUGAAAGAUAACCUUUAACUCAUUUUUGUAAGUUCAGUGACAAGAUAGAGUUAUGCCACCCCCAUGACUUUCUCAAGUGGUAUUCUACUAAGAAUAGUUGAAGGUUGACAAUGAAGAUUUUGUCUCCCUAUUCUAUCAAUACUAUCAAACUCAAAAACAUGGUUAACUACUUCAGACACCUGAGCACAUACAACUGUGUUUUGUGUCAGUCUUUUCAUCACAGAAACAGUAAAAUUCAGUGCAAUAUUAGUCACACACGUAUCCAUAAAAUACAAUGUUGCACAUGGAACAAUUUACGAAGCAAAAUAUAACAGUUCCUCACCCUUUUUAAAGAAUCAGAUCUUCGCAUGUAUGCCUCAGUGCCAGAAAUUUUUGCAUCUUCUUUUCUGAAACGCUGUAAACAUGCAACUAAAAAUUUAACACAAAUAGUAAUGCCUGGUACUGAUAAAGCCUACUGUUCAAGUGAUACAGAUAUAUACAACAAAAGCAGAGAGAAUUUCAAAUACUAAUGGCUAAAGGAACUACUUCAAUCUGACAAUUAGAAUUUUAAUAUUGAAUCUUGGAUUGGAGAUAACAGCAAUUUUUCGAUUAAGUACAUUUCAACUGUUGGAUUGAACUUACUAUCAUAAGUUGUCUAGCUUGCAGAUUUAAAAACAAAACUGGCAACACCAUUGCAUAAUUUCUAAAUACUGCAUUGAAACUUAAGUGUUACCUCCAAAGUGCCGAGAAGUUGCCCAAGCAUCCUCUUAUUCCUCUUAACUAUACUUGGGUCUUCGUCUUUCGGCAAUACUCGAGGAACUGGAGGGGCUUCAGAAUCCUAUUGCAUAAAAAAUCAAUAUAUUCUCUAACAGAAUGCCAGUAAACAAAAAGAAAAAAAAAUCUUAAUAACCCCGCCAACCAAUUCAAUCACAACUUCAAUUCAUACCAUCAUUCGUGGCCUCUGAUCAACAACCCUCCUAGGCCAAGUAGGAUUCAUUUUCUCAUUCUGGCUCGGCUCGACAACUUCAAUGCUUUCCUUUUCCUCCACUGCAGAUUCUUUGUUUCCUACGUCCUUUACAUCAUCGUCAUCAACAAUCUCCCCAUCUUCAAUCUUCACUCAAAUUCAACACCAAAAAACAAAACCAAUCAUAAUCCUAACCAGACAAAAACACAAUUAAAAUGCGAAUAAAGCUGAUUAGACCUCACCUUCACCACGGCAGAAGAAAGACGCCUUUUUGGCGCAGGUUGAUUCUCCUCAUUCCUAUUAGCCUAUACAAAACAAUUUCUUCACUCAGUUACAUCGACUAUACUGUAAAACCUCUAUUAAUAAAUACUUAAAUAGUCUCGGACCAUAUAAGUUUAUUAAUUAACCCGAGGUAAAAGAAACACAGUAUCCAUUAUAACUGGAACUGACAAAUUAUAUUUAUCAAAAUCGAAACUAUUCAACUUCAAUUUUAUCAAGGCUCCUGAUUACGCAAAGUUAGAGAAACAGAGUAUCUAUUACAGUUGACACCAAAAAAAGUAUUAUGCAAUCAUUAAUCAAGACUACUAGCUAACCGGUUACUUAAUUUAUCCAGGUACUUGAGACAUAAAUAGAAUGCGUAGUUCAAACAACAUUUCUAAUACAAUUACAGAAUCCAGGUCUUACAAAAUUGCGCUGUCGAUUUCCACCAGGUACGAAACCGCGGUUACCAGGACCUGAACCUGAUAACCCACCACGUCGAAUUCCCCGAGGAUCACGAAGCCUCUCUGUAAUCUGUCCAAAGAUAAAUAAUGCUGAUUAGUCGAAUUCAAAAAUGUGAAAAUAUAUCUGAGGGGCGCGCGCGCGAGGGAGAGAGAGAGAGGGACAGGGAGAGGGAGAGGGAGAGAGAGAGAGAGAGAGAGAGAGGAGACAGGUAGAGAGAAGAGACCUCGCGUUGUUGGCGACGUAGCUCAAUAAUUUCACGGCGGAGCUGUUCUUCAGUCUUCUCGGCAACGGCGGUGCUUCCCAUUGCUUGAAUUAACGAGCUUCAAAACCCUAACCCCCAAUUUACUGUACAAGUGCCAAUUCGUUCUCGUUUAUUUUUUGACAGUCUAUGUCAGUAUGUGAUGAAUAUAUUUUUCGCAAGAGCAUGCCCCGAGGUCUUUAAAUUUUGGGGAUUUUUCUAUAAAUAAUCAAGUUUUAAAAAAAAAUUAAAAAUACUAUCACUUUUUAAAACAAAUUGUAAAAAUAUCCAUGUUCCAAAAAAUAACUGUAAAAAUACGAUGAUUGCAUAUAUAACCAUAUCUGCAACUGCUAGCAACGAUAUAUACAACUUGAAAUUUUUUAAAAAAAAUACAUAUAUUUGCAUAAUAAGUUGCAACUAGUUGCAAAGGCUUAAAAUGAAUGCCCAUACGGCAUCAAUACUAAUACCAUAAAAACAACCACAAAAACAAAAUCAACAAGUAUUGCAACCAAAAAAUCAACUAAAACAACGAACUAAAAAUCAACACAAAAGUAACCAACCACCGCCACUCUCCCACCAUACCGGCUACAUCUCCACCGACACAGAUUGCGGUUGCGGCCACCAGAUCUCCCCCGAUAAUUUCCCAAUCUCCGCCGUCGCCAUACUAUGCCCAAACACAGUCUAUUUUAACACCGAUGUGGAAUAGGACUAAGGAAAAAAGGAGUUCGGUGAUUUCACGGCAUGUGGAAGAGAGAGGGAAGAAAGAGUGCCAGGGUUAGUGGCAGAAAAGGUGCCUGCGGCGGAGGAGGCGGUGGCUAUUUCCCAGUGCAUGUCAUUUUGUGAGAGAGAGCGAGAAAUGAAAGUGACAAGCAACUCAAAAUUAGAAGAAAACGUAAGAGAAACCGUAUGCGUGCGAAAUGUUUAAGACCACUAUAUUCCUGUAAAUAACUUUUAAAAACACGUAUACGGGAGAAAUCCCCUAAAAAUUUUAGCUAAAAUUUAAUAAAUUAUAUUAUAAUUUAAAUUUAUAGAUUAUAUAUAAGAUUUUGUUCAUUUCAUUCUGACAUUGUGUAUUUUUAAAAUUAUAACCAACCUCUUAUAUUUUCUAGACACAUAUAGCAAGAUUCCAUGUUAUCUAUUAUUUUAUUAAAAUGAUAUAUUUGUUAGGAUAUCCUCCUAGAUUUCAUUGUAUAAUAAAUUUUUAUCAGUUGUACCCUCACGUUUUUGACUUUUAUCUAUGAUAACCUUGUAUUUAUGAUUUUUCACAUGUAAUAUCCUAAUAUUAUGUAAACAUAAUAGAAUGAUUUUAGAUUGUAAAAAAAUUGUAUACUAUCAUAGAAACUCGUGCAAGAUACGUGCUUUUAUAUAUAUGUAUGUAUGUAUAUAUAUAGGCAAUUGCUCAAAUAGAAAUUAUUAAAAUAAAAACUAAAAUGGAAACUAAGAGAAACUAUACCUAAAUGACCUCACCCACCCCUAUAUGUCAUCAUCCACCUAGGGCCCAUCCUCACCCCUAGUCAAUCCAUCCGGGCCCGCUAGGGCCUCGCCAAGACUCCUCACAGACCCUGCACAGGCUCUAGACAGUCUCAAAGAGCCAAACCUUGGCCCCACCAUGGUCCCACUAGGCCCCGACCCGGCCCUAUUAGGCCCCACUUAGACCUCGUCUCGGCCCAUCUUGGAGUCCAUCCCCGGUCCCAAAACCCGCAUCAUUCUACUUAAUCGCAUUGAUUUCUAUUUAGUUUCUAUUCUAGUAGUUGUUAUUGGAGUAGGACCCUAUAAUAUAUAUAUAUAUAUAUAUAUAUAUAUAUAUAUAUAUAAUCAAACACAAUCGCAACCCAGGACUCACAUAAAUGUAUUUGAUGACUAUUAUAAUUAAAAGGAUCUUUCUAAUGUGUGUUCAUGACCACAUACUAACAACUACUUUUUACUUAAUUGAAGAAUUUUGAUUGAUAGAGAUUUUUGUGCAUAUAGAGCGCCAUUAUAUUAAUGAAAGAGAAUCAAUAGGAAUUCACUACUUAAAUAAAAGUAGUCACACACUAGAAAAUCCGUAGUUAAAUAUAACUACUAUAAUUAAAAAAUUAAUAUAUAUUUUACAUAAUACCUUAAAUCCAUAUCCGCUCCAUUUAUUAUCGGAUUUCUCUUAUCGGAUCAGAUUUUUUUUUCGAUGAAUCCAAAUCCGCUAAGAAGACCCCGGAUCGGACUGGAUCGGGUCAGAGCUCCGCUCCAUUGACAGGCCUAACCCAUUAUACUGUUAUACAAUAUACAAUGAUACUGUUAUGCAAGAUAAUUAUAUAUAUAUAUAUAUAUAUAUAUAUAUAUGUAUGUAUAUAUAUAUAUAUUCUACCCGAUCGGAUCAUUAACGGAUCGAAUCACCUUAAAUCCAUAUCCGCUCCAUUUAUUAUCGGAUUUCUCUUAUCGGAUCAGAUUUUUUUUUGAUGAAUCCAAAUCCGCUAAGAAGACCCCGGAUCGGACUGGAUCGGGUCAGAGCUCCGCUCCAUUGACAGGCCUAACCCAUUAUACUGUUAUACAAUAUACAAUGAUACUGUUAUGCAAGAUAAUUUUAAUUUUGAUAAGCCCCCGGUUGAAGUGUUUUUCUUCUUUCUAAUGAAAAUGUAUUUAAUUUUGUUCUCCAACAAUUUUGAAUAAUUGCAUGUUUUAUAACCUGGUCUAUACUUUAAAUUUAAAUUGAAAUACAAAUUGGAUUGAAUUUUUAAAUGUUUUGGUUUAAUUGAUAAUAAAAAAAUUAUUAGAACACAUUAUAUAUUAAUGAGACCCCUAGAAUAAUACCGAUCGGCUGAUAUAACUCGACCGAUCAAUAAAAUUAUUAAUAUUUCAGUUUUAAUAGAACAACAACAACAACAACAAUAACAAUAUUAUAUAAUAUAUUAAAAAUAGAUAGUAUAGAUGAUAGAUCUAUGAUAUUACUUUUAAAGUGAUAACAUGAAGUAAUUAAAAAUAACAUGAAUGUAUUUAGUUGAAACAUAUCAUCGGUUGUUUAUUAAUAAUUAUAUAUAUUAAUAUUAUGUUUUUAUAUGUAUGUUGCAUGUGUCAUUUUUAGAAAAUCAGUUUUUUAUUUAGUAAACUGAAAAAGAUAAUGUGUUUCAUUUAAAAAGGGUAGUUACUAUUUAGACCAAAGAAAAGGAUAGUUACUAUAUUGUCCAAGGUUAUUUACAGAGAAUUGAGUUUAUUCAGUGAUAAAAUAUAAAAAAUAACAUUUUUAGUUAAAAAGUAUAGUUGAUUAUAUAAAUAGACACAUAAUUCGGCCCACAACCGAUCACAUAACAUUUUUAGUUAAAAAGUAUAGUUGAUUAUAUAAAUAGACACAUAAUUCGGCCCACAACCGAUCACACAAAUUUUUAAUAUUUCGACUUUAAUAAUAUAUCAUAGAUACAUUUAUCGAGAUGGUAAGAAAUAGUUUUUUUUUUUUUUGCUAAAUGGUAAGAAAUAGUUUUGGGGUCAUAUGACGUAAGGUUUAGUCCUUUUAUUUGUUUUCGUUGAACCGUAUAUGAGUUAGACGAUCAGUAUUUUAACAUUCAAAAUUGUCAUUUUUGUUGAGGAUUACAUCCUGCAAGAGACACAGUCCAUGACAAAUUCUUUCAAUAAGUGAGAGUUAAAUCCUGUAAAAACACACACACACUAUGAUCUCAAAAUGUUUCCUAUAUGUUCUUAAAAACGACACACACCAAAUCAGGUUCAUUAUAGUUUUGCAUUUACCCACGCUAUACAACAAAUCAUCUUAAAUUAGGCACUCACUUUAUAUAAAUAUUUUUAGACAACAAAUGCCAAAUAAUGGAUGCAAAAUUCAUUAUAUACACAAGAUCUUGAAUUUAUAAAUAUAAAUUAUAAAAAAGUAUUUAGUAUUUAAUUAUCAUUUAUUGAAAGAUAAACAAAAACUAUGUGCAAGUAGAAUUUGCUUAACCAAGUCUACUUGUUUUUGUUGAUUAUUUAAAAUAGUCAAUAAUAAUACAUGCUCUUCUAUUUUUAUCUAUGUAUAAGCCUUCACAAUUCUUACAAUGCCAAGUAUAUAUUAAUAUAAUCCACAAGCCCUGCAAAAUAAUAGUACAACUCAGAAAAUAAAACACAACAAAUGAAUACAACAAAAUAUUAACGGAAAUGUUAUUUCUAGAACAAAAUUUUUAUUUCCGGAGCAAUUUGAGUUGUGAGUUGGCUCUGCUGGCUGCUGCCCUGCAUGCACAUAAAGAUGCAACUCCGAUACAAUUUGCUCCAAAAAUAAAAAAAAUGCUCAGGAAAAUUUUAUUUCCUGAUAUGAAUUAUAGAUCAAAACAACAGCAUAUAUAGAUAUAAAGAAGAUGCUACUUUUGGCUGUAAAACUUGUAUGUAAAUCAUAAUCUAUAUGACUUCAAAACUUAACACCUCCCAAAAAAUCCAUGAAACUGAUCAACUAUUCAGAAUUCGCAAAACCGAGCAACAUUCCUUCACAGUUUCAUAGAAACCUAAAAUCCUAUUUUUGUAUCUUCAGUCUUUCUAAAUCUCAGAAUGUUGUACUAGUUGAGAAGAAGCAUUAUAUCACAAUACCAUCUAAUGUGCCUGACUGGAUCCCUUUAGAUUUUUUACCACCAGAGCAUAUACAACCAAAAGAAACUUUACCACCAUCUUCGAGUCUGACAAAAAACUCAGUGAAAGACGUCCAAGAUUGGCAGGCAAUAAGGCUUUCAGUUCAGUCAGAGGGAAGUCUUUGAGGAUGAGCCAGGCUUAAUAUACUGAAAAACGAAAGAACAAACAACAAAUUUAUGAUUGAGUUCCGCAUUAGAACAGUAUAAAUAACUAAUACUCGGUAUAUAAGAACUGUUCUGAUCAGCAAUAUGUUACUUCAAUAAGAACAAUGAUUUUAGAUCCUUAUUUAAAGGAUUAGAAGCAUUUAAAAAAGUUCUUACCUUACUUGCAUCCCUGUAGAAUUCAUUGAUCUCUUCCUCUGUAAGGCCUUCAUCCUCUCCAGCAUUUUCAUCCCAACCAAGUGACCGCAAAAAUGCAGCUUCUUCCUCUUCUGAACAAAGAAUCAUGUCAGAUCUUGAACGAGUCUCUCCAUUGCCACAAGAUUGCUGAUGCCCAUUGCCAUUAUUUAUGUUGCUGAUCAAGGCAUUUACGUUCUCUUUAUAAUGGUCCAUAUUAGACUGGUUUGCAGAUAGAGAAUCUUUCCCUUGAGAAAGGGGAGAAGCAGUUUGAGUUUCACUAGGCUGUUCCACAACAAAUUGUGACACAGUAGAGACAGAAUCAGCAACAGAAGAGGACUUUGUCAAGGACUUCUUCCUCACAAGAUUAAAGAAUUCAUUUCGACUCUGAAGUUGAGCUGAAGGUUUUUUCUCCAAUGUUGCCGGGACCAUUAUAGCUGCAGGCUUACGAUUAACAUUCAAAGGGUUUGGGUUCUUGAUUUGUGUCCUCGAAGGAGGUGGUACAACAGCUGGUAAAGUAGUCAGCGGGUUAUUUGCUACUGUACUAUCAUUGGUAAGGCUCAAGUUAUCUAUUUCUGGAUAAGAAACACCGUUCCUUUCUCGUGCAGGUUUAAGGACUUGAAGUUUUCCCAAGCUCAAUGUCUUUGGCACAUCAGACUUUUCAAGUGUCCCACGCAAAGAGUGAAUAGAAGAGGUCUGGUGUUGCUGUUGGGACACCUUAACUUUAGAUUUCUCUGAAGAAUUUAACACCUGAGAAAUUUAUAAACAGCACGUAUUAAGAAACAUAUCUCAGACAAAUACAAAUUCAGAUAAAUUUCAAAGUGCUUUCCUUGCACAUAGAUUAAUAUGGAAAAAGUAACAUUACUGAAUAUUAUGAUGUGCUCACUUUUAAAUAAGGCCUAGGUUAUCAGUUCGCGGCCAUAACAGUUUAUCUUAUGUACUUAUGUCUUAUGAUGACAAUAACAUUUUUAUAAGACAUCUUUUACCCCCAAGAUGUUUCACAAUAGAAGUCUCCCACUAAGAGGAGAGUUGUCACACUAUUCUGUAUAGAGCUGAAACAAACCAUCAUGGACCAUAUACAGAACCAUAAUCUUUGUCAUUCUUUCCCUGCUUUUACCGAUUGAAAUCCCUUCCAUUCCCUUUUAUAGCCAUCAUGAAAACUCUCACGCAUCAUAACAAAUAAACAUAGUAAUUGAAUGCUAAUUUAUGUAUAGAUACACAAGUAAAGACAUGUUUUGAAGAUUCAAUCCAUUAAAGUGAUAUUUAAUAAUAGGUCUGUGAGGAGGAAAAACCUAAAACGAUGAAAGCUGAAAUUUCCACAGAGUUGUUCUCUAAUUGGAUUCUUUUCACACCUAUUUUUUUAAGCAUCCCAAAUGCAGCCAGACUCAGAUUCUCACAUUACAUAUUGUUUAAUAAUAAACCUCCCUUCAUCUCCCUUAAUCUGUGCUGCUUCCUUUUCCCUUGUCCAUUUCUUCUGCUAUUGAUAUUAGGUAAAUAAGAUGUGUAUUGCUGCCAGCCAUGCUAACCAGGACAUGGACAACACAUAUUGUAAACAUGAAGUUGGAACCAUUGCCAUCUAAUUAUACUGUUGUCCUACAUAUUUAUUAAGGGUAAUUAUGGAUUAACUACUAAAGUAACAUAGUCUAGUAACAACGUGACUACUACCCAUGCACUAAUUGAGGACCCAAGCAUGUAUUUCUAUUAUUUUGGGACUUCUGUUCUACGAAUUUAACCACUUCGGAAAAGAAAUCAGUAUCUUUCUCAUUUAAAUGUACCAACUGCAACACCAAAACAUGAUCCCCGGAAGCUUUCCACUACACAUAUUACCUUGCUCAUUCAAAAGUACCCGAUGCACUACAUAGAGUUCACCAAUUCGCCAUAAUUGCGAAUAUACCUAGUGAUACUAUACGUCCAGCUAAGCAGGUCAUUGAUCAGCAUUCAAUAGGAGUUACCAAAUAGAGGCAGGGUACAGAUAUCAACAAAAACAAAGAGCAGAAUAUUGUCAGCAAAUAAUACUUAAUUACUGAAAAUAAAUUCAAGAUUUUAGUUUAUAUUGACAGACUACAAUGUAUAAAAUAAGUAGUUUCCCUCACUGUAUAUGCCAAAACCAUUGUUCUGAUGACUUCUGGAUGAUCAGAUCUUAAUAAUGCUACAAAUAUUAUAUUACAUUAACAUAGAGCAUCCUCGUAAGGUGGCGAAUUAUAGAGUUAUAAUAAUCAAAUACUAUAAUGUAUAGGAGUAGAUUAUAUACAGAGAGAAGAGAAAGAAUAGCACAACAUACUGUCCAUACUUGGCAAAUACUGACACAUCUAUGCAUUUACAUAUGUAUUUUACAAAGAGAAAGAUUAUAGAGAGAAAUAUUUAGAAAGUUAAAUGAAUGCCAACCAUAAAAUCAUAAUAUUCAUCAGCUAAAAGUUUGGUCAAGAUUAAAUGGUUUACGAGAAUCAGGAGUGCGUUGGCAAAGCUGCUCCAAGUGCUAGAAGUAGUCUAGAGUUCAAUUAACAGCUCCCUUUCCAAAAUAUUUAAAAAUUAAAUACCAAAUAUGUCUACCUACCAAAAACAACUAUGGUUUACACUAUAAAUUAAUAUAUAGUAAUAGAACAAAAACAAACAUCCAAUCAUACACUUACUAAGAAUUUAACAUUUUGGUUGCUUUCCUAAUAAUGUUCUCCAAAAUGAAACUUGAACUACAUCAAUUUGGCAGAAAACUUUAUUUUUGCUCAAUUAGUUUGUAGGUCAAGAAACUACAACAUUCAUUAAUCCCCCAGCUCAUUAAUCCCUACUGAUAUACAAGAAUAAUCCCUCAGUUCAUUAGUUGACAGGUAAUCCCUAUUGAUAUAGGGUGCUAAUCAAGCACCGAGAACAAUGAGAAGGCUGGCAACUAUUGUACAAACCACAAAUUUAAAAGGCAUAUCAGGGUAAAAAUUGCCGGAAGUGUUUAGAUGAUUGCAAUACUACAUAUGCAUAAACGUAAUCAAAUUCAGUUGUGAUACAGAUAAGGUACUAGGCCUUUACACAUCUUAAUCUCAGAAACUUAUACACACAACAUUAUAAGAUGUUUAUCCAACGGACAUCUCACCAUUAGCAAUUAGCAAAUAAUGAAGGGCUCAGCCAAAAUGCAACUCUAUUAAAAACCCACAACUAAAGUCAUUAAACACCUACAACAAUACUCCUUUUUCAGAAGGGCAGGUAGAGGGUUGUACAAGAACUACAGGAACAAGAUAGUAGACAAAAACAAUUACAACCAGUACGUUUUAACAUGACAUGAUACAGGAACCAAAAUAUCCAACUAAUAAAAAGACAACAGUCUCACCAAAGAUUUAGGCAUGGAAGGUGUCAUCGGAAUGAGUUGUCUAGACUGUUUAAUAGCUAAUUCUUCGAGCCUCUGAGUUUCGACUGAUACCUGUCAUAAUACAAACCCAUUACAUAAGCAGGGAUAACUCAACAAAGGUCCAUCAAUCAAAAAAAUAUUAGUUUACCUGAGGAGCAGUGUCAACACGAAGGGGCCCUUGUGCCAAAGUUUCUGCCAUAUUGAGGCUGGCUGCAGUGCUUGAUGGCACAGAAGUUGAACUUGGAAGAGCAGCUUGGAGAACGGAUGAUGUAAUGGGGCCAUUGGCUCCAACCAUCACAGGUACCUCAGCUAGGGCCGAUGUCCACCCAACUUCAUUAGCCACUGUAGAAUACCCAGUUGAUAAGCUCUGCAUGUUCGUACUCAAUCCAGGAGAUGGAAUAUUUCUUAUCCCAUGAUCUGUUUGCCUUUCAUCAGCUCCAAGAGAUGGAAAAUCCCUGUCAAAUGAAGUUUUCCGCACACUGCUGAUGCCACUACUCCCCAAAAGGCGAGAACUGCUAUUGUUGUAGUUGCUUUUGUUGGAACUGUUUAAGUCAGCUGAUACUCUUCUGGACAAUGGCUCACUAUGUUUCCCCGCUACAGAAGACUGAGUUCGUCUUAAGCCAUUCUUCUCGAACCUAUCCGAAAAAUCGCUCCCUAAUGAACCAGAAUAGUUUUGAUGCCUACGAUCACCUAGCCUCAACCUAUCAUGAUCACGAUAUUCAUUUUUGUCUCUAUCCCAGCCCCUAUCUCGGUUGUUCCUACCAAAACUUCCAUAAGACCUCGAGUUACCAGAACCAUUACUAGAUGAAGUUCGACGGAAGUAAGAUGACGUAGUUCUAUCAGAAACAGGAGAACGUCCCGAGUCAUGAGCACUAACAUCUGCUGAUAAUUUAUUUCUAGUCGGCUUUAAUGUCAUAUGAUCAUUUUGGCGGUGAUUUGUACUAACCGCAACCGUUACACUUCCACUGCUCUUUAACCACUCGGGGACAAACGAAGGCUCACUUUUUUCCAUAAUUGGUAAAAAACAAGAUCAUACUAAACGUAACGGAAAAGUCCAAGUUGCAUCCAGUUCAUUAAUAAUAUUACCACCAUAACUUGACAAAACUAUAUAUCCCGACAGUAUAAAUCCAAAUGUAGCUUCUUAUCUCUUUCCCNNNNNCUUUCCCUGAAUACCACGCAGCACAAAUUAUAAUGUAAUUAAUGUCGACAACCAAGGUUCCCAAAACCUAUUCCUUAAAAUCCAGCAUCAUAACAUAACAAACCAACUGUCCUACACACAGUAACUAGAGCAUAUUCUCUCCUAACCCUUCCAUAUAUCGAUUGCCUCUAUAUAUAUAUAUACUUCGAAGUCGAUUAGAGACAACUUCACACAACCAAAAGCUACAAUCUUUUAACACCCUAGAGGCCAGAACUUUCGAAAAAACCCCUCAUAUCACUAAAAACCUCAAUUCAACAAAAACCCACAAAACCAACCUAAUAAUCCAUACCCAUUACGAAAAACAUCCAAGAUUACCAACCCCAGAACUGCAUAUCACCAAAACAUCAAAAAAAACUCAAGCCACAUGCAAAAAAAACACAACCAGAAAUCAACACACAAAAACACAAAAUCGCAAAACCUGAAAAACCCAAAACACAGUAAAUAAGGCCAAGAACAAACCCUAAUCCCCAAUCACUUGUGGGGUGUCAAUGCAGAGGAGUUCGAUUCGGGGCACAAAAAAGUUACGAUUUUUAUGUGUUUUAAGGCAAGAGUUGAGGGAGUUGUGAAUUAGAUAGAUACAAAGUGUGUGCGUAGGUGGUGUUUUAGGGAGUUUGUGUGAGAGAGAACCAGAGUAUAUCCAAAUUUCAAUAGAAUUUUGGGUGUGAUACAAUUGAUAUUUGAGACGCAAAGAUUGUAUAUAUACUCCCGGAAGGCUUCUUCUGUGUGUAUGUGUUGAAUGGCUCACUACAAUAGAAAAAAGAUGAAGUUUUUUCAUUAACCCUAUUUUACCUAUGUUUAACUUAACUUUUAUGAAUACAUUUUAAUAUAGUAUUUUUUUUUUUACUCAAACAUGCUUUGUAGAUAUUAAUUUAGUUUCACAAAUUUUAAUAAUUUCUUUUGUUAAAUUAUGUUUGGAAUGUAGAAUUGAUGGAAAUGAGACGAACGAAGAUAAUAAUUCUAGAGUAUUUAGUGAAUGAAAAUUAUAUGAUCGUUUCAUAUUUUAUUUUCCCGAUAUUAUAUAAUUUAAAAUUUUUUAUUUAUAGCAUUAUUACUAUUUAAAUAUUUUUAAUAAAUCAAUAUAUUAAGGAUAUCAAAAUAUUUUUUAUUUGAAAAAAUUAACUUAUUUUUAUUUUUCAAAUUAACUACAAUAGAUUUUAUGAUUCAAGACAUAGAGUAUAAUUAGAAAUAAAAUAAAGUUAGAAUGGUAAAUAAAAUAGAAAAGAAUUAUAAAUUGUUUUGAACAAAUAUAAAAGACUGAACAACAAUACCUUUUUCUUUCUUAAUUUAUUCUUUUCUUUAUUGCAUUCCUCUACAAAAAGCUCUGUUUUCAAACUAAUUAAUAAAAAUAUGUUUUAAUGUGAUUGCCAAAAUUUAAAAAAAACACUUAUCUAUAAUCGAUAUACCCUCCAUCUCCAUGACACCAUUUUUCUUUUGACAUGUAUUUUUAGAUAUAUAUAAAAUAUAAUUUCACAUUUUUAUUUGAAAAUUUUCUCUUUUAAUAUAAAUAUUCAACAAUAAAUUUUUGUGAGAAAAAAAAUUAAAAUAAUUUUUGAACUUAUAUAUUAUAGAAGUCUUAAAACUCAUGUUGCAGGUGUAAACAAUUGGAAAUACGAUUAGAAAUUUUUUCGACUAAUGUAAUAGUUAUUUCUGAUAUUAAUAUCAAAACUUGUUCACUUAUAAUAUUGCUCACAAAAUUUUUGUGUAAUAAUGUAUUCUUCUCUGGUAAAAUAUAUCAUAGCGUAUUCUUUCCUUUUAGUAAAUAUCACCAUAUUCCCUCUUUUGACAAACAAAUUUUUGGAUAGAGUAUAAAGGAUAGGGAUAAUUGAUAAAUAUUGGGCACAAAAGUUUAGUCAGCAGCCCUGCUGGGCUUGGUGCUGUGGCGAAUGCUAAUUGCCUGGCACCAUAGAACACAAAAUAAAAAUAGAAUUGCCUGGCACCAUAGAACACAAAAUAAAAAAUACUCCCUCCGUUUCAAAUUAGAUGUCCACUUUAAAAAAAUCACACAGUUUAAGAAAAGUGGAUGUUCAGAAAUUAAUUGCAUUAAAUGAUCAAAAUAUGUGGAGUGAGAUUGAUCUAGGAAAUAUAAAUAAGAGAUAUGUGGAGUAGAAUUGAUUUUGGAAAUAUAAUUUUGCAUUGAAAGUUGAAGUGGACAAGUAAUUUGAAACAAAUUUUUUUUUUCAAAGUAGACAUGUAAAUUGAAAUGGAGGGAGUAGAAAAUAAAACAACCUCAUGCCAGAGGAAAAACAAUAUACAAUUUAGCAAAAAAAGGAAAAAAAAUUCAGCAGACCAGAAAAAGAAAAGAUAAUAAUAAUCAGAUCACAGAAGUUGAGAAGUGUAAGAUACCGGUGCCAGAGGAAACAACACAAAAAAACCACCACAUUCCAAAAAAAAAGUAAAUAAAUAUUCAUAUACCAGAAGUUGAGUAGUCUAUCCUAAAGCAACCACUACUUGUAAAACAUGAACACAGUCUCCACAGUCUCUUGGCAUUUGAUUAUUUUCACAAGGAGCUCUUGUGAAUUUCGGAUAUCACACUGACAGUUUUAAGAUAAUCUUCCUUCAUUUCUGAAAUUGUUGAUGUCAUGGACUCUUUGAACUUUGAAACAGAGUCGAUCAAUGCCAAUAGUUCACGUGCACACAUUUGAACUUCUUCCUCACUUUGAGCAUUUACUUCUUGACACUUCAUUUGAGAGGUCUACAAAAUAGGACAUUUAAUAUAUUACUCUCGGUUGAUAUCAACCGAACCUGGUAAGAAAUAGGAAUCUUGGCCGACAACUGAUGUUGCCUGGUAUAAUCCACUUGGAUAGAAUACCUACCAAGAAUACUACUUACCUUAUAGUCUGCAAUUAUCCAAAAAGUUAAUUAAAUAACUAAGAACAUACCCUCAAAAGUUCAGUGGCUUCUUUUUCGACAAUAUCCAUGUUUUGUUCCUCAGCUUUAACAUCCUCCACCAACUUUUUAGCUUCCAUCAUGCAUCUAGAAAUGUGCUCCUGAGUUUCAUCCCUGAGCAAGUUCAAUUGGUUUUCCACCUACGAUAUUGGAAUAAAUAAAUUAUACUCAAUUUUAGGCUACUUGUACAUUUGAAAUUACAUUUGUUAGGUGUCAUCAGGAAAAACAGUCCAUUUUAUUUAAGAAAACUAAAAAUGCAAGCAAUCCGAAAGUACAGAUCAAAGGACUUAAAUAUGGCAUUCUUGCACAAUAUUUCCAACUCAAGCUUUCUGUCUUCCUGCACAGUGACAUACAAGACUAGUAGAGAACAUUUCAGAAUAAGCUGGUACUUCAACAUGCCAAAGGAAGUUGCUACUAUACAGGGACGAAGCGAGACCAUAACUUCAGCAAUCGGCAUGGGCCAAUUCAAAUUAAAAUAACAUAAAAAUCAAAUAAUGAUAUAACAAUAAAAUUAUAUUAUUAAAUAUAUAAUUGAUUUAUAAAUUAUGAAUUUGGGCCUUCAUUAGUAGUCCACUAAAACACUAACAAGUAGAAAAUGAAGUGAACAAAUCAUACACAAAAUAAAUUUAAUGGGUUAAUGUUAUAUAUUGUCAAUUAAAACAGUGUGCAUUCAAUAUAAAAUACAUAGAUAUUAGGGGUAUCUCGGGAAUCUUAGAUGUUAGCUACGCAUCCAAGACGAAUAAGCACAACCAAUACGAGGAAAUCAAACCAUCACAUAUGAAUAAGGCAAAUUAACUACUGAAAUUCAUCGAUAAAUCCGCUAAAAUCCCAUGACAAUGAUUAGUUCAUAAUCGAACUUCUCAUCAUCAUGGGUUCGAAUGUAAACAUGGUACUGAAUAUGGAAAAAACAAAGUCAAGGUACUAGAAUAAGAGUUAGGAAACAAAUCCGAAACGACCAUCCAAAGUUACGCCUACUUCGAAGAAUUACAAAGGUAAAAAAGUAUGAAAUCGAUCUUGAUCUUCUCCGUAGCCGUCACAUGCUCCUUAGAAUAUUUUUAGGUUAUCUUUUAAGUCCCCCAAGGCGGCAUGCUCCCUUGGGCCAGUAUUAAACUUCGUCCCUGCUACUAUGUUAUCAUCUCACAUCUGACCUAAGAAAAAUGUUUUCUCAAUAUCAUCAAUCUUUUUAAUCUGUUGAAAGUUAUGCACUGGGACUUUCCCACUAAGAAUAUGUUCAUAAGAUGGUGUUUCAUGCCCUAAACAAAUUGUACGGCAGAAAAUGAUAAACACAUACUUCUACCAAAUCAUACAUCCCCUGUACAUAUAUUCCCAUGGACUUUUAGUGGUGAGUUGUGCAGAACUGAAAUUAAUAACAAUGUCCUCCUAAUUCUGACUAGUCCAGAAUAUAAUCUGAAAUGGUAAACAUGUCAAGACUUCACCUAAGCUAAAUCUUUCGCUAAAAUAAACAUCGGUGUCGGCACUUCAAGUAAACAAAGAGGCUAUACAACCAAGGUUGAGGUGUUAUAAGCAUAUACUACGAAGUUACAAAUUAAACACCCUUACAAAAACAUGUAGUGUAAUAAGCACUGUCAUCAAAAUUUAAGAACAUAAUAAAAAUGUAUAAAGAGAAUAAGUGAUGAAUACACAACUUAAUCACAUUUUUAGCAAUUUCAUAGUUCCAAAGAUGCUAUUCACAUACUUUUGUGUUCAUGUACUGAAAAAGAUAAAAACUUUGAUGUAUAUUUAUAGAAUAUAUAAGUGCACUCAUGAUGUAGUUAUGAAACCCAUACACCACAAUGAUGGGGUAUCAUGUGUGUGUGUGUGUGUGUAAAUUAUAUUGGCGGGUCUGGGUGAUUUUUUUUACAGUACGUUGUUGCUCUUCUUAUUAAGAGAAAGAUAUAUGGAUCCUCUUAGGUCUAAAAUGGGAUCUAAUAUGUCAGGACUUUACAAAAGCUAAAUCUUUUGCACCAAGGAUUUGGUGUUGGCACUACAAAAAACCAGGAUAUACAACCAAGGUUGAGGACUAACAAUUGUAUUAAAUGAAGUUCAAAAUUAAAAUAUCAGAAAGAGGAAAGAGGAAAGAAAGCAUCGACUUCCUUACGGAAACAUGUAGUGUAGAAGCACCAUCAUCAAAAAUAAGAGCAUAAAUGUAAUAAAACAAUAAGUGACAAAUAAACAACUUCAUCACAUUUUAGCAAUUUUUUAGUUUCAGAGUUGCUAUUCACUUACUUCAUCAAUAUGGAAUUGAAGGGCGGCAAUAUGAUUCCUUUUCGCUUCAAUCUUAUUUGCAGCUUCAACAAAAAGUUUCUGAAGAGAUAUCUGUUCUUCCAACUUCACCAUUGAACUUUUCUUGGUCUCCUCAGCCAAUGAAGCAAGUACAGGUUUAAGCUUCAAUUUGUAGUCUAUCCCUAGCACCUCCGCAGGGGUGGAAACUUUUGCAUUCAGCUCGUACUGGAAUCCAUUUCCAAGCUUUAGUCUGGGAAAAACCCAGAAGAAUGCAGAUUUAUAUAUAUAUAUACAGAGAGAGAGACAGAUAUAUAGAGUUUAAUGCAUAUCUUUAUUAAACAAAAUAGUUGAAUAUGUCAAUGAGAAAGGAUAAUGCAGAAACAUAAAGAUCAUCUUAAUUCUACAAAAUGAAUUAUUCACAAAAUUCUUUUCUGAAUGGGCAUGCUACAAAUGAAUCAGAUACAUUAUGCAUAGCACAUAUAUAACACCCCAAAGAAGAGAAAUUUGUAUGGACUACACCUUAAUUCCUGUAUGCCAGAAGAGUUUAAACAUAUAAGCCGAAUCGUUUCCAAAUUUACCAACACAGUGCUAUCAUAAUUCAUAUAUACCAUAAACAAUAUACGAGCUACUUAAUUUAAGCGAUGACUAAAAAAUACAUUAAAUCACAAAGCACAUCGGAGUGACAGCUUGGUUGCAUUUAAUCAUCAGACUCUGCAGGUUAUCUUAUGUCUUGUCAUGACAUCACCUUUUACACACUCAUUAUUCCACAACAAAAAAAUUCCCAUUCCUCGUAUUUCUCCUGCUAAGAGGAGAGUUGUCACAUUAUUCUGCCUAAAUCUGACACGAACCAUCAUCAAUGAAUUAAUACAGACUGAUAAUCUUUCUCAUUCUACACAUGCUUUCUUCAAUUCAAUACCCUUCUUAUCCCUUUUAUAGCCCUCAAGAAAUAUAUGCAUGCAAGAACACUUGAAGACAUGUUUUGCAGAUGUAUGUAAUUCAUGUGAAAUGAUAUAGUCACAUGGUCUACUGACCAGGCGACUACUACACGUGCACUAGUUAUGGACCCAUGAGUUGCUCAUUCAAUUGCGCCCAAUCUAACACCAAAGGAUGAAACUGUGGAGCUAUCCACUAAUCAUAUUAUCCUGCUCAUGAAACAAGUACCCAAUGUAGUAUUACUCGAAGGGAGUUCAUCAAUUUAUGACAUCAAAGAAUAUAUCUAUUGAUAUUCUAAGUCUAGCUAAGCAAAUCAUUAAUCAGCAUUAGAAAGGUGCAACAUCAGGUAGACAAGACAUCAACAAAACCAAUAAGCAGUUACAAAAAAGCAGAAUGUUGUCUGCAGCUACUUAUUUUAAGUGACGACUAAAAAAUGCAUUAUAAUAACAAAGCAUGAUAUAGUGAGCAAAACAAAACACAAACUUUCUGAUAGCUUGGUUGCAUUCAAUCAUCAAACUCUCCAGUUCUUUAAACUUCUUCCCAAUCUCACUAUCAAGUUCCCAAGACUUCUCCUCCCACGCACUCCUUGCAGCCUCAGCAUCCCCCGUGUUCCUCUCUACAGCCUGCAACUCUCUCUUCAUCCUCUCAGCAUCUCUCGCAUUAAACCCCUGCUCCUCCACCCUACUUUUCAACUCCUCAUUCUCCUCACAAAUCCUCUUCCUCUCCUCAACUUUCGCCUCCAAUUCCUUCUCUUUCUCCUCCAAACUCUUCUGCACAUUUACAAUAUGCCCAUCUAACUGCUCGAUCAUUGUAUAAAACUUCUUCACAUCUUCCUCCAACAACUUCCUCUGCUCCUCCAACACCUCUUUCUCCGACGGCCCAUUCUUCAACCCCUCCAACUUCCCCUCCAACUCCCUCACUCUCUCUGCCAAUCCCCUCGCACCCUCUUCCACCACAUUCCUCUCAUUCGUCAACUUCUCCAAAAACAUCUGAUCCUCACUCUCCAUCCUCUCAUCAUCUCCACUAAUAUAAUGAAAGUACCCCCUCAACGCGUAAUCAAACAUCCCAUUCUCCUCAUACUCCAACCCAUUCCCUCUCGUAACCUCAUCGUAAUUCCCUAUCUGGACCAACCAAUGCAUAACCCCUAACAAACUAGGCCAAGAAUGCGGGGUCCCCGGGGCCUUCAACGCAGACCUAUUCACCUUCACGGGACACCCCAAAUACUUCAAAACCCCAAACAACUCAUCCUCAAACUUAUUCCCCCCACUCAUCGGAAAAUCAAGAUUCUUCAGAAUCAGCUUAAGCGUUUCAAUAAUGUCCUUUGCGGACGGCAAAGGGGGUUUGAGCGAGAAAGUCGCGGAGUGCAGAGAGAGGUAGUUAUUAACCGUUCGCAGAGCGGAGAGCUGGAAUGAUUUGUCGGAAAUGGGGACGGAAGGAUUGCGAGUGGUAGAGGCGAUUGAGGGGCGGCUACUGCAUAAACUUGCGUCGGAAUCGCGGUUAGAGAAGUUGUACUGAAAAGGGUCAAAGGAGGUGGGGGUGGGAGGCGGGGGUUUGCGGUGGUCGCCGGCAAUUGAGUCUUUUUGACGGCGAGCUCCGGCGGGUCUCAUUGCCGGAAAUUAGGGUUUAAUUUAAGGCGUGUUUGGGUGUGAAAAUGUUUUGGUGAGAGAGAGAGACAGAAUUUGUGAUUUGUUUUGUUUUCCCGCUUUUUGUUGUUUUAAAGUUCAAAUUUUGGGCUACUUUUCGAGGAAACAGUACGCAAGAAAAUUUUGAAAUUAAUAUUUCAAAAAUUUAGUCCGAGAAAAAUGUUGAAAAAUAAUUUUCUUGAGUGAAGCAAAAACUUGAACUUUCUCGUUAGUUGAUUAGAGUUUUAUUCGCACUAGUUUAUAAACCGCGCUAGGCAGCGAUAUCAAAAUAUUUUUUUAAAUGAAUAUUUUAUCAUGUCAUAUUAUAUAUAGAUUAUUUGAAAUAAUAUAUUACAAAUUUUGAACAUUAUAUAAAUAAAUCACAUAAUUUAGUGUGUUCAUAUAUUUUUAGCGUAUAAUUGUAUCUUUAUGUAAUAUAAUACGAAAUUUAAGAAUAUAAUCAAAUUUCAAUAAAAAAAGAAUAUAAUCAAAUUUGAAUAAAGUAGACUCGUACACUACAUAAUACAUGUGAAAUUUAAAUAAUUAUAUCUUUAUGUAACAUAAUACGAAAUUUGAGAAUAUAAUCAAAUUUGAAUAAAUUAGACUCGUAUAUUACAUAAUACAUGUGAAAUUUAAAAUAAAAUAAUAAAUAUAAUCUUCAAUUUACUUUAACAUUUUUCUUAAUUUUUGCGGGCAGCUUUUUUGACUUAUCAAUUCAUUAGACUUUUUUAUCGAAUAGAUUUGAAAUUUAUAAAAUAAUCUGAUUAUUCUAUAUUAUCAUUCCUACAAUUCAAUCUAACUUUCUUCAAUUUUUAUUUUUGAUAUUUAAAAGUUAAAAAUUUGAAGUUAUAAAGUUUUUUGAUUUUUGUAUAUUGUGGUUUCUAUUCUAAAACUUACUUCCAUUAAAUAUGCUCCAAUAUUGUCUUUGAUACUAUUUAGAAAAAUCUGGUCUAAAAAGUUCGACACUGAAAAUAUAAUUGUAAUUUUUUUUCUAGGUAGUUAUAAACUUCUUUCCUCUCAAAAAAAAAAACUUCUUUCCUACAAAUUUAAAAUAACAAAAGAUAGUUUUUAUAUGAGAUAUUUAAAAUUUAAAUAUUAAAGACAAAUUAGGAUAUUAGAAAAAUAGGUGAGAGAUAUUUAAUAACGUAUCUAAUAUUAAUUAUAAUCUAACUUAAAUAUUUUUUUCAAUUUUUCCACUAUAAAAUAUAUUAUAAUAUUUUGAUUUGAAACUUACGGAGACUCUCUUAUCAUCCGGGAACGUUUCACCCUAAAAUAUCUUUUAAUAUUGGCAAUUUGAAAUUUUCGUCCAAUAAUUUUGAAAUCAAAAGAAGUAGUUUUGAAAUAUUCUUCCACAUAUUCGAAACUAGUUGAAACUCCCUUCCAAUAAUUUCGAAGUCAAAAAAAGAUAAUUUUAAAAUUUUCUUCUAAUAAAUCUAACUAAAAAAUAAUUUUUAUUUUUGACAUUUAUAAUUCAAAAAAUCGGAAAAAUUGGAAAAAUAUGAUGGAGCUCUGUCAUAAGCGCCAUCUCAAUGACCUUCCCUUCUCCUUUAUACAAGCAUAUUUUCGAAAUCGAAAAACGUAGUUUUGAUAUUGACCGCCAUGGUGUAAGGUGCUGAACCUCACAACAAAGGAACCUGACAGAAAUAAUGGUGCAGCGGAAAUAAACAGAUACAAACAGAAGAAGAAGAAGGAGAAGAAGGGAGAGAAAGAGAGAGAGAGAGUGGUGCUAAAUUACUAUCAUUGGAAAAACAUGAAAACUUGUCUGGUACUGUGAGAGUGCACAUGAAUAUAAAUACAUCAGAAUGGAUUAUUCUAGAAUGAUUAGUCACCACAAAUUCUGUUAUGCAUCAGACUGUCAAUUUAUGGUUGUGCUCUUGUGUUGCAGGGUCGUAGCUGUGCUUCUGUGGUCAUGCACCAUGAUGUCACGCUUAGGUGACUUAAUAUCUGUAACAUCCUCCCUCAAGGUGGAAGGCUGAAAGAGAUUGAGGACUCCCAACUUGGAACAUAGAUGCUGCAGAGAAGCCGAAGAUAAGGCCUUUGUAAAAAUGUCAGCUGGUUGAGAUGCAGUAGGGAUAUAAGAAGGCUGAAUCAUGCCCAACUUGAGUUUUUCACGCACAUAGUGGCAGUCAAGUUCGAUGUGUUUGGUGCGCUCGUGGAAGACUGAAUUGUGAGCAAUGUGCAGAGCAGACUUGCUGUCACACAGAAGAGGAAUAGGGGUGAGUGUAUGAAUUCCAAAAGCUUUAAAGAGGCCUAAUAACCAUGUUAGCUCACAGCAGGUGUCAGCCAUGCUUCGGUAUUCCGCUUCCGCUGAUGAUCGUGAGAUAGUGUGCUGCUUUUUACACUUCCAGGAAAUCAAGGAAGGGCCAAGCAUGAUGCCAUAGCCAGUUAAGGAGAGCCUGGACUCCUUGUCACCAGCCCAGUCAGAGUCACAAUACGCAGUAAGCUUGAGAGAUUUGCCUGAGGACAUGAGAAGGCCCUGGCCAGGUGAUGCUUUCAGAUACCGAACAACCUUAUAAGCAGCAAGUAGAUGAUCUUGUCUGGGACAAGCAAGAAACUGAGAAAGGACUUGAACAGAAUAUGAUAUGUCAGGACGAGUAACGGUAAGAUAGAUAAGUCUUCCAACCAAGCGACGAUAUGAUGAUGCAUCAGAAUCUCCUAAUUGAGCACUGUGAUUGUCCUGUAAGGUGUGGUUUUGCUCCAUUGGGAUUUUGGAGGGUUUGGCACGAUCAAGGCCAGUGUCUGUUAGAAUGUCAAGGGUAUAUUUUCUCUGAUGCAUAUAGAUGCCUUGAGAGGAGCGAGCCACUUCUAUACCAAGAAAAUAUUUCAAAGGACCCAGGUCUUUGAUCUGAAAUUGAGUGGACAGAUAGGCCUUAAUCUGAGUGAUUAAUGAUGGACUGUUUCCUGUGAUGAGGAUGUCGUCAACGUAGACCAGUACAGCCACAAACUGAUUUUGCUGGUUAAAUGUAAACAGGCUGUUGUCAGAGUGGGAUUGAGUAAACCCGUAUUUCAGCAGAGCAGUGGAAAAUUUAUCAAACCAGCAUCUGGGAGCUUGUCGCAGCCCAUACAAUGAUUUUCUCAGUCGACACACAUACUUAGUAGGAUCAUGAAUGGAGGUAACAGAGAUUCCUGAGCUGAGUUGCAAGUAGCCAGGCGGUAGUUUCAUAUAAAUUUCUUCAUUGAUGUCACCGUGCAGGAAUGCGUUGGUCACAUCUAAUUGAGACACUCCCCAAUCUUGUGUAGCUGCUACUGCAAUGAAUACCCUUACUGUUGUCAUCUUGGCAACUGGGGCGAAGGUGUCAAAGAAGUCGAGCCCAUAGAUUUGGGUGAAUCCUUUCGCAACGAGACGAGCUUUAUAUCGCUCAACAGUACCAUUGGGAUUGUAUUUAACUUUGAAUACCCAUUUGCAAUCUACUAUAUGCUUGUCGGGUGGUCGAGGUACAAUAUCCCAUGUGUGAUUGUUCUCAAGAGCAUUGAUUUCGAGUUUCAUGGCUUUGAGCCAAUUGGUGUCACUAGAGGCUUGUUUAUAUGUGUAAGGAACAGGGAUAGAAGCAGUAGCAGCUAAAUAGCAUUGAUAUGAUGGAGAAAAUCUAUCAUAGGACAUGUAAGAUUGAAGGGGAUAUGUGGAUAUAGAGGUACCUGCAAUCAUGUUAGUGCAGAUUGGUGUAGACUGAGUGGUCAGUGUUGUGGGAAUCCCUGUGAAGUCCUUGAAGUGUGCUGGGACCUUCUUUGUUCGAACAGGUCUGGAGUUGACCCCAGUGGUUGUAUCUGGAGUGUUUGUAGGUGGUGUGGGUUGAGGCAGAAUCACAGAAUCCUCCGGAGGAGCAUCGAGCAGAGUUGGGGGAAACAUUGGUGUAUGUUCAGGACCAUGAGGCUGAUGAAACGGGAAAAUGUCUUCAACAAAGUGUACAUGUCUGGUAGUAUAGCACUUUCUGCUACUAAGUUCCACCACUUUGUAGCCUUUUUGAUUAAACGGAUAACCAAUGAAGGCGCAUUUGAGAGCUCGGGGGCCAAACUUAUCGGUACCAGCAUCAUCAUUGGAGAUGUAACAUAGGCAUCCAAAUGCUCUGAGAUUCUGAUACUUGGGAGGUUUUUUGAAUAGAGUUUCAAAUGGAGACUUAAAACCAAGCAGUUUGGAGGGUAACAGGUUGAUAAGAUGAGCUGCCGUGAGUACACAAUCACCCCAAUAAGUGAUUGGUAGUUUGGAUUGAAAUUUAAGGGCACGAGCUACUUUGAGCAGGUGCUGGUGUUUCCGUUCUACCAAACCAUUCUGCUGUGGUGUUCUGGGACAGCUGGUUUGAUGAACAAUGCCACAUGUAAGCAAAUGAGUCUGUAAUUCUCUAUUAACAAACUCGGUGCCAUUGUCUGAUCGAAGAACCUUGACAGAUGUUUUGAAUUGGUUUUGUACAUAAGCCAAGUAGUGUUUGAGUAUUGGAGUUACUUGAGUUUUAUCAGCCAAGAGGAAAACCCAAGUGCAUCGAGAAUAAUCUUCUACAAUUGUCAAGAAGUGAUGGCAUUUGCCAUGUGUGGGAUAUUUAUACGGUCCCCACACAUCACAAUGUAUAAGCUCAAAAGCAGAAAUACUACAAGUUUCACUUUUAUCAAAAGGAAGUUUCUUUUGUUUGGCUUGAUGACAUAUUUCGCAGUCAGCAUUCAACUUAGGAAUAUGCUGUAAGUUUGAAAUACUACUAAGAACAGUAUGUGAAGGGUGUCCUAGUCUAUAAUGCCAAACAAGAGAUUGAUCUUUGUCAUGGGGAGCAGCUGCAGUAUGAAUGGUAACAGAUUCUUGAAGCUUUAGGGUAUUAAGUCUGUAUAAUCCAUCUUGAAGAUCACCAAUCGGCCUCUUCCUCUGUGUAACAAGGUCCUGCAGAAGGCAUUUUGUAGCAGUAAAAUGCAGAACACAUGCAUUAUCAAUAUUGAACUGAGCAACCGAGAUCAAGUUGCACUGAAAGUUAGGUACAUAGAGCACCUGUUUCAGGGUAAGAUUACAAGGCAAGAUAAUAUCACCCACAUGUGUGACAUGUGUGGUAUUACCAUUUGGCAAUUGCAACUGAGAGGUCAAAGGUUUGAUGUUGCAUAGUAAGGAUAAGUGAGCUGUGAUAUGGUGUGUAGCACCUGAAUCAAUGAUCCAGGUGGUGCUGGCUGUACAAUUUAUUAAAAUGGCAGAAUGAGUAGUAAGAGCAGAAGUGACAGUGAUACCUGCCAUCUGAUUGUUGGGAGUAACAUUGACAGUGUUUGCUUGGAUCCAUGGAGCAUUGGCUGGUGACUGCUCAGCAUUAGAGUCAGAUUUAGAGCCUUGAAGUCUGGCUUGGAGAAUGUUGAGCAGGUGAUCAUACUGCUGUUCAGUGAAAUUCAUAGUAUUGCCAGAAUUGGUUGCCACUGUAGGCUGGAUAUUUGCAGCAGCUGCCUUCUUGUUGUUGCUAUUUCGAGGUUUAGGUUUUGGUUGGCCAUGAAGACGAUGCCACUCAGGAUAGCCAUGGAGACAAAAACAUUUGUCCCUUGAGUGACCUGGAAGCUUGCAGUAAUCACAGGUUGUUUGCACAUCCAGGGAUUUUUUGUUGGUCUUUGGUUUAGCAGAGCUGUUCUGCUGAAACUUCACAUUCAUAGCAAGGUUUUCAGUGGUAACUGGAGAGAUUUGGUUGGCACUAUCUCUCUGAUUUUCUUCUUGAAGUAACAUUGCAUAUGCAUUAGCAAGAUCAGGUAGGGGUUUCAUUAACAAGAUCUGGCCUCUAGUGUUAGUGAACUGAUCGUUAAGACCCAUAAGAAACUGGCUUAAUUUCAUGAUAUGCUCAUAAUGAUCAAGUUUUGCAGAGUUGUUGCAAUUACAGUUUGAAUUAGCACAGAUACAGCGAGGAAUAGGAGAUAGGCUAUCAAGUUCAUCAAUGAGGCCUCUGAACUGAGUAAAGUAAGUAGUGACAGAUUUGGUACCUUGUGUGAGAGAUGCCAAGUCCUUUCGAAGAUGAAAGAGGCGAGGCACAUUUGACUGCAGGUAUCGAGUUGCCAAAUCAUCCCAGAUCUGCUUCGCUGUGGACAUGUAAACCACACUUUUCCUGAGAUCUGAUGAAAUGGAGUUGAGAAGCCAUGAAACCACCAGAUCAUUGCUCCUCAUCCACAAAGCUAACAUUGGUGAAUUACUUGCAGGUUUCACCUGUGACCCAUCAAUAAACCCCAAUUUGAGUUUAGCAGAGAGAGCGAUCUUAACAGAUCGACUCCAGGUACUGUAGUUUUGGUCUGUAAGCACUUCAUUAACAAGUGCUAUGCCAGGGUUAUCUGAAGAACUUAUGUAGUAGGGAUGGUUAAUAUCGAUAGCUGGUGAUGUUGCCAUGGAAUUAGAUCCAGAAGCUCUGUUGGUUACAGCAGCAGCAUAUGAUUGCAUAAAUAUGUGUUUACUGAUGGUGAGCUAGUUGUAAUCACAACCUCGCUCUGAUACCAUGACAGAAAUAAUGGUGCAGCGGAAAUAAACAGAUACAAACAGAAGAAGAAGAAGGAGAAGAAGGGAGAGAAAGAGAGAGAGAGAGUGGUGCUAAAUUACUAUCAUUGGAAAAACAUGAAAACUUGUCUGGUACUGUGAGAGUGCACAUGAAUAUAAAUACAUCAGAAUGGAUUAUUCUAGAAUGAUUAGUCACCACAAAUUCUGUUAUGCAUCAGACUGUCAAUUUAUGGUUGUGCUCUUGUGUUGCAGGGUCGUAGCUGUGCUUCUGUGGUCAUGCACCAUGAUGUCACGCUUAGGUGACUUAAUAUCUGUAACAGAACCCGUCGUGGUUCAUUCCUAAAAGUUAAACCUCUGAACCACCCGCCAACUCAAUCAUGCUAGUAGAGUAGUAGUUCUUGAUCUAUUAUAUGUUCGCAUCAUUUGCUGCUUUUCAGUUUCCCUGUUAGCAUAGCUGUUUUACUUUAACCAUAUCAAAAAUCAUUCUCUGCUUAGUAUUGAAUUUUACCCUGAGAGUCGUAUAGUAACACGACACAGAUAUUUGUCUGAUAACAGCAAUGUAUAGAUACUAGUGAAUCUGAAUCAGGAAGAGAGAUCCAAACUAGGAACCUGUUAGUAUUUAAACAAUAAGGAUUUCAUUUUUAUAGGUUGAUGAAACCGAUUCAAUAUGAAAACUCUAUAUGAGAGUUAUGUGCAUUGUCUGUUGUUGUGGUAAUUUUCUUCCAGUUUUUUUGGUUUAAUUUAGCGGAAAUUAAUAAACAUUUCAUACAAGUAAUUGAGCACUAACCAAUUAAGAGGUACUCCUCAACCCCUGCAGGAACAGGGAAUCGAAAACUGGGAGUCUGUCGAAGAACUGGUUCUAAUACAACAAUUCAUUAGGAGAGUUUUCUGCAUUGUUUAAUACCGCCGUACCUCAUUUCGCUCCGACUGGCAAAUUGCUAAAGCAAGAAGCAUAGUUUUAAGGCCAAUUCUAAUACUACUACAAGAAUGCGCGAGGCUCCCUUGAAUUUGUUGAAAUAUAAGUAUAAGAUCCAUAACGGGGUCUCCUCUAACACCUUAAGGUUUUAGAUGGAAUGGUUCUCUACAGGUUUCACAGAGCAUUGGACAGAAAUUCACAAAACUUGCUAAAUGGCUACUAUAUUUCUGUGUGACACCCUCGUAUGUUUGAGGUCUUUAAUGUAUGAUGCUUCUGUUUUUUUUCGGAGAUUCACAGAAAAAUGCUAAACCCAGACUCGAACUUGUAGUGACAAUUCCGAGAAUUCUAUAUCAGUAGCAGCAACACAAAUGCAGGAGCAUUUCCAAUUUGGUUUCUCUAACAACAAAAUACAAUUUUAAAUGACUUGAAUUUCAUUUUAUUAAUUCGUUUAGUUGUUUUGCUGAAUUUUUUCUUUCAGACUUUGUAAACGCCUCAGUUUUCAACGCUUGUCUUAUAGUCUCCUCCUUGCUUGUCCGGAAAUUCGUAAAAGACAAAACCUAGCUGAGGCUACAUGUGAUUUUCCUCUUUUUUCAGGAUAGAGUGUCGGAAGCAGUUAAGAUUUUGAAGGAUUAAUUGAAUCAUAGCUUUGUCUUUUCCUGUGUAUCAAUCUUUUGGACUAUAAGUUUCUACUCUAUAAUUUUCUUCCAUGUCACGGAUGAGAUUAGGUAAGAAUCUUACAUUUUGAGGAGUAAAUGGCAAAAAUGGUUUACGAAAUGAAGUAAUCGGAAAUAACAAGAGGUUGAAAAUUCGAGUCUUUGAUAAAACAGACAUUAUAAUAUUGGGGCAAGAUUUUCAGUGUAAUUGUACUUUUCUAUUUUUGAUAAUUCGUGUUCUUUAGAUAUUUCAAAAAUAAAGUGAAGGAUGAAUGUGUUGUAUAUAAAGAAUGGCAGGAUUCAUAUUCAGUGUAGAUGGAGUAUGCACUCAGCUUGUGUCUGCCACCUUCUGCUAGGGGUAGGUGACUGCUUCAACAAAACGUAUGACUCAAAGGAGAAGACUUUUAAUAACACACUGUAUGCAUGAUCUUUGAUGAUUAAUGGGCCGUUUGGAUGAGUUUCAAAUACGUGUUUUUGCCUAAAGUAAAAAAAUGAAGUAGAAAUUAGAAACACGUAAAAACUUAUAAGUAAUUAAAGUGUUUGGAAAAAAGUAGAAGCCAUCAAACAAAAUCAGUAUUUUCAACUUCUUAUAGAUACUUCUUAAAUUUUUACACAAACCGUACGAAUAGGUGUUUUUAACUUAUAAACCCAUAACCCGGGUUUUUAAGCCCGUCCAAACACCCGCUAAAUCAGGAUUCGGAUAAUAUCAUUUUCAGAACUCAUUUGUUUCCAAGAAAAUUAAUUUUGGAAAUUCAGUCGGAAUUAUUAUAACUUUCUUCCGCAACCGCCUCCCCAUCCCUCCUCCCAGGAAUUCUAAAAAUGUAACAGAAAAAGUUAAAAUACUUUAUUCUACAAAUGGAAAUCAUAUAUCACAAAAUGAACUUGGAAAAGGAUUAUGAAAGAUAAUAUCAAACACCAAGAAAACUUUCUAGUUUUAUUUGCUCUUUAGCUGAGUGCAAUCAAUAUUAGUGCUUUUAGAGAAUCACAAACCCUACUAACCCUUGUUAGUGGCUUAAACAGUGAUUACACUGUUUAAUCUAGCUGAUUAAUUGUGUACAUGUGUACAUUUUGAUUAUAUAGUGGGAGCUUGUAAAGCAUUACCAUCUUUGUGUAGCCACUUAAUAAUCAUUUUGCACACACUAAUGCUUUAAAACAAUGGUUUGAAAAGUAAGGGCAUUUUACACCUAGCAAGACAUCUGUUUUCUAAGGCAAAAUGAGUGUGAAUAAGUUUGGUGUUUUCAAUAGAAAGGGGUGUGUCCUUGUUACACAAACAGAGGGGCGGAUUAGGAUCUAUCACGUGUUAGAAAGUUGAAACUCUAGUAUUUUUUUUGAGUUAAUUACACUUUGUAACCUCUAGGUUUGCUCCAAACGCAGUUUACUACCUGAACUUUAAAACGUGGCAAUGUGUACCCUACACUUAACAUUCCGGUGCAAGUUGUAACCCCUAGUCACUAUUCCGUCCAAAUCUGCCUUAACUUUAACUGUUUGAGAUUUAGCGGUGUGUAUUUUAAAAUAUGUAUUUAUUUUAAAAUUUUAAUAUAAGUUACAUCGUUUAUGUAAAAAAAAAAUUCAAAUUCUAAAUCUAUAUACAUAUUUUAAAAAUUAUUUUAAUUUUUUUCCAAAUAUUAGAGUAAAUUGAAUAUUUGAGCCCCGCUACUCAAAUUCUUGUAAAAUCAAAGAUAAUUCUACUGAUAAAUAUUUUCAUCCUUAAUGAUUUUGAGUUAGUGGUUCGGUCACUGAAAAUCCAAAUCGUUGCAGGAUAACUUUCAUUAUCUUGUUGAAUUAGCGAUCUACUCUCUUUGUCCCGAUGAAUUGUAUACGUGUGAUAAAGAAUGUUCGGCACGCAUUUUUUUUUGAAAUCAUGUUCGGCACGCAUUUUAAAACACUUAUAAAAUAUAAUUUCAUAAAUUAUUUUUUUAAAUAAUAUGUAGAGGUAUGUUUUUUCCUACACCUCAAAUUACGAGAAAAAAAAAUCAAAACGACUCUUAUUAUGAGACAAAAGGAGUAACAACGAACAUUGCGGGACGGAGGGAAGAGUUUUUUCUGUAAAAACUCGAUAGACCAAGAGACAACAGCGACCUGUGAUCUUAAGUCCAACAAAGCGGAAUGGCUGAUGCUGAAGGAUAACAUAGCAUUAUUCAAUGACCAUUUUCAUUUUUCAAGACUCCUUGCCAACCCAUUUUCUCACACUCACACUUGCUAAGUCAAAUAUUUUCCCCAAAAUUAAUUAAAUAAAAUCUUCACUCUCUGACCGACAUCUUAACUUCCCAUUACUUUCAUUCAAGUGGGGUGGUUCAAAUUUUUGGACACUCCCAACUACAACAACUUGCCUUUUUAACAAGUUAUAAAUGAGCCAAAAACAAAUCCAUUUCCACUCCAUCUUUAAAGUACACUACACUAUAGUUUGUUACAUUGGCAUUUUACAAAAUAUACUUUAAAGAUGUCUAUGGGAAGAGGCAGUGCAGUUGCAGUGGUCUUGGUGCUUUUCUUGGUUGCUCUUCAAUAUGAAGCAGCUCAAGCUGCUUUCUACACCGUCGGAGGCGCUGGCGGGUGGUCGUUCAGCUCCGGUUCAUGGCCUAAAGGCAAGCGCUUUAGGGCUGGUGACGUGCUUGGUACGUAUCAUGACUUAAUUAUAUUCUGAAGUAAGGUCUGCGUACAUCUUAUCUUAAUAUUCGAGUCGACGUUAUGCAUGUGUUUUGUUUACGUACCAACGUUAUUCCUUGAGAUAAAAUAAAGAUUAUGCAACAUUUUGUCUAUAUUCUCCUUUUGAAAAUCUUCCUAUUUUUUUUAGUUUUGCCGAAAAAUUUAAGAUCUGCGUACAUCUUACCUCAGAUCCAGAGCGCAAUAAAGCAUAUUUUGAUCAAAUUUGAGGUUAUGUCACAUUAUUUGGUUCUAGAAACUUGGCUAACAACUUGUGUAAUCACAGUGUUCAAAUACAACCCAUCAAUUCACAAUGUGGUAGCGGUGAACAGAGGAGCUUACGGCAGUUGCAGCACGCCGCGGGGGGCGAAAGUGUACACUAGUGGAAAUGACAGGAUCAAGCUUGUUAGAGGACAGAACUUCUUCAUCUGCAACUUCCCCUCACAUUGUCAAGCUGGAAUGAAGAUUGCUGUAUCUGCAGUGUGAUUUAUGUUAAUCUUCAGACAUAUAUGUACCUUGUAAGAAUAAAUAAUAUUUAGUACAAGGGCCUUGUAACCAGGGGCAGAUCUAGGAAGAGGCAUGAGGGACACGUGCCUUGCCUUUCAUGUAACGGCUAUAUUUCAUGUUUGUGGGUUUUAUUUGAGUGCUCUUGUGUAAUAAUAAGAUGGUGUUCAUUAUGAGGUAACCAAGGGUUUAUGUUUCAUGAGAGUUCUUGUAUAUCAUGAUGAUAUUGUAUCCUCUAUUAUUAUUUAGAUUUGACUAUGAGCAUGUUUGUGGGAUUUAAGUCGGGGUUUAAACUUUAAAGUGAUUUUCUCACUUACUGUAUAAACAGACGUUUUUCAACUUAAAGUCAGAAAUGAAUUCAACCCGGAAGCUUAAAACAAACCAAACAGAGCAUGCUGUGCCCUGAACUCUGAUCGCGGCGUGGCUGGUCACUGAAGGCCAAUAGAAAAAAUAAAAAUCAAAGCCCUGAUUGGUCUUGAAAAACCAGUACUACAAUCUUUCAAGCCUAGAUGGGAUACCGAAGAUUGAUAUAUACUAUCCGAAGGCUCGGAUCAUUCGUAGUCAUGGUCUGUCGUCGUUCAAAUGAUAUUUAAGCUAUAACAAUAUGAUUGCGUACAUUUAUACAGAUCGAAAGAUUCAUUCACUUGUAACUUCUUAAAGAUUUUUAAUUUUUUUGCUAUGAUUUGGUUAUUAAUUUGUUUGCUCGAGCAUUCAAACGCUUAAGUUUAGCUCUGAGAGCUUUGCUUAUCGAGCCUUGUGAGUCACAAAUUGAACAAAAAACUUCUCAAGGAUCGGGGUGGAUUGAUUUUCAAACAAGGUGAUCAAAAGGCAUGCUCAUUUUCCCUGUCAAAACUGUGAAGCAAUGAACCUAGAAUCAGGGGAAGGGUGCAAUUAGCCUGCGGAAAAUCUUUCUCCCAGCCCCAAAUGGUAUAAACUCAGUUUUUAGACGCUUGUGUCCUAUACUUGAUCCAAGAAUUAUCAAGUUUGAGAAACAAAACAUCGUUUCACUGUACCUUCCAAUUGCCCAAGCAUUGACAAUAACUCGCGGGUCUUUAGCUAUAUAGUAGCCCGUGAGUAUCUUAGACUGCUUUUCCGAGCAAGUAAGCAUAGUGUUUCUGUUAGCCUUUGAUUUUUACUGAUGAUAAACAACUUUUGAAUAUUCAGAUAAUGAUUUGGAUUAAGUCUGUUAUUUCUUUCACCUAUCUUUCAGGAGGACUUAACCAAGUUUGUUUCAACAAACUAUCUUGUGGAUAAACUCUUAUCUUCUUAUCCUAUAUUCAUGUUUAUCCAAUUGCUUUGAUAUUUAAACUGUUUUGUUCCUAACGUUCAAAUUCUUUAACAGUCAUAUUAUAACAGAUUGUACUUUCCAGGUUUAAUUCAUAUCUGUUAUAUUUGUUCUAAAUAUUAGCUUGUUGGUUUAUUGUCUAACAGCUAUAUUUCAAACUCUCCAACAGCUAUAUUUUACAGGCUAUAAAUUAGCUUGGACUUCAACUCAGAAGACAUAGAAGCUAUCAACGAUCUCCAUACUUCAGAGCUUUUAUUCUUUCUAUCAGAGUUAAACCAUAUACAAUCUGAGUUGUACUUUAAUCUAUUUCUAAUCACUUGUGCCGGGUUGUGGCAAUUAGAUAGGAUUACAAAUUAGAGCCAAGUUAGCCAGUGGGCUAGGUAGCAGGUGCUAGGUGACAGAGGUGUCAAAGGGAAGGGUUCUUCCAGAGGCUUGUAAUUUGUAGUUAGCAAAACUGUAAGCUUUAUAUUAUUGUUUAAUAAUAUAAUCUCCGUACUAGUUGGUACGGGGACUUGGAUGUAGGCCAUAGAUUAAUAGGGGCCAAACCAAGUGAAAAUUCUUGGUGUUGUUCUUGCUUAUUUGUCUGUCAUUUAUUCUCUGUGUUUUAUCUGAUGUUAACUGCUUCAGUUUAUAUAAAAGAGACAGUCUCAUUUGCAAUUGAGACAGACUCAUUUGUCUGACAGAUUAAGUUUUGUGCCCGGUUUAAAUUACAGUUUCCUCCACAUUUGCACUUAAUCAGGGGCGGAUCUAGAAUGUUUCUUGAGGGCACUAAGCAAACUUUUGAGAAAACCCUCUUAUAAUUUCAAAGGUUAUGGGAAUACUCAAAAUUUACAAGAUUUAUACUGAUUAACAUAUCGAACUUUUUUUAAGGGGGAACAUGUGUCCCUUAUUGGAUCCAUCCCGACAUGUAACAAGCCCACAAGUUAUCAAUGUCACUCUCUUCCGGUUUCUUGUUUGCUCCCACAACUCUUUCAAGCUCCGCUUUGAUCUUCUUCAUUGAUUCUGGAUUUUGUAAGAGCUCGGACAUCGCCCACUCAAUAGUCACACUUGUUGUCUGUUCCAGGCUCCAGCUAUGAAAUGAUCAGCAUACACAAACACAUCAUUCCCCGACACAAACUUGUAUCAGUACACGACAUAUUUUAAGAAUAUUUACCAAUAGGAAAAUAGUGAUCUUAAGUAUAGCUGAGCAUUUAUGCAGUGCCAAACAAUUAAGUGCCAAAUUCUGUGUUGCUAUUUAGGCAAGAGUGACUGACUGAUGCCAUGCAAUGCAGGGAACGAGUGCAUUUACGGGGACACAUCCAAACCGAGGAUCUCGUAGUCACUAAAAUAAGUUCCUUUUUUUUUGAAAACGUAAGUUUUUGUUAUGAAGUAAUUGAAGGGAUUGUCAAUUUUAUCAAGAGUAGUGUUAGUGCACAUAAUUGUGUACAUAAAAUUUAUACGUCAAUUGACAUAAAGCAGUUAACAUGAUCUCAGUUCACUUAUUCCGAUUUUGCUGUGCCUGAACUCUGAUCUCGGCUUGGCUGGUCACUGAAAGCCAAUAGAAAAAGUAAAAUCAAAGCCCUGAUUGGUCUUGAAAAACCAGUACUGCAAUCUUUCAAGCCUAGAUGGGAUACCGAAGAUUCAUAUUUAUUUUUCAAAGGCUCGGAUCACGAAGAUUGAUAUUUAUUUUUCAAAGGCUCGGAUCAUUCAGAGCAUGGUCUGCAAAUUAUUUAAGCUAUAACAAUAUGAUUGCAUAUAUUUACACAGAUCGAAAGAUUCACUCACUUGUGGCUUCUUAAAGAUUUUUAAUUUUUUUGCUAUGAUUUGGUUAUUAAUUUGUUUGCUAUGAUUUAGUUAUUAAUUUGUUUGCUCGAGCAUUCAAAUUUUUUACGCUUAAGUUUAGCUCUGAGAGCUUUGCUUAUCCAGCCUUGUGACAAAUUGAACAACAAACUUCUCAAGGAUUGGGGUGGAUUGAUUUUCAAACAAGGUGGUGAUCAGAAGGUAUGCUCACGCCGUGUUUCCUUCCGUUUAGAACAUCUCCAACCCAUGACACCAAAAUGAUGGAAGUUUAUCACCAUUAUGGUGCGAAAACUAAACUAUCUGAAAAUUUCAUUCCAACCCAUAAAUACAAUAUACUACACCAAAAAAAUGUUUUACACAUUAAAUGAAAUAUUCUCUUUUUAUUAAGUUAUUUAUAUCAAUAUUGAAUUUGUGCUUGAAAUUUAAGAAGUUCAAUAAACAAGGACCUCAAAUAAUUAUAAAUUCAUCAACCAAUUUAAGAGAACAACUUAAUUAUAUGAAUUCCUAUGCUCUUCCUAUAUGUGCUCGAUCCGGACGUUAAUGGAGUUCAGAAUGAACUUUCUUAUCUUUGAUUUGUCGAUAUCUACUAAGAAAGUCUUAAAAUUUGUCAUCUUCAUUUCUUUCCAUUUAUUUUUUAAUCAAAUUUAUUUAAAAACAUAUUUUUUUAUAUAAGAAUAUAAAUUUAUUGAUGUUUUGAAAUAAAUAAAAAAGUGUGAAUUAAAUAAUAAAGGAGAAUAUUUAAAAUGAUUAUGAUUGAAAAAUAAAAUAUAUGAGAUAAAACAAGUUUAAUAUAAUGGGACAUAAUAAAAAAAAUAAAUUUGUUUUGUUUAAUAAGUGUGAGGGUAUAGUGGCAUUUUAAAAAACUCCAAAUUUGGUGUAAAAUUACACGAAAUCAAUACUUGACACCAUAUUUGAUGUCAACCAAUUCAUCUAUAUCUAUAUCUAUAUAAUCUAUAUUUAUAUUUAUAUUUAUAUAAUCCUAAUUCCUGAAUACAAAAAAAGUUGGAAAAUGACGUUUUUUACCCUUUUCAGAAUUUUCCUGUAGUACUCUUCAGGGUGUUAUGCGUAAAUCCACCGGCAUCUUGGACCACCCAUUAGUAAACGGGUUCCGACCCAAGUGCAAAUACAGUUGUUUCCUUCAAGACUUUCUGUAGGAUCCGAACAUUGGCAGGCGACCCACCAUUUUUUUGAAUAUGUUGUUCGGUUACCUCCACCCAUAAUUUCAGCCUUUUCAGGAGAAGUUUCUUCCAUCACUUCAAUUUUUCGAAGACUGGCGACGACUUUUUCUCCUUCAACAUUAGGGUUUCAUCACUCGAAGUUCUUCCAUCACUUCAAUUUUUCGAAGACUGGCGACGACUCUUUCUCCUUCAACAUUAGGGUUUCAUCACUCGAGUUUAAGGUAAUUGAUCACCUUCUUUUUUACUUUGAGAUUAAGGUAUAGAUUUUGUAUAUAAUUCGUGAUUUAUAUCCUCUGAAAUAUAAAUUUUCAGUUCAUUUUAAUCAUUACUGGAUCAUUUAUCAACAUGUUUGUAAUUUGGAAAAAAGAGAAGUUUGUAAUAUAUGCCAGCGUCUGCUUUGCCCUGACUUUGGAGGGUUUGCUAAUAAUUUCUCCAACUAUUUCUGUCAAAUUACUCAUAGGUUGGAUAAUCCAUUACUUGCCGGGUAUGACCCAUGGAUUUGUAACAAUCAAUCAUGCUUUCCAACAUGCAAGAUCCGGUUUCUCACGGGUCAUCCAACCAGAUAUUUGAAAAUCAUAUGCAGCAGUUAAAACUCUGCAUAAUUUCAGGCUCCAUUAUCUCCAAUUUCAAAAAUCAUUUAAGCGGGCUUCCUGCAUACAUUCUAAGGCACGUCUAGCAAAGCUUCAAUCAGAAUUACCAGUUCCUCGAUAAUGGAUAAUGGUGAGUUGUCUCAUUGUCUGAUACUUCCUGAUGUUUCAUCGUGGUGCGUUUUGUAUAAUUUCCUUGAAUAUGUUUCACUGAUGGUUCUGUUAUAAAUACGAACAGGUCGUAAGCGUAACCCUCUGGGUUCUGUUUCUCCUUCAUCCGCAAGAAUCGGUGAGCAUGAUUGAUCAUGAAUACCUGUUUAUGAUCUAGCAAUUUGUUUACUGAUUCUUGGUGUUGGCAGGUCAACGUAGACCAUAUUCACAAAAUGAUCAGCCUCAUACACGCGAAAAUUUGGAUCCGAACAUAAUAUCUGUUCCAAGGCAGGCAUCGGGUAUAUCAUCUAAUCUGUUCUUUAGAAUUCUGCAUAUCCUGUAUAGUAAAAUACUGUUAGUGGCACUCUUAAAUCUAUCAAAUUAAUUGUUUCAUUGUCUCAAAGGAUGAGAUCAGGCUAAUUGAUGAUCUUGCACCAUUUACAGAUAUUAGCAGAAACGGUAGUGUGACAUGGGCCCGUCCUUUGCCCACGGGACUUCCAAGCCUUGAUCGUCCAUAGCCUAACAGCGGUUAUUGUUUUUGUUUGGGAUGUAUCAAUGUAAUGCUGGCCUGUCAUCUUAAAUUACUCUCUUAUUUUGAUUUUGUGGAGUAUUAUUUAUGUCUAUAGUAUAUAAUAUUAGCAGUUAAUUGCAGGUUCCAAUAUUACACAAGAUAUUCAUCUUCUUAUUCAUCUGCUAAUGAGAGAAAUUUGAUGCGUGAAAAUGCUCAUCCGAAUACAGCGGCAAGGAUACAACAACAUAUUGAUGCAUAAUCACACGAUAUUGUACUCUCGUGUUAGACUUUAUAGUAAUUAAUUUCUUAUCUUAUUUUUCUGAUGAAUAUGGUGGAAUGCAUUAUGUUCAGGAAAAUGAAGAUGGAGUAUCUUCAUUAAUAUCUCAUUAUAUUCCAGCGAGCCUAAAGCCUGGAGCAACUAUUGGCCGAAAAUUAUUAGCAAACCCUCCAAAGUAAGCCAGCCCUCUUUCCCUGUGUUAUGCAGUUAUCUACUUUCUGCUGACUUUGGAAAUUGAACGAAGAAUUAAGCUGUGAUUUAUAUAGAAAUAUCACCUGUGUUGUGCAGUUAUUUACUUUCUGCCGACUUUGGAAAUUGAAUGAAGAAUUAAGCUGAGAUUUAUAUAGAAACAUCACUUAGAUCAGUCUUGAUUUGUUUAUUUUAUGCACUGAUCAACUCAUGCACUAUUACUUCAUUUUUGGAGAACUACUCCCAACUACUGGUAUAUCUGUUAGAGCUUAAAUUCUAAUAAAUCUUAUUUUAGUAUAAUAAUGUCCCUAUCUGUUGGAAAUAAUUAUAUUCUUGGGCUAUUAUAUAAUCAUAAUUUUCGGGCUAUUUAUUAACCAAUUUUAGAAGAAAAAAUUUUAAAAAAUUAGUUGAAACUAAUAUAUUCCCAUAAAUCACGGAAAUUCAUGGUAAGUAUAAGCUUUCUUUUUAAGGUGGAAUCAUUAAAAAACAUUGAAUGAUUCUAGCAGGACCAUAAUACACAUACAAUCUUUCUUUCUUUAAUCCAGGAUUCUUAACUUGCACGUUCCCGGGCCACCUGGUAAAUUCUUUAGUAUUAUCAAUACUCUCCUUAUUAAGUUGAAUAUGUCAUAAUUUUUGCGCUUGGAAAAGCAGAACUGUUUUUAUUAUUAGAUUCUCAAGAAAUGUGGUUCAAUAUUUUUUGUUGGCAAAAUGUGAGUUUGUAAAUAUGUUGUAUUUGGUGCCAACUAAAUUUAUUGUACUAAGUUAAUCUCCAGGACCAUGGCAGUGCAGGAAAAGCAUUUGUGAGAAACAUCUGAGCAUAGAGGAUUCCUGGUUCUGCAAUUGAUGGCAUAUAAGGAAAUUGUUUAGGCGGGAUUAAAAGAGAUAAAUGAUGGGAAUUCUGAAUCUAUUUCUUGCUGCUUCAAUGCCGGUGCUGAAGGUGCUUUUGGUAACUGCUGUUGGUUCAUUCCUUGCACUAGACCGGAUCAAAAUAUUGACAGAGGAUGCACUGAAGCAUUUAAACACUGUAAGAAACAAUUUAAGUCCUUGAUGCUCUGUAUCCUAAUUUAUAAUAGCUGCAUGAUAUCCAAAACGCUUAACUUGCUAGCUGUAAUGCACAUACAAAGCUGAAUGACUGGUCUCUGGUAUUGCUAAAUGAAUCAUGAUGCACCAGCAUUAAGUUUGCCACAUACAUAUUAAAAUGAUGUUGUCAUUCUGUUUUAAUCACGUUUGCUACAUUGUUCAUGGCUAUGCAUAUUCCAAGUUUAAAGUAGAAAUUUUGAGAGUGAUUGAAAGUAAUUAAUCAAUCAGAUCUAAAAAAAUAUUGAAAGGAAUUGAAAGUGGGGUAAUAUUAGAGAGUAGUGGGGAUGUGGAAAAUUUAGAAAUUUAAUCAUGCCCUUCGCCAACAUAUUCUGAGUCACAAUAUGAGUAUAAUUUAUGGACUUUUUGUUCAAUAUUUUAACUGUUUAUUUAUGGUAUAUGUUAAGCAUAUCAAAGUGUCCACUUAAGGUGUAGUAUUUGGUUAUUCCUUUGAAGCUUAUGAUUGCAUGCUGGAACUAGCCUCUUUUUAUUUAUUAGCUACACAUGUAAUUUUAUGCACAGUCAUAAAAUAUACCUUCCCUUCACCUUUUCGUUCAUUUUUGCUGCAGGUGUUAUUUUCAAAAGCUCGUGUAAUUGGUCUUGGUCCUAAAUUCAUGUCAAUCUACAUUCAGAAGCUAGCUGUAUGUGCCUCUCCCACCCAUGUUACAAGUUUAAAAUUUACCCACUUUUUCCUCUUCAAAAAGAUAAAUAUUGAAUUCUAUUAAUUUGGUUAGCAGACAAUAUUUCUAACUUCCCUACUAUGCUUUGUGUCAUCUAUGUGCACCCAGAUUGAGCGGCAUAUAUAUUAUGAUGAAGUUGAAGGAUUGACCGCAGAAUGGCUUGAUGCUACGUGUACAUUGGUACUUAAUUUGAGCACAAGUAAACGUUUGAAUAAGAAGGGGAAGUCCAGCCUAUUGCAGGCCACUUGAGGAGGUUGUGUUAAUCAUUAGUCCACAUAAGCUUAUGCCAGCAGUGGAUUCCUCUGGUGAGUGGUGAGAACUUCAUUACAGUUCUCAUGACAGAGGAUGACGGUCCUCCUGACGUAAGAGCAAGGUUGUAUGUCAGCUCCUAUUGUGGAUAAGGAUCUUUCUGGUCUAAUACUUGGUAGAGCAAGUGGUUACCGAAGAUGACAUGAUUUCCGGUAAAGACUAAGAAUAAUAGACCAUAUGCAAGGCACAGAGUGGGUUCCCUGGGGAUGGAAAAGAUUUUGACAUCAGCUUAUCAUUUGAGGAUGAAAAUUUAUUGGAAAGCUUAAAUAAAAAGAGACCUGGGGUGCAUCCUGGUGAUGUUCUGGAGGCAAGGCACAACAAGGUACUGGCAAGGAUAAACCAGGAGCCAAACACUGCUGAGACAACUAAUGAUAUGCGGUGCUAUAGUAAAAGGUUUCUCCCAGAACAAGAAAAAGAAGACUUGAACGGAUAGGUUCCUGGCCCCUGGGUAUUGUAUUAAGUUAGAUUUAUUGUAGCUUGAUUGUACUUUUAUAAUCUAAAACAAAUGAUUUUCAUUAUAAAAAUUCCGAAAAAUUAAAAUUUUAUUAUUGACCAACUUUUAUUGUUAUUUAAUAAUACAUACUUGACAUAAAUCUAAUUAAUUAUACUCAACUCAAAAUUAUAUAAUUAGAUUUUUUAUUAUUAUAAUAAUUUAUAUGUUAAAAGACAACGAUUAAUACUCCCUUCGUUCCAAAAUAGUUGUCACAUUUUUAUUUUUGUUGGUCAAAUUGAUUAAAUUUUGACCAAAGAUUAUAAGUCAAUCACUCAUUAUUUUUAAAAACUGAAAAUAAAAUCUUAAAAUAGAUUAAAAGUUAUUUUCGGUGAUAUAUAUUUUAUUUUGUCAAUUGAUAAAAUAUUAAUAAAUUUCAGUUAAACUUUAGUCAAUUUGACCAGAACAAAACCAAAUGUGACAACUAUUUUGGGACGGAGGGAGUAUUAUAUUAUGGGUCAGAGAAUAACAACUGUGAUUCGUAACAUUAUGGGAACCUAUUGUAUUAUUAUUAGUCAAUGUUAUAAUUAAAAAUACAUUACAAUUAAUUAUUUAAAAUUAUAAAUUCAAGUGUUACCCGUGUGCGAAGCACAGGCCAAAUUGCUAGUUUAGAAUAAUUUUUACACGAUUUUGAUGUUGUAUUGGAACAACUUUUACACCAAAAGUGACACCAUUUUGGUGUUGCAUUGGAAAUGCUCUCUGCUUUAUAGGUUGACGCUGUCCCCGUUGUUUCCAUCAUGUCAAUUUUCGACUGAAGUUCCCUGUCAAAACUGUGAAGCAAUGAACUUACCUAGAAUCAGGGGAAGGGUACGAUUAGCCCGGGGAAAAUCUUUCUCCCAGCCCCAAAUGGUAUAAAUUCAGUUUUUUGCGGUGUUCUAAAAAUCGCCGAGUCAGACGAGUACUCAUUCCGAGUACUCAUUUUUAACCCCUCGUCCGAUCCGAGUUCCGAGUAAUCGGGUUUAAAACCGAUUUAUUAAAAAACCGGUCAAAACUCGGUUUGACUCCGAGUACUCGAGAUCAAUUCUGAGUUUGACUUAUCAAUUUUUUAUUGUUUUAUUUAAAAAUUAUUUCAAAAGAGACUAAACGUUAAUUUAUAUAUGUUUUGGUCUUCUUUUUUUUGCAAAGUAUUGACAUUAAUUUGAAAGUAUAUAUGUUUUAUCAUUAAAACUUGUGAAUGAUUAUUAUGUCAAAAACUAUCAAACAAGUAACUUUUAUUUGAUUUUAAUUAUUUCAAGUGUGUUAUUAAAAUAUUAAUAUUAUUAGAUAGUUUUAUUAAUAAUCAGUAUAUAACUAUAUAUGAGAAAAAAUUAUUUAUAAAAAAUACCCGAUUAGUUAUCCGAUAACUCAUUCCGAGUACUCUCCCGAGUUCCGAGUACUCAUUUUUCCGGAACCAGACCGAGUUGGACCGAUUUCCGAUUUUUACAACCUUGGUUUUUUGACGCUUGUGUCCAAUACUUAAUCCAAGAAUCUUUCAAGUUUGGAAACCAAAGCAUCCUCCCAAGUUUCAUUGUACUUUCCAAUUGCCCAAGCCUUGACAAGAACUCGCGUGUCUUUAGGUAUAUAGUAGCAAGGACAAACUCAGUAUUCUAAAUUUACCUGGGUUGGAGGAAAAACAAAAAAAAAAUUCCAAUAAACUAAUUUCAUAAAACAUGAAUUGAAUGUAUUAAUCAGUGGCGGAACCAGAGGGGGCUAGAGGAUGCUAAAGCCCCCUGAACCUGAAAAAACAGUGUAUAUUUUUUUUCCAGCCCCUGCUGAAUUAUUGCGAUGUCUAUAUAAUUUUUUUAGCUCCCGCUGGAUUAUAAAUAUCAUAGAGAUUGAUUCCUAGAUAAAUUGUUAUUCUUUAAUCUUUUCGUAUCUGCUGUGAUUUUGUAUAAAAAAAUUGUUAAUUGAGGGUUCCAGUUUCUCAAGAAUUAGAGGUUGAACUUUGAACAAUUGAGUGGUAUAUAAUUUGAUAAACCGUUGUUUGAUGAGCAUAAUGUGGGGUUCCGCUGUUUGAUGAACAUAAUUUUACAUUUGUUUUGGUGAAUUGUCAUGGUCACUUACUUGUUUUCAAAAAACUUUGCACAUAAUUACAUUACUCUUCUGAUAUAUUAAAAAGUGCAUGUAUCCUCUUCUAGCGGCUUGUAUAAUCUUAAGAAUGCUCCUGCAUUCUAGAUAAAAAGUGUCAAUCUGAAAUGUUCUGGAACACGAUUCUUCUUCGACCUAGAUCACCAGGGAUCACGUUCGAGUUUGCUGAUUUUGGCGAUUCACCUUUAACUUAAGUGAAAUAACAAAGGAAGAUAACUUGACACUAUGUUGAUUGAAAUUGUUUUUAGAAACGUACUUUAGCAAAAGAAAUAAGAAAAGAAAGAAGUUGGGAAGAUGAUACAGAUGAAAGAAAAAACACACGGAGACAUGCGUUUUUACAAAAAAGAUUUAGAUCCCCUUAUAAAUACGUAUCGAAGGUCCUUACCAUUUAUUAAAUAACCCUAAAAUUCAUUUUUGAUUAACUUACUUCUCUAUUUUCGGGUAAAAUAAAUAUUUUAAUCAUGAUAAUCAUAAGUAGACUAUAAAUUAUUUAGUGAAAAAUCACCGAAAGAGAUCAAGAUAUCGAACCGCGAACCAAAUUCGCGGGUCAUCAUACCCGUUUCAUAAGAGCUAGCAUUUUACGUACCCGAUCCCGUACCUCGUACUCGAAUGACCCGUGAAUAACACUGUUUGAGCCCCCCUAAGUCUAAUUCCUGAUUUCGCCACCGGUAUUAAUUAUGAUAUUUUCAAGGGUAUCCUAUUUCUUAAGAUCAUGAAGCAAAUUUCAUAAGUAUUAUAAUACAAACAACAUUAACUUGAAUGUAGUUCAUUGAUAGAUGUCACUAAAUCAAUUUUGUCGUUUUAAUGGUGAAUCAAACCCCUCUGCAUGCAAAAGGUGUAACACAGGAAAAACAACAAUAAGGCCGUGUAAAGGUCCCCGUGUGACAAUAUUCUAUCAUGAAAAUGAAUCAUACCUACGAAUCAUACCUACAAGUCUAGCAUGAUGGCAUUUCGAUUUUUUAAUACAAUUAUAUAAUGUUGUUUAGAUACAAGCUGAAUGAAUUAAUACUAUUAUUUUAGAAAAUUACAUAUUAAAAUAUAUUAAAAAUUAUUUACGAUGACGUAUUUUUUUAUUUUAUCAAUCAAUGAAAUAUUAAUAAAUUUCAAUUUUAUUUCCUCAAAAAAAAAUUAAAUUUCAAUUUUAUCAAAUUUUGAUCAAUUUGACUAGUCAAAAGCCAACAAUAACAACUAAAAAGCGACGGAGAGAGUAUUAAUAAAACAAUCUCCUCUCCUCGUGGCUCUUUUUUUUUUUUAAAGGACCUCGUGGCUCUUUUUAUAUGUACAAUCUUUCCAAAAAAUAUUAACUUUGAAAAUACACAAAUACAGUCUAUUUAUUUUAUUAUUAAAUAAUACAAGCUCUUCGUGGCUCUUUUUAUAUGCACAGUCUUUCCAAACAAAUUUAACUUAAUAAAUACACAUACACACUCGAGGAAAGAUAUGAUAUGUUCGCUGUGAUGAUCUUCAAUAAUAAUCAAUAAUAAUAAGAUUGAUCAUAAUGGUUGAUUAAAUUGAACUUGUAUAGUAUUAUGUAUGAUUUGUUGGACAUGUAAAUCAUUUUUCUUUAAUAAUAUUGGCUAUAUUGUUUGACGAUAAUUUAAAAAUAAUAUAUUAUUAAUAUUUAAAUUAUUAUAAAUAAAAUAUAUCACUUUAAUAUGAUAACAACAAGUGAUUUGUAGUCAUCCUCCUAAUUUCCUACUACAUGCCUGUAGUGGUAGUAGUGCAGCGGAAGAAGUUGGUAUGGUUUGGCUAUAUUUUUUUAUUUUUGAUAUGCCAACUAAGUUUUUAGUUAAGUUCUUAUAUCGGUGUUUCAUACCAAUUUAUAUAUUGUAAUCAAUACCUUUUUUUCUUUUUUUUUGUCAGGUCCAAUACCUUUUUUUCUAUAUUCUAUAAUAUUAAUAUAUUUAAAAUUAAUAAUUUUUAUACUAAAAGAAUUAAAAUUUAAUUUUACGCCAGGCCUCCUAGAUUAUUGAGCCCAGCUGUUUGUUGUACAUAGUUGGGAAAUUUUUUAUUUGCAGUUUAUCAUGGCAAUCAUGAAUAUUAAUAUAUAGACUUUUAAAUAUUUACUAAUUCUUAAAAAGAGUAUAAAACAAUAAAUCAAUAAUACUUGACUUAUCUCAUGGCGCUUAACUUGGAGUUCCAGGAAGUGACCGAGUAGAGUCAGGAAGAGAACUUAUAAAAAGCUACUUAUAUAAUGCGAUUACAACUAAGAGAUAGUCAGCAAGUCCGCCCAAGUAUAGGGACUUUCCAGUUCUCCAAGUAUAUAUACUCGAACACUACAGGGAAAUACAUAGCUACAAAAUUUAGUCACUGAGCUAGCUAGCCUUACCUCAGUUUUUACACAUUAUAAUUUUACUAUAAACAUGAAAAUCCUUUCCGGAUUGUUCAUUUUAUUAUUGUCAUUUUUAGCCAUCGAGAUGGCGGCUGCAGGCCGACAUCGCCACCACCUCCACCACCACCACGGUCAUAAAAGUCAUGAGACGGUGCACUUUAAGCCCAGUACAGACACUGUGCCCUUCCCCUCCAUCCCCUGGAUUGUUCCAGGUACGCGCAGAAGUACAUUUUUUGUUAAAAAUUUAAAACAAUCUCGAGAGUUUACCAGGAUCAUGUAUUAUAUUCUAACACGAACUGACGUUUUAAAAUGGACCGGUGAUGCAGCUGUGUACAAUGUUAGCUGGAACUUCAACGUAAAGGAUUGGCCUCAUAGCAAUAGUACCUUUCGGGCAGGUGACAUACUUGGUAAGGAUCCGAACACAAAUAUAUUUGGAUUAUUAUAGUGAAAAAUAAUUAGCGCAGGGUUGGGAACCAGUGCUUCUAGCUUCUUUCGAUAAAAAGUAACUUCUGCUUUUCUUGACAUGUUUGUGUAAAAAAUCACAAACACUUAAGGGAAUCUGAGAAUGCUAGUUUUUGUUUCAGGACUUCUAUUUUUUUCUGAAACAGUUUAAUCACUUAUAAGUCUUAAUUUACUUAUUAUUUCUAAUCAACUUCUUUACUAUAAGCAAAUAAACAAAUUUUUUAAGUUUAUCCAAACCCCUCCUAAGUUUAGAGCACUUUAAGUAGAAAUGUUGCUCCAAUACCAAACCAACAAUACAUUCAAGAGAGUAGAGAAAUUAUCUUUGUACAAGAUAUGCCGAUUAAAUGUACUUUAUAAUGAUAUGAUUUUUUGAUAUUUCUUUAAAGUCAAAACCGGACACCGAAAAAUGAAAAAAAAGAAUAUUUUCUCAGUGCUCUCAGUGUAAGUUCUUUUCAUCUAUAUAUAUUGUUGUUGAUUGUUUUGCAGUGUUUAACUACGAUCAAGAUCUGCAUAAUGUGGUUCCUGUAGACGAGGCAAAUUACUUGAAUUGUUCAAUCCCUGAGGUUGCUGCUGUUAUCUAUAAUUCGGGUCAUGAUUCGAUAGUGCUCGGACCCGGAACAAAUUACUUCAUUUGUGGCACCAUGGGCCAUUGUAUUGCUGGAAUGUUAAUGAACGUCACUGCAACUUGAUCCAUUUAUGUUGAGUCUGUAACCCAUUUGUUUUUUUUAGUGAAUUUCAUUUAAUUAUUUCAGAUUAAAUAUUGUAUAGGCAAUUAGGCAUUAUCUUUUGUGAUUUUAGUAUCCGUUUGUUUUAUAUAUGAAUUUUUUUGACAAGUAUAUUCUCUAUAUUUUAAUAUGGUAUUCUCUUUUAUAACUAAUAAUUAAAUAACUCUUGCGACGUACUGUGUAUUUAAAUAUUUAAUAAAAAGUUUAUGUGUAUUUAAAUUGAUAAUUUAUUUUAGUAUGCUGUUGACGGGAUUUGAACUUUAGAGUUUUAAUAGUAUCAUUUUGGCAAAACUUACAAAAUUUAAUCCAACAAUAUGCAUUGUAACCUGUUAAAAAUCAGCGAAUAAACUUUCCAAUAUUAAAAAUACUCUCAAAAAGAAAGUACAAUAUAUUAGAACGUGUAUAUAAAUAAACAUAUUAAGCGGAAAGAGUACUCCCUCCGUCCCAUUGGAUCGUUAACAUCAUUUUUUGGCACGUUUUUUAAGAACUCUUUAAAAUAUAGUUUCUAUGAUGUUUUUUUUCUAAAAAAAAUUCUGAAUAAAAAUUUGAUGUUUAAACUUUUAUUCAGAAAAAUAAAUUAAAAAAAAUAUUAUGAACUAUACUUUACGAGAGCCUUAACAUGCAUGCAAACAACGUUAAGAAACAAUCAUGAGACGGAGGGAGUAAUAUUUAGUUAUAAUAAAAUUCCGUGUACUGAGAUCUUCUCUACCAAAAUACUACGUAUUGCAGCAGCAAUUUGAAGCAACAUCUCGUUCAGAAGUCUAUAUAAAAACACAACGUUUGAAACGAAACAAGAAAAAAACACAUUAUUAUUUGCAUAAUACUAGCGUCUCCCUCGUAAGUACACGAAAUAUGAUAACUCCUAUAUUAACAACGGCAAAGAAAGAUUGCUCAACACCAUUUAUUCUGUGUGUAAAUUUACAAAAUCAUUAAUCCAACUCUUGGAUUAAACAUAGCAUGGAACUAAGGUUUAUGAAUCAGACAGGAACUAAUUCAAACCUUAGUUUCAACUAGUGUUUUUACUUUUCAGUUUCGGACUUUCUUUUUUCAAUUUGUAAUAUGAAGAUAAUAAUAAUAAUAACAUAACACUAAUCCAACCCACAGGUUCAUUUGCCUCCCUUUCCAGUAAUCCACAUUCUGAUACUAUUCUAGAGCCUCUAUCUUUCCGGAUUAAUAAAUAAAAAAGAUGGAAUAAACUUUUACUCAAAGUAGGGACAAUUUGCAGAGAGAAUUUCAAUAGUCAGAAAAAGAGUGGUUCACUUUUUGACCUAUAAAAUUCAGGCUCACAUAAAAAAACUAAUACAAUGGUUAACAUGAUGCAUGGAACACCAAAAUCAGACACUCAACUUCUACGUUUAUGGUAUGUUAAUGUACUGUAAUCUGGCCAUACAACUCUGUACCCAUUGCACACUUUAUCAAGUCUUGGAUUCGAAUUUUCGAAAGAAAAAUGGUUCAUCAGUACUGAGCACACAUCUGAGGACUUUUGAAACAGAGUAUUGCUAUAUAUACAGAAACAUUCUAAACAAUAGCAAAUCUACUGACCUGCCUCUGUCAUUUUGUCGCUCAUUGAGACAAGAUGACUAUUGGUUUCCAGUUGUUCAUGGUAUUACCAUUUUUCAUGGCUUUGUCAUUCUUUGGCAUGUAUGAGGCCAGGGCUGGCCGGCUUCUUAUGAAUGCACCGUUCCAGCUUCCCGCCAUCCCCAACUUCCCGUUUCCCUCCUUCCCUGGGAUCCCAGGUAAACUUUUUCUUCAUUAUAUUGUUAAUUGGUUCCGAAGAUGAGCUUCAUCUUUCCCUAUACAGUUACUGGUGCUCUCUCAUCCUCAAACUUCUUAUUGUCAUGCACUGUAACCCUUGAAGUUACGAUCACGGCAUUUUCUUUGUUUACUAUUGUCAAUGACCUGUGAAGGGGUUCAUAACCUUAACAUUUCUUCUGAAUGUCAGUGGUACUAAUGCCAUUGCUAGGUGUAAGGUGUUGCCAACUUAGGAGGAUAAAUAUGUUAAUUUUGAACUACAUGGACAAAAUAUUAGCAUGUUAUGGACUCGGAGGACGGGAAGUGUUAUAUAUCUUCUGAUUAUAAAUCUCUGCUUAACAGCAUAUAUAUGUAUUAUAAUAUAAUAGUAAAGCAAGUUAUUUCAGCUUUUAUUUUACCCUCGAAAAUUAUCCUCUGGGCAAAUGUAGUUCUAGACCAUUAUUUUCUUGAUGUAAAAGCUAACAGCACCACUCGCAUAUUGUCCUGCUUUACUGUUCGUGUGUAUGGUAGAACUCUCAAGUUUUGAGGGAUUCACAAAGUAGUGGAGAAUAGCAUGACAACGAGUCAACGACAUAUGUGGGUGAAAAUUCUUUACUAUUGAUAUUCACAAUCACUAUGGGUUGCAUUCUGUUAUUGAAAGAAAGUUAUCCAGUUAGACUACAAUGUUAAGGAUGAUUGUGAAGUCAGGGGAACACACAGAGUUACUACUCAAGAAAGUUUGAUUCAAAUGUAUUAUAAUCCACUCUAGAAAUAUUUCAAGGUGUUUUAUGAUGACUUACAAACAAAUGCAGUGGUUUAUUAUGUCGAUUGGGACUUCAACAUAAAAGAUUGGCCUUCUGGGAAAACCUUUCACGCAGGUGACAUAAUCGGUAAGCCAGCAAUCAUCUGUUAAAUCAUGAAAUUUAAAACCAUUGUUGCAUAUAAACAUAAAAAUCAUCUUCACUUUAACUGAUCACAUUUUUGCAUUUGUUUGAUUGGUUUUCAUUUGCAGUAUUUAACUACAAUAGAAAUCUGCAUAAUGUGGUUACAAUAAAUGAGACCAAAUAUGAAGAUUACCUGAACUGUGUUGUAUCUGACAAGGCAAAAGUCCUGAGCACCGGAAAUGAUGCAAUAACACUGCAAAAUGGAGUCAACUACUUCAUUUGUGGUACGAUGGGCCACUGUACUGCUGGAAUGCAGAUAGCUAUUGUUACGACCUAAUUAACUUUAAGCUAAUAGCAGAUUAUUGUAAUCCAUGUGAUGCUAAUUGUAAUUAUAAGAACAAUAUGCUUGAUAUAAUAUCUACAUUAAGUUUAUUUACUUCAAACUUUGGUCAUUGUUUACGUUAAAAUAUGUUGGUGAUAACACGAGAAAAUGUGUUCUAUAUUAGACCAUGAGGCAACAAUUUCUAUCUGGCAAGAACAACUUAAACAAGGAAAAAAAAUAAAAAUGGAUAAUGUACCUCUAUCGAUUAGGCUUCUUUAAAUGGAAGCCGAGAUGCAUCUUUGAAGCACCGGUAAAAACCAAAAACUUUGCGCUGAAAUGAAUAGAAAUGCUUCACUGUACUUCUUAGUUUGAAUACCUUCACAUUCGAGUAUAAUGUGGGUGCAUUAUCUGGCAAGCAAUCAUUUCAGCUUCAACUCCUCCAAACAGGGCAUUAUUUCGUCAAACCUUCUCGACAAAUCCUUACAUCAGCAUUGUGUAUGUCCUGUUUUUGCAGUCGUUGAAAGUAAGUUAACAUAAAGAUAUUUGGCAUUGUAAACCUCUUCGUUUCCUGCAAAACUUGUCAAGCAGGAUAUUAGACAUGAUAAUAUCAGGAAUGAAAUCACUGAAUUGCAUCAACUGAAAGGACAGUGUUUCAUUAUCAAAUAAGUACUGCAAAGGCCAUUUUGCAAGAUAUUGCAUGUCAUAGUAUCUGGUAUUGAAACAAAAGGUUUUAAUAGAUAAUAGAUUUCUAAAGUUUAACUUAUUUUACACAUUUAUAUUUUCCAUUCGGACAGCUACCUUGCGGCAGCAAGAAAAUUACCCUAAAGGAGCAUAUUAUGGUCAUGAGAUGGACAGCAGUAAUCAAUGCAUUGAGUAAUGAGAUGAUCAGCUGAACAUCUGACCUAGUGACUAAGAAGACUACACAUAACUCAGGCAGUUACAGUACAAGUGUACAACUCUUGAAAAGUCUGAUAGUCUAAUUCAUAUAUGACAGCAAGCGUGAACCACGCAAGAAAUGAAUUUGUAAGAAUUUGGACAUCAUCAAGCACACCGGUAACUCAGUAAGAUACUGGAGAUCUGGACAAAUCGGAGAAUUGAUUUCUGAUUAUAAUUGUAACUGAUUAUUUUUUCACCGAGAAAAAUAAAAAAAAAAUACUAUGAGAUUUCAAUAGAAAAUGAGAGAGUUGAGUAAAUUAUAGUUGCAUUUGCUCAAGGGUUUUUUUACUGUGGUAACAUAAGAUAAGAGCUGCAAUUUUAUUUUUAUUAAAGACCUGGGAUGAUGUUGUCGAGUAUUUUGAGAGUAUCGUUCGCAGGGAAGGACUGAUAUCAACACUAAUCUCAAGUCUUUUAUCUCUUGUAAUUCAGAAGUGUGUAGAAGAAUUUGGUGGGUUUUAUCUAUCAACUAGUUGAAAAGCUCUACACAACUCUUUCAGGUGUUCACCUGAAAGUGCUAGACAGGGGUCUUGGGAUCUGCUACUGCCAAUUGGCAAGGGAUUAAAAACCUACACAGUCAGUAUCACUUGAUCCAGGUUGUUCGUUGUCAGAAUCUAACAGUAGUAACGAGAGGUUAUAGUAAAGAAGAGUAUAAUACGGAACUAUCUCCUUUGUGGAGGAAAGAAACAGACUAGUAGACAACCUUCUGAAAAUUCAAAUAUCACUAAGAGACUCUCGAUUUAGAGUCAUGCGUGAAAAGUGAAGGAGGAAUGAUAUAAACAUAUACUACAUUACUUUCAUUUUUGUGCAGUUUUGACUUUGAAUAUCCGUCCAGGCAUCUUAAAAUGAGAAAGAGACUAUUAUACUGCAACUUUAGCAAAGUCGCACUAAUUGGUUUUUGAUAAGACUGGCUACAUCAGGAGAAUGUUGGCAAAUGAAAAAAACUAUGUACCUUAGCAAUCUCUCCCUUUCCAAACCAAACCAAACAAUUAACCCAGUAUAUCCCGCUUAGAGCAGGGUCUGGUGAGGGUAAAAUGUACGCAGACCAUGCCCCUACUCAUUUAGAGUAAGGAGGCUGUUUCCGUGAGACCCCCGACUUAGUGCAAAACAAAGUUUUGUGUGAAAUAUAAGUAAAUUGGACCUUGGCCCAUGAUUUCUAACACAUGGGACUCACCUCUAUCGGCAAUGCAUCUGUCCAUGAAUGAUCUGAGCCGUUGCACCUGAGCCUUGUCCUAAAAGCAUAACCUGAGCCUUUAACGCAACGAUUCUGGGCAUAUUGUGGUUUGAGCAAGUCCAGUAAGUGGCUGAUGCAUCUGCUGAGAAGUGACGAGAACGCAUCUGAUCUACAUGUACACCUGCUUCACUGUACUUAAUUGUAUAUAAAAACUACAAACAAGUGUGUUGUGGGUAACAGCAACUGGCGAGCAAUACAAACUGUAAUCAUAGUAUGUUGCGAGAUAUAACUACACUAAAUACAAACAAAGAGGAAUUGCCCAAACUUAAAACAGUGGCAUUUGACAUAAUACUAAUACAGCUAGUCACCAAUACAUACCAAUAUGAUUUAACUCCAAAUUUGUGGAAGAACCUUUAAAAAUAUUUUGCACCUUAACAAACUCUCUCCUUGCUACACUUGGGGCAAGAACUUCCUAUGCAAGAACUGGGUCCUGUUUUUCUGAUCUGAGUAGGUCCAUUGGCAUGUAGGUGGUAGAGGUAUCUGCCGAUAUACUACUUCAACUCUGUCGCAGCUGUUUGAAUAGAAAAGACAGCAAGUCCAGAAUUCUUCAUCCUGAAUAUACUUGCAUCAAAACUACCUCUUUUAAAUGAGCGCUCCGUUCUGAUCCAGUCCAAUCAUAAAAGCAAAUUAUAUACAGAGGAAAUAUUCAAAAAGGCACUUAAAUAUAUUUGUAAACACCAGCACACCACAUUUGCACUCAUUAAGAAAAUACUCUUUGAUUUUCUCGAUUAAUCACCAGAGCAACAUGAAGAGGAACAGAAGAACUCUCUGAAAUAAAAUUUGAACAAUAUUUCAUAGGACAAGUUUCAUCCAAGAGUAGUUGUUAAAUACUAAAUUUAGUAGCACAUGAGAUUCAUGUACAUGUUAUCUCAUACUAAUCAACAAUUACAACACAUACGUUAAGUAAUCUAAAAUAACUAUGGCAAGAACCUCUUACACAAAGCAAGCAAAUUUUGAUCCUGUACCCACCAUUCAAGCAAGUGCAGUAACAUGGAGGGCUUAGAAGCAUAUAUUCUGAGAAGCCGCGAGCACAAAUCUCUUCUUUAAGUACAAUUGCCCCGUUGUGCAAAAACCACAGAUAAGGGUGAUGGAGGUAGCAUCAUUUGGCAAGCAAUCAUUGCUUCCAUUUCCACAUAUGGUUCAUUUGCUUUAUUGAGUAAGCCUUCUUGACAAAAUCCCUGUAUCAUCAUUGUGUAUGUCUUCACAGUAGGUCACAAAAAUAUUUUCAAGGAAGGCUGUCAUAUAUACUUUUUGCCUUUUCAAAAUUUCACAUCUAUUAGACAUUGGGCCAUUAACAAAGAAACCAAAGAAAAUUUUUGAACUUAACUGAGUUGAGGGACUCCUAAGAGUAGCUUAACAUAUUGUUGUAUUUCCUCGGAGUGAUGAUUAGUGAUUACAGACAAUAAAAAAAAUCGAAAAAACUGGAUGCGUAAACAACAAAGGACCAGUAGGAGAACUGCAAACUUUACAACACUUGUAUCGAACUAAUCCUGGCAAAAUCGAAAAGAUUAUGUCCCUGGGCACUCUCUUCCUUUUAAACACUUAUGGAUCGGAGAGUACUUAUCACGCAAGGCAAGGAGAGGAGGAUCCGGUUCUUGCACUUCAAGUAAGUCCACUAAUGCAGAUGCUGUAGAUGCAUCUGCUGCAAAGCUGUGACCAAGCAUUUCAUCUAGGAAUACACCUGCUUCAUAGUACUUCUUAUUAUGUAAACAACCACGGAUAAGCAUGUUGUAUGUGACAUCAGUAGGCAAGCAAUCAUUAGCUUCCAUUUCCCUGAAUAGUUCAGUCGCUUCAUUCAAUAACCCUCCAUGAAAAUAUGCUUGGAUCAUCAUUGUGUAUGUCUUGACAUUAGGUCGCAGACCUUUCGCAGGAAGGUUGCUAAAAAGAGUUCUUGCUGCUUCAAGUUGUCCGUUUUUGCUUAAUCCAUCAAUCAGAAUGGUGUAAAUAUAUAUAUCAGGAACUAGCCCACUGCAUUCCAUCAUUUGGAAAAAGGACAGUGCUUCACGAACACAACCGUUCUUGCAAAGACCAUCCAAUAAAAUAGCGCAAGUCACUUUAUCCAACUGAAGACCUUUGUUCAGCAUCAUCUUUUCCUUAAAAAAUUUACGUGCUUCAACAUGUCUACCCGCACGAAAAAAACCUUGCAGUAUAGUAUUGUAAGUCUCAGUAUUUGGGGUUAAACCUUCAGAGGGCAUUUGUUGAAAAAGAUCUAUUGCUAUGUCCACUUUCAACUUUUUACAAUAACCAUUGAUGAGGAUAUUAUAGCUAAGUGUAUCAGGCAAUAUUGCCUUUCUCUUCAUGCUUUCAAACACUGCUAAUGUUUUAUCAACCUCUCCCCUCAAGCAGUAUCCAUCCAUUAGUGCAUUAUAUGUUACUACAUCAGGACAAUGGCCCCUUUGAGUCAUCAACUCUAUCACAUCCUCCGCAUCUUCAAUCAUUCCUUCUUUGCAAUACGCAUCAACCAAUAUGUUGUAAGUAAAAACAUCUCGAGAAAUGUUCCUAACAUUCAUCUCCUUGAGCAAUAGUUUGACAUCAUGCCAUCGAUUUAUGUCACACAGACCUAGAAUUAAUGAGUUGUAGGUUAUAACAUUUGGGGAUAUGCCUUUCCUUGUCAUUUGGUGGAGAAGACCCAAUGCUUGAUCAACCAAUCUAUGCUUACACAAACAGUCAAUAAGUGUGUUGUAAGUUACGGCAUCAGGCUUGCAACCUUUCUUGACCAUAUAUUUGAACAACUUAACAGCCACAGAAGGAUUCCCUCUCUUGCAGAUGCCGUCAAUGAUUGUGUUAUAGGUUACAACAUCGGGUUGAAUAAGUUUAAAUGUGAUGAGGUUCUGGAACAAAAGCUGAGCCUCAUGAGGCAUAUCUUGGGAAAUAAGGCCCCUGAUGAGAGUGUUAUAGGUAAACACAUCAGGAACAAAACCGUACUUAAUAAUUCCAGCCAGUAAUGAAAAGGCAAAUUCGACAUGAUUCAAGUGACAAAAGCAGUUAAUGAGAGUAUUAAAGGUAAUUACAUUAACAGGGAUGCUUUCUACACGCAUCUUUCUAAAAACAGAGACAGCUACUGAGUAGUGUUUCAUUUUAACAAGGGCGGCUAACAGUUGAUUGAAGUCGAUAACAUUAGGCAGAGGUUUCAUACUGAGCAUUUUAUCAAACACUUGGAGAGCAUCAUCGAGUUUAUCGAAACCAACCUUGGAUUUCUCAAGGAGUAGAUGUUGAAGUCGAGCAUGAGUUGGAUGAGAUGAAUAAGGGAAAUUAUUAGGGUUUGGUUUAGUGGAGAAGCGAGAAAGCGAAUACAAAUCAAAGCAACAAGUGAAAUUACCAGAAGAAUGUGCAAGUAGUAACUGAGAUUUCAAUGGACAGAAGGUCCUCAUCAGUCUCUUCAUCAUCAUCUUUGAAUUUCUCUCUUUCACUGUCUGCUCUUUAUCUACAAACUCUGCUCUUCUUGUAAAUUGUAAUGUUGUGUAUUUUCUGUUUCACUGCGAUUGUGUGCUUCAAUGUUAAAAUUCUCUGUAAUUUUGUAUCACCAUCCGAAUCUGAAACCGGAGAAUAAUAUAAUUAUAUAUAUAUAUAAUUUUAUAUAUUACAUGUCGUAUUAAAUUAUAUAACACAAUUAUAUAUUAUUUUAUAUACUGGAGAUUAUACAAUAUACAUAUUAUUGUAUAAUUAGAAUAUGUAUUUUUCUUAAAGUUAAAAAUUGGCUAAUAAUAAACUUUAACAAAAUUAAAUUAUUGUAUAAUUCAAAUGGUUGAUACAGUGAACUAAAAUUUUCUAGAAACAAAUAUUGUUAAUUGAUUUGAUUAAUAAAAUUUUAGUUAUUCAUUUAUAAACCAAACUGAUAUUGAUUUCGAGUGCUUGUAAUUUUUAUAAUCAUAAAUAAUCAGUAAUUAAAAAUAUUUUCCGAUUUCAGGUUCAGGUUUUAGGUUUUAGAUAUUCAAUAUAAAAAAAAAAUCAAGUUUCGUGUAUACCCGAAAUCCAAUCCGAAAUUCAUAGGAUUAGGUUCAACUAUUCAUUUUAGAUAUUUUUCGAGUUCAGAUUGAAUCUGGGAUGGAUAAAAAAUUCGGAGUUUGAAUAUGUAUUUUGUCAUACCAUUCCUCAUACUUGAUCCAAUUCAAUAGUCAUCCCUAGUCCAAACAGGUCCAAAACGAUUAUAUUUUAACCGAUUCAAAUAAAAAAUUUCAAUCCUACAUAUACCCGGAUUAAAAGUACACCUAUAAAUUUUGAUUUUCUCAAACUGACCCAAUCUAAAAUGUCCGAUUAAAAUUGGAAUAGUUAAAAAUCAAUACUAUAACUAAAAAAAACACCAAAUGAUAUACAUAUGUCAGCUUCUCCUUCAAUUGCUAACAUCAUCUUUCACUUAUUAUUUGAUUAAUUAAUUAAUUAAUUAAUUAAUUUGUUUUCUCUUUCUCAUUAAUUACAAUCUCCACUUAUUCCCUCUCAUACUCAUUUCUCACCUACUUCAUCAUUUUUCUUUAACUAAAAGUUAAAAUAAUUUUUCUUCCAUUCUCAUUUCUCAACUAUUUUUAGAUCUUAAUUUAAUUUUUUUUUAAAAUGCUUAUCGAUUAUUUUAUAUUUUUAAUUCAAAAAAAAUCAUAAUCACGAAUAUUCAAAUAUUUUAGUUAUCACUUUAAUUUUUUGUUUAAAAUUAUUUAAUUUGAAAUAUACUCCAUCCACUCUAUUAAAACUUACAUAACUUAUAAUAUAUAAAUAUAAUCAGGUUAUAUAAAGUAUGAGAAAAACAUUAUUAAAAAUUAUAUUUAAUUUAACUCUCAUAUUUAAUUUUAACACUUUUAAAAUUAUACAUAAAUAUUAACUUGUAGUCAAACUUGAAUUUAAACAUCGCAUAGGUUAUGAAUCAGACAGGAAACUCAUUCCAUAACCUUAGUUUCAGCUUGUGUUUUUACUUUUCAGUUUCGGACUUUCUUUUUUCAUUUUGUAAUAUGAAGAAAAUAAUAAUAACAUGACAGCAAUCCAAUCCAACCCACAGGUUCAUUUGCCUCCCUUUCCAGUAAUCCACAUUCUGAUACUAUUCCAGAGCAUCCAUCUUUCCGGAUUAAUAAAUACUAUAAAAGAUGGAAUAAAGUUUUUCUCAAAAGUAGGGACAAUUUGGAGAGAGAAUGUCAAUAGUACGAUUUUCCACGUGACACGAAAAUUAAACGAAAAUUUAGUGUUUGUGUUUUCAUUUUGAGUACACGGCACAAAAAAUACUAGAACACUAAGUACACGACUGACGUGUAAUGUCGGUUUUGUGUUUGCCCUUUGAGUACACGACACGAGUUACACGAAAUAAAUAUAAUUUAUAAUUAAAUAUUAAUAUUUAAUUAUAAAUAUGUAUAAUUAUAAUAAAUAAUUAAAUAUAUGUUAUUUUCUUUUAAAAUAAUGGAUAGUUUAUAAUAUUGUAAGUAUAAGUGACUCAAAUGUAUAUAUUUCAUAUAAUUUUGUAAAAUUUUUACCUAGAAAUCUAAUACUUACAUUAUUUUAUAUAUUUAUUUAUAUUUAUUAAAUAUUUCAGUUCAACUUUACACGAAACACGAUGAGAACGACCCGGAAACGGAGUUACACAACACGAAAAUACAUGAACACUGAAUGGUCGGUGGUCGGUUUUGUGUUUGGUUUCUAAGUACACGACACCGAAGUAUACUAUACGAACGGAUCGUCGGGUCUAGAAAAGAGUGCUUCGCUUUUUGACCUAUAAAUUCAGGCUCGCUUAAAAAAACUAAUACAAUGGUUAACAUGAUGCAUGGGACACCAAAAUAAGACACUCAACUUGACGUUUAUGAUAUGUUAAUGUACUGUAGUUUGGCUAUACACCUCUGUACCCAUUGCACACCUUGCUGCGUACACAGAAUAUCAAGUCUUCCAUUUGAAUUUCGGAAAGAAAAAUGUUUCAUCAGUACCAAGCACACAUCUGAAGACUUUUGAAACAGAAUAUUGCUAUAUAUACAGAAACAUUCUAAACAAUAGAAAAUCUACUAACCUGCCUCUGUCAUUGUGUCGCUCAUUGAGACAAGAUGACUAUUGGUUUCCAGUUGGUCAUGGUAUUACCAAUAUUCAUGGCUUUGUCAUUCUUUGGCAUGUAUGAGGCCAGGGCUGGCCGGCUUCUUAUGAAUGCACCGUUCCAGCUUCCCGCCAUCCCCAACUUCCCGUUCCCUCCUUCCCUGGGAUCCCAGGUAAACUUUUUCUUCAUUAUAUGUUUAAUUGGUUCCGGAGAUGAGCUUCAUAUUUACCUAUACGGUUAAUGGUGCUCUCUCGUCCUCAAACUUAUUAUUGUCAUGCACUGUAACCCUGGAAGUUAUGAUCACGGCAUUUUCUUUGGUUACUUUGUCAAUGACCUGUGAAGGGGUUCAUAACCUUAACAUUUCUUCUGAAUGUCAGUGGUACUAAUGCCAUUGCUAGGUGUAAGGUGUUGCCAACUUAGGAGGAUAAAUAUGUUAAUUUUGAACUACAUGGACAAAAUAUUAGCAUGUUAUAGACUCAGAGGACGGGAGGUGUUAUAUAUCUUCUGAUUAUAAAUCUCUGCUUAACAGCAUAAACACGUAUUAUAAUAUAAUAGUAAAGCAAGUUAUUUCAGCUUUUAUUUUACCCUCGAAAAUUAUCCUCUGGACAAUGUAGUUCUAGAUCAUUAUUUUCUAGAUGUAAAAGCUAACAGCACCACUCGCAUAUUGUCCUGCUUUACUGUUCGUGUGUAUGGUAGAACUCUCAAGUUUUGAGGGAUUCACAAAGUAGUGGAGAAUAGCAUGACAACGAGUCAACGACAUAUGUGGGUGAAAAUUCUUUACUAUUGAUAUUCAUAAUCACUAUGGGUUGCAUUCUGUUAUUGAAAGAAAGUUAUCCAGUUAGGCUACGAUGUUAAGGAUGAUUGUGAAGUCAGGGGAACACACAAAUUUACUACUCAAGAAAGUUCGAUUCAAAUUUUUUAUAAUCCACUCUAGAAAUAUUUCAAGGUGUUUUAUGAUGACUUACAAACAAAUGCAGUGGUUUAUUAUGUCGAUUGGGACUUCAACACAAAAGAUUGGCCUUCUGGGAAACCCUUUCACGCAGGUGACAUAAUCGGUAAGCCAGCAAUAAUCUGUUAAAUCAUGGAAUUUAACACCAUUGUUGCAUAUCAACAUAAAAAUCAUCUUCACUUUAACUGAUCAAAUUUUUACAUUUUUUUGAUUGGUUUUCAUUUGCAGUAUUUAACUACAAUAGAAAUCUGCAUAAUGUGGUUACAAUAAAUGAGACCAAAUAUGAAGAUUACCUGAACUGUGUUGUAUCUGACAAGGCAAACAUCCUGAGCACCGGAAAAUGGAAAUGAUGCAAUAACGCUGCAAAAUGGAGUCAACUACUUCAUUUGUGGUACAAUGGGCCACUGUACUGCUGGAAUGCAGAUAGCUAUUGUUACGACCUAAUUAACUUUAAGCUAAUAGCAGAUUAUUGUAAUCCAUGUGAUGCUAAUUGUAAUUAUAAGAACAAUAUGCUUGAUAUAAUAUCUACAUUAAGUUUACUUACUUCAAACUUUGGUCAUUGUCUACGUUAAAAUAUGUUGGUGAUAACGCAAGAAAAUGUGUUCAAUAUUAUACCAUGAGCCAACAAUUUCUUACAUUCUACUUUUUGGCAAUCAUUAUUCUUAUCUGGCAAGAACAACUUAAACAAGGGAAAAAAAACAAAAAUCGAUAAUGUACCUCUAUCGAUUAGGCUUCUUUAAAUGGAAGCCGAGAUGCAUCUUUGAAGAACCGGUAAAAACUAAAAACUUUGGGCUAAAAUGAAUAGAAAUGCUUCACUGUACUUCUUAGUUUGAAUACCUUCACAUUCGAGUAUAAUGUGGGUCAUUAUCUGGCAAGCAAUCAUUUCAGCUUCAACUCCUCCAAACAGGGCAUUAUUUCGUCAAACCUUCUCGACAAAUCCUUACAUCAGCAUUGUGUAUGUCCUGUUUUUGCAGUCGUUGAAAGUAAGUUAACAUAAAGAUAUUUGGCAUUGUAAACCUCUUCGUUUCCUGCACAACUUGUCAAGCAGGAUAUUAGACAUGAAAAUUUCAGGAAUGAAAUCACUGAAUUGCAUCAACUGAAAGGACAGUGUUUCAUUAACAAAUAAGUACUGCAAAGGCCAUUUUGCAAGAUAUUGCAUGUCAUAGUAUCUAGUAUUGAAACAAAAGGUUUUAAUAGAUAAUAGAUUUCUAAAGUUCAACUUAUUUUACACAUUUAUAUUUUCCAUUCGGACAGCUACCUUGCACCAGCAAGAAAAUUACCCUAAAGGAGCAUAUUAUGGUCAUGAGAUGGACAGCAGUAAUCAAUGCAUUGAGUAAUGAGAUGAUCAGCUGAAAAUCUGACCAAGUGACUAAGAAGACUACACAUAACUCAGGCAGUUACAGUACAACUCUUGAAAAGUCUGAUAGUCUAAUUCAUAUAUGACAGCAAGCGUGAACCAUGCAAAAAAUGAAUUUGUAAGAAUUUGGACAUCAUCAAGCACACCGGUAACUCGGUAAGAUACUGGAGAUCUGGACAAAUCGGAGAAUUGAUUUCUAAUUAUAAUUGUAACUGAUUAUUUUUUCACUUGAGGAAAAAAAAAAUACAAUGGGGUUUCAAUAGAAAUUGAGAGAAUUGAGUAAAUUAUAGUUGCAUUUGCUCAAGUUUUUUUUUACUGUGGUAACAUAAGAUAAGAGCUGCAAUUUCAUUUUUAUUAAAGACCUGGGAUGACUAGUUGAAAAGCUCUACACAACUCUUUCAGGUGUUCACCUGAAAGUGCUAGACAGGGGCCUUGGGAUCUGCUACUGCCAAUUGGCAUGGGAUGAAAAACCUACAGAGUCAGUAUCACUUGAUCUCUCCAUCCAGGUUGUUCAUUGUCAGAAUCUAACAGUAGUAACGAGAGGUUAUAGUGAAGAAGAGUAUAAUACAGAACUAUAUCCUUUGUGGAGGAAAGAAACAGACUAGUAGACACCCUUAGAAAAUUCAAAUAUCACUAAGAGACUCUCAAUUUAGACUUAGAGUCAUAAGUGAAAAGUGAAGGAGGAAUGAUAAAAACAUAUACUACAUUUCUUUCAUUUUUGUGCAGUUUUGACUUUAAAUAUCCAACCUGGCAUCUUAACAUGAGAAAGAGACUAUUAUACUGCAACUUUAGCAAAGUCGGCACUAAUUGGUUUUUGAUAGAACUGGCUACAUCUGGAGAAUGUUGGCAAAUGAAAUAAAUUAUGUACCUUAGCAAUCGCUCCCUUUGUUAUACAUAUCAAUAGCCUUUAACGCAACGGUUCUGGGCAUCUUGCGGUUUGAGCAAGUCCAGUAAGUGGUUGAUGCAUCUGCUGAGAAGUCACGAGAACGCAUCUGAUCCACAUGUACACCUGCACUGUACUUAUUAUAAGAACUACAAAUAUGUGUGUUGUGGGUAACAGCAUCUGGGGAGCAAUCAUUAUCUUCCAUUUCAGCAAAUAGAUCACUGGCUUCAUCAAACAAACCAUCAUGGCACAAUCCUCCUAUCAUCAUUCCAAAAUUUUACUAGCUAAUUAUAUUAUAUAAAAACUAUCUGGAAAAAAAAAUAUAUAUAUAUAUAAACUAACCCCAACAAUUGGUCAUUUCAGUACAUGGAAGAAAAUAUAUUAGUCGGUAGGAGAACAACUGCGAACUUUACAGCAUAUAACAUCUCACAGCAUAGUAGUUGAGCCUGUGCGCACUACAUGCCAUUAUUUUGAUUGUUACUGCCUGCAAAUUUGUUUGCAAACCUUAACAAAUGCUGGCAAAUUCGAAAAAAGUAUGUACCUGGGCACUCUCAUCCUUUGUCACACCUAUGGAAAGUACCUCACAUGCAAGGCGAGUAGAGCAGGAUCCCGUUCUUUCACUUCAAGUAAGUGUAGUAAUGCAGAUGCCGUAGAUGCAUCCGCGACAAAGCGGAGACCAAGCAUUUCAUCUAGGAGUACACCUGCUUCAUAGUACUUCCUAUUCUGUAAGCAACCGUGGAUAAGCAUGUAGUAUGUGACAUCACCAAGCUAGCAAUCAUUAGCUUCCAUUUCCCUGAAUAGUUCAUUCGCUUCAUCCAAUAACCCUCCAUGACAAUAUGCUUGGAUCAUCACUGUGUAUGUCUUGACAUUAGGUCGCAAACCUUUCGCAGGAAGGUUGUUAAAAAGAGUUCUUGCUGCUUCAAGUUGUCCUUUUUUGCUUAAUCCAUCAAUCAGAAUGGCAAAUGCAUAAAGCAGGAACUAACCCACUGCAUUCCAUCAUUUGAAGAAAGGACAGUGCUUCAAGAACCAUGGUUGUCACGUCGAUGAGUCGAGGCGAGUCGAUGGACCUCCGUCUAAUCGACUAGUCGACUAGUCGUUGACAAGUCGUAGACUAGUUGACAAAAAAAAUAUUAUUAUAAAUUAAAAAUUAUAUAUAUAUAUAGACACACACACACACACGCACACAUAUAUAUAUAUCGUGUAAAUUGGAUUUUUUAGUUCUAACACCUUCCACAAUGUUUUACAGUAUUUCAGAUUCUAAGGAAUUAAGAAUCGGAAACUUAAAGAGAAUGAUGGAAAAGCGAAAAGAGUUAACAAAUAACAAUAAAACAAAGUAAAAUAUGUAACAACUGAUAUAUAACAAUUGUGUGAUACUGUGAUGUGAUGUGGUAGUGCAGCAAGUAAGCAACAAAUAUGCGCAGAAAUAAUAUAUACAAAGUUAUGCACAACUUAUUGUGCAGAUUGCAGAAAAACAGAGCAGAAAAUAUAAUCAGAGAAAACCAAAGCAGGAUAUUUAGCAGCUCGACUAGUCGACUAGUUGGUCGUCGACUAGUCGACUAGUCGACCGAAAUAUCAACAUUCAGCUAGUCGACAAGUUGAGUCGACAUCCAUUCACCGCUUAGUCGACUAGUCGUCGACUAGUCGAGACUAGUCGACCGACAUGACAACCAUGUCAAGAACAUAAACGUUCUCGCAAAGACCAGGACUAAUUGAGGCUUUUUAGUAUUAGUAAAAGAUACCAAGCUAAUUGAGGCUUCUUGUGGAUAAAUUUGUAUAGGUAUAUAAUAUAUGUUAAUUUCUGGAGACAUGAUGGACCAAGGCUCUGACAAAAGAAAGACCAAGCCAACUAAUGCAAUUGCAAAAAAUUUAAUAUUCAACAAAAUAAUAUCAAAUUGACUCCAACCAACCGUAAUCAUAUUAUGUUGAGAGAUAUAACUAAACUAAAUACAAACAAAGAGGAAUUGCCAAAACUUAAAACAGUGGCAUUUGACAUAAUACUAAUACAGCUAGUCACCAAUAGAUACCAAUAUGAUUUAACUCCAAAUUUGUGGAAGAACCUUUAAAACUAUCUUGUACCUUAACAAACUCUCUCCUUGCUUACACUUGGGGAAAGAACUUCCUAUGCAAAGCAUGGAGAACUGGGUCCUGUUUUUCUGAUCUGAGUAGGUCCAUUGGCAUGUAGGUGGUAGAGGUAUCUGCCGAUAUACUACUUCAACUCGGUCGCAGCUGUUUAAAUAGAAAAGACAGCAAUCCUGAAUAUACUUGCAUCAAAGCUACCUCUUUUAAAUGAGCGCUCCGUCCGGAUCCAGUCCAAUCAUAAAAGCAAAUUAUAUACAGAGGAAAUAAUCAAAAAGGCACUUAAAUAUAUUUGUAAACACCAGCACACCACAUUUGCACUCAUUAAGAAAAUACUCUUUGAUUUUCUCGAUAAAUCACCAGAGCAACAUGAAGAGGAACAGAAGAACUCUCUGAAAUAGAAUUGAACAAUAUUUCAUGGGACAAGUUUCAUCCAAGAGUAGUUGUUAAAUACCAAAUUUAAUAGCACAUGAGAUUCAUGGCAUGUUAUCUCAUACAAAUCAACAGUUACAACACAUAUGUUAAGUAAUCUAAUAGAUGUAUAAUUGAUCCAUAAAUAAUUAAUGUUCAUCACUUAAAACAGAAAAAAAAUAACCAUGGCAAGAACCUCAUACACAAAGCAAGCAAAUUUUGAUCCUGUUCCCACCAUUCAAGCAAGUCCAGUAACAUGGAGGUCUUAGAAGCAUAUAUUCUGAGAAGCCGCGACCACAUAUCUCUUCUUUAAGUACAAUUGCCCCGUUGUGCAAAAACCACAGAUAAGGGUGAUGGAGGUAGCAUCAUUUGGGAAGCAAUCAUUUCUUCCAUUUCCACAUAUGGUUCAUUUGCUUUAUUGAGUAAGCCUUCUUGACAAAAUACCUGUAUCAUCAUUGUGUAUGUCUUCACAGUAGGUCGCAAAAAUAUUUUCAAGGAAGGCUGUCAAAUAUACUUCUUGCCUUUCCAAAAUUUCUCAUCUAUUAGAUAUUGGGCCAUUAACAAAGAAACCAAAGAAAAUUUUUGAACUUAACUGAGUCGAGGGACUCCAAAGAGUAGCUUAACUUAUUGUUGUAUUUCCUCGGAGUGAUGAUUACAGACAAUAAAAAAAUCGAAAAAACUGGAUGCGUAAACAACAAAGGACCAGUAGGAGAACUGCAAAUUUUACAACACUUAUAUCGAACUAAUCCUAGCAAACUCGAAAAGAUUAUGUACCUGGGCACUCUCUUCCUUUCAAACACUUAAGGAUCGGAGAGUACUUAUCACGCAAGGCAAGGAGAGGAGGAUCCGGUUCUUGCACUUCAAGUAAGUCCAGUAAUGCAGAUGCUGUAGAUGCAUCUGCUGCAAAGCUGUGGCCAAGCAUUUCAUCUAGGAAUACACCUGCUUCAUAGUACUUCUUAUUCUGUAAACAACCACGGAUAAGCAUGUUGUAUGUGACAUCAGUAGGCAAGCAAUCAUUAGCUUCCAUUUCCCUGAAUAGUUCAGUCGCUUCAUUCAAUAACCCUCCAUGAAAAUAUGCUUGGAUCAUCAAUGUGUAUGUCUUGACAUUAGGUCGCAGACCUUUCGCAGGAAGGUUGCUAAAAAGAGUUCUUGCUGCUUCAAGUUGUCCGUUUUUGCUUAAUCCAUCAAUCAGAAUGGUGUAAAUAUAUAUAUCAGGAACUAGCCCACUGCAUUCCAUCAUUUGGAAAAAGGACAGUGCUUCACGAACAUAACCAUUCUUGCAAAGACCAUCCAAUAAAAUUGCGCAAGUCACUUUAUUCAACUGAAGACCUUUGUUAAGCAUCAUCUUUUCCUUAAAAAAUUUACGUGCUUCAACAUGUCUACCCGCACGAAAAAAACCUUGCAUUAUAGUAUUGUAAGUCUCAGUAUUUGGGGUUAAACAUUCAGAGGACAUUUGUUGAAAAAGAUCUAUUGCUAUGUCCACUUUCAACUUUUUACAAUAACCAUUGAUGAGAGUAUUAUAGCUAAGUGUAUCAGGCAAUAUUGCCUUUCUCUUCAUGCUUUCGAACACUGCUAAUGUUUUAUCAACCUCUCCCCUCAAGCAGUAUCCAUCCAUUAGUGCAUUAUAUGUUACUACAUCAGGAUAAUGGCCUCUUUGAAUCAUCAACUGUAUCACAUCCUCUGCAUCUUCAAUCAUUCCUUCUUUGCAAUACGCAUCAACCAAUAUGCUGUAAGUAAAAACAUCUCGAGAAAUGUUCCUAACAUCCAUCUCCUUGAGCAAUAAUUUGACAUCAUGCCAUCGAUUAAUGUCACACAGUCCUUGAAUUAACGAGCUGUAGGUUAUAACAUUUGGGGAUAUGCCUUUCCUUGUCAUUCGGUGGAGAAGACCCAAUGCUUGAUCAACUAAUCCAUGUUUACAUAAACAGUCAAUAAUUGUGGUGUAAGUGAUCGUAUUAGGC
rnacentral:lncRNA from 1 species